CAACCCGACUGGUGGCUCCGUCUAGGUGACAGACUCUCGCAGCUCACAGAAAAUUAAAUCGGCUCUACCGCGCCAUCCUAGUUCCCGGGGGUGAAGUUGGUGGCGUACGCCCAUGCGUUGUUGGCCACCGGGUCGGCCAAGUGGUCGUUCAAGUUCUCCAAUGGCCCCUUUCCGGUCACGAUCGCCUGCACGAAGAACCCGAACAUCGAGAACAUCGCCAAUCGCCCGUUCUUGAUCUCCUUCACCUUCAGCUCCGCGAAGGUGUCGGGGUCGUCAGCCAAACCCAAGGGGUCGAACGACCCUCCCGGGUAGAUGGGGUCUGUCACCUCGCCCAGGGGUCCUCCCGCAACACGGUAGCCCUCCACGGCUCCCAUCAGCACCACCUGGCAUGCCCAGAUCGCCAAAAUGCUCUGGGCGUGCACCAGGCUCGGGUUGCCCAGGUAGUCCAACCCGCCCUCGCUGAAAAUCUGCGCUCCGGCCUUGAACCACACCGCCUCGCCGAACUUCACGCCGCUCUUCGCCAACAGCUCCGGGGUCAGGCACCCCAAAGCCCCCAGCAUGGCCCACCGGGCGUGGAUCACCUCCAGCUCCCUGUUGCGGGCGAACGUCUCCGGGUCGGACGACAGUCCGGCGGUGUCCCACCCGUAGUCUCCAGCGAACUCGCCGGUCAGGUACGACGGAGUCUCGCCGGAGAAGGGGCCCAAGAACUUGGGUCGGUCAGCUCCGUACCUGAGCAACAGUCCGACGUUCGGCUUAGGCAUACGUUCCUCUCUAUCCCUCACCAAUGUCACCUCAGCAAUGCACACCCUCGCCAUAGCAGCUCUGACCCCAACAUUUGUCACACUUCCAAUGCCCCACCGCCGAUGCCAACCUCCAUCUCUCACCUCUCACCUCUCAAGCUGCUCCGCGCGUGGACAACCAAACCGACCACACGCCCCGGCCGGAUGCCAUUCCGAUUUCCAAAUUCAAGGCCUCCACUGCUUCAUGGCCUCCGCCCCACAAUCCCCAAUCCCCAAUCCACAACACACUCCGCUCAACCCCAAUCCCCAACACACUCCGCUCAACCCCAAUCCCAAUCGCGCUCCCAACACAACCAUCAAGCACUCAAAACUGUCAUCCCAGAGUUCGUCAAGUGGGGACCAUACCAGAUGCUGUCGCUGCCAGCGGACUUGCUCACGGUCCGCCGCAUCGUGACGCGGGCCUCCACAUUGCCCACCUUGCGGGACAGCUCGUUCACGGGCUUGAGCACACCCUGCCCAGCCAAGGCUGUCGAGUGCAUCGCGGUAGCUCCUGCCAUGUCUGCACACACGUUCCCGAACGGAGGAUCUCCAACAGAAUGGAGUGAAGCGAUGAAGUGGCGAUACCGGGCCGACUGUGCACGGACGACCCAGCUCGGAGGAGGGCCUUAUAGCGACUUCGCCCAGCGCAAAAUCAUGCUCGGGGCACUUCUACGGUCACCGGAUUGGAUAAGCCGAGAUAUCUCCACUGAGAUAGCGAGAUGGAAUUCCCAUCGAGCUGACCGCUGCUGGCCGCUGCUGCCAACCACGGAAACGGAUUCCGCUGCCUCCAAAACCAGAUGAAUGUCACAUUCCUCUGGCACCACUGUGGUCGUCAUGGCCCAUCUCGUGGUCAGCGGGCUGCACUGUUGGAAGCCCACGCAGCACCCAGUUGCAACAGAGUAAAAAGCCAUGCUCAUGACAUCCUGUGGCUGGGAAGGGCAACUAAACCUAUUUUAGAGGGGUAAAUGUCACACCUACGUGACAUGUUGCAUUCUGCGCACAGAACUAGUGUCAAGAGUAUGUGUAUAAAUGUAUAUGUAUGCUCACAACCAACAUGGCAUUUGCACAAACCAUUCACACAAACACAAAUGUAUUAUUUGAUAAUUGUAAGGCUUGAGGUGCAUAGGAAGAGUUUGGAGGGCCUACCUAAUAGCUUAUAUAUAUAUAUAUAUAUAUAUAUAUCUAUAUAGAAACAAGAAUAGGGCAACCAUUAGUCUCAAGAGAAGCUAUGUUGUAUUUUGGUCUUAGUAUAAAACUUUGUAAUGUCAUCAUAUUUUCCAACUAUCCUUUUAGUUCUUUUACAUCUUAUUAUUAUUUGUUGUCUCUUAAGCUUCUUUCUUCUUUAGUGGUAUAUGAGUAUAUUGACUAUCAAAUUCUUAUUCACAAUUAGUAUCUUUGUGGCAUUUUUUUUUCUUAAGAAGACUUUCAUCUACUUAUAGGAUUGUAAAGAAAGCAAAAUUAGAUAUAUUAACAAAAAUAAUACAAUAUGUAUCUUUGAACGGAUGUAAAGAAUAGUGAUUACUACUUUGAAGUAGUUUUAAUCUAUUUUGGCACUGCAUAAAUCUAAGACUUCUACUACCAUGAAAUCUUGAUUAUUUUUCAUGUUUAUAAGAAGAUGUUGUAUUUGACUUCUUCUCAAGAUAUUCAUUGUCUUAUAUGGCUCAAAAAGAGAUACAUGGAAUAUGAAAUGGAUCUUCAUAGACUCCAAUAGAUUUAAUCGAUAAGCAAAAAGAUUGACUUAUUCACUAAUAGGAAAAGGUCCAAUUCUAUGAUAGUCCAACUUGUCACAAGGAUGAGUAGUCUUAAUAUGAUAACAAAGUACCCAUACCUUAACAACUAUGUUGAAUUGUGGUUGUUCCUUGAAAUAGGCAUCCACAUUGAUUUUUUGUCAUUCUUGAGCUUCUUUUAAUUGUGCCUUCAUUCUUGCAUGUAAUUUUGACAAAUGAUUUGCAAAACAUUUUGCCAUAGAAUUAUCAACUUUUAAAAAGUUAAAUGUAUCAAGUCAUACAUAAUAACCAAAGUGUACAAAGAAAGGUGUUUGUUGAGUAGAACAAUCUAAUAAAUUAUUAUAUGCAAACUCUGCCAAUGGCAAAAGAGUAGUUCAAUCAUCUUAAUGAUAAUUGAUGGUACACCUCAAAUACUACUCUAAAAUUUAAUUCACUUAUUCUGAUUGUCUAUCAAUUUGAAGAUGAAAAGCUCAAAAGAGCUUUUUAUCUACUUUUAUAAUCUUAAAAAGGAUUCUCCAAAAAUCUUGAUAUAGAUCAAGUUCCCUAUUUAAUAUAAUAUCCGUAGAUAAUCCAUGAUAGCAAUAAUUGUUGUUUAGAAAAAGCUUAGUUGUUUCUUUUCUUUUGAUAGAUUUUGUACAUGGUACAAAUAUGCCAUCUUGGUAAAUUGAUCUACUAUCACAAAUAUAGAAUCAUAUAAACAUAAGAUUGAAUGAUUUAUAAUAAAAUCCAUAAGAAUAAAAGUCCAUGGUUGUUUCAAGAUAGGUAAUGGUUGAAGAAGUGCUUAAGAUUGAUGAUGAAGAAUUUUGGAUCUUAAACAAAUAUCACAUCAUUGUACAAAGUCUUUGUACAAUAUGAGUAUAUUGACUAUCAAAUUCUUAUUUACAAUUAGUAGCUUUGUUGCAUUUUCUUUGUUAAGAAAACUUUCAUUUACUUGUAGGAUUGUAAAGAAAGCAAAAUUAGAUAUAUUAGCAAAAAUAAUACAAUAUGUAUCUUUGAACGAAUGUAAAGAAUAGUGUUUAGCAAAAAUUAUUGAAAAGAUCUUAGAUUGAUAUUUAGAGAGGUUUGGUGGUGAAUUAGGAUCAAAAUCAUACCUUAGGUUACAAAAGUAGGUGUUUAGAAUAAAAAAAUGGAUUUGUUUUGUUGAUUGCAAAAAAUAUUCAAAGUUUAACUUGAUGUAAUUUCUUUUAGACUUGAUUUUGGAUGUGGGUAGAAUGAUGAUUUCAUAAGAUUUGAAGAUGAGAAUAUUAAAUAAUGGUUAUGUUCUAUUAUUUGCAACAAGAUUGUAGAUGAAGUCCAAAAAUAAGAAUUGUUUUAUGGAGUGGUAUAAAUGUAAGUAAGAUUCUUAAUUUGGAUUGAAUUUAGUAGUUCUUAUUGCUUUAAAAUGAUGUCAUUACUUGAAAUAUAGUAAAAUAUUUUUGAAUAGUUUGUUCAAAAAAUUGAUUGUUUUUAUUUAUUUAUUUAUUCUUAUUUCUUAUAAUAUCUUUUAGUUACAAAGGUUUUGAAAUUUGCAUAUAUCAUUAGCAAAGUGUAUUUUUAAUUCCUUUUCAUUGUAAUUUGAAACUUUAAAUUUAAUUAAUUAAUUUUAUCAAUGGUUAUUUAAAUUUAGUUGGAUAAGAUUCUUUGAAUUUAAAUUUGAAGAAUCUUUGAGGGUUUUUAAUUUUUUUAAUUUAUUAUUAUUUAUUUAUUUUGAAAAAACUCCCUAUCUAAUUGAAAUGAUUUUAUUUGAGCCAAUAAUGAACUUAGUUUGAUAUAUUUUUGCUUAAUUUGAUGCCAUGUAAAUAGUUCAAUAAUGAGCUAUUUUUGCUAAUAAAUUGACAUUUAGGUUGAUAAAAGAGGAUGGCUAAUACUUACAUGAAUAAGAAGCUUUUUAAUUCAAAUUGUAAGUUUAAUAUUCUUUAAAAUUUAUAUACUUAGAAUUUAUAAGUAUUAUUUAAAAUCUUAUAUUUAAAUAAAAUAUUUAGAAAAUACAUCUUUAAUUAUACAUGAUUCUAAAUACAAUUUUUGAACAAAUCUUAGCUUUAUUCCAAUAUGCAAUAUAAUAAAAAUUAUAAUUUAUAAUAUUAGAUUUUUUCUUUUCUUUUUUUUUUUUUCUUUUUAAUCAAUGUUGCUUACAAAAAAAAUCAAAUGGAAUAAGAUUAGUUGGAACUAGAAGAAUAACAAGUAGGAAGAUAAGAACAACAAUGACAAUAUCAAAACAUAUAUUUAGAUAUAGCUUGAGUAAGGAAUAGGAAGUUAGAAUAGUCAAGGAUUUGAGAAAUACCACAAUAUAUUUUCAUGAAAUUGCAAGUUCAAUACAAUGUUUUGAUAGUAGAAUCUCAAGAUAGAAUACUAUAAGGCCAAAGGCCAUAUAAUUCUAAGAUUUUGACAAUAAACAAGCUCAUUCAUAAAAAAUGUGUAUGUGCGAGUGGUACUUUUAUAGAGUUGUAUCUCAAAUAUGUUUGUUAUUUCUAAACCUCUAGUAAUAUUUAUUAACUAUGUUAAGAAGCAUCGCAUGACAAAACUUUUAGGGAAGUCAAUGGAAAAUGAAUACAAGAUCUAUAAGCAAGCUGAAUAGAGGAAGUAGAAUAGGAAGGAACACAAAAAGGACUUUCUUCAACCAUCCUUAGUUUAGUGAGCUUAGGAAAUAUUUGAGAGAGGCCGCCAUUGUUAUUAUCUUUAAACAAACUAAAGAUUUAUAGAUUUAGUUAUAAUAAUAUUUUAUAAUAAUAGAAAAUUGUAUGAAAAUAAAUUUAUAAGACAUGCUAUAAUAUUACAAUAAUUUCAUACAAAUAGUCAAUACCUUACAAUAUAGAGUCCAAAUAACCUAACAAAGGAUACAACAAGACUCCAACCAAAAGUCUACCUAUUAUGGGGGUUAUGAAUACUCCAGCAAUGUUUGUAUUAAUUCUAACAAUGGUAGCAAACUAGAGACAUCUAAGCCUUAAAUAUCUCAUUUUAUAAUAUACAAGUGACUUAGAUAAGCAUAGCAAAGCUUAUCUAAUUAUGGUUGAGAUUAACAAAGUCUUAUCUCUCAAAACAUUGAAACAAAUGUUUUGAAUAAUAUUAAGAGAAGCAUGUGUAAAAUGAUUUCUAUCAUUUACAUGAAGGCAUUCCAAAACCACUUAGAAAGGCUUUAUACUAAGUUUUAUUAAGAGAUUCAAAGAUAUAGAAACUAACAAUAACAUCGUACUUAGAUUAUUAAAAGUUAAACAAAUCAACCACAAAAUAAUAAGAGAUUAUCUAUAUCAAUAAUCUAAUCUUUUGAAAAAACUUGAUAGUAAUUUUAUAGAUUCUAUUCAAACUUUAUGGUUUAAAUAAAAACUAUGACUUAGAAUUUGGCAAAAUAUGAUAUAUAUGUGAUCAAAGAAUAUGGAAAAAAUAAUAAAAGUUACUCUCAAAUUUGGACUUAUACCAGUUUUUCUUACAAAAAUAAGAAAAAAUGAAUUAUGGUAAUACUUUGGUGACUUGAAAAUAUUUUCAUGAAAUACAAUUAAAAAAAUGCCAAUAGGAUUUAGCUAAUCCUAACAAUUACUUUAUAUAUAUUUGAAGCAAAUUAACUAUAGCAAUUAUAACAAUAAUAGAAGAAAUUAAGUAUAAUAUAUUUUACCUAUAAUAUAAUGGUUGAUUAAAUAUCUAAAUAAUAAAAAUAGAUUUACGUUAUAAAUAUAGAAGCAAUCACAAAAUUAAUGAAUGCAUUUAUGGACAACAAUGGUGAAUGAUGUACCAAAAUCAACAAACCAAUGCUAUUAUGAGGUGACCAUCACGAGCACAAAAGUAUCCUAUUUAUCAACAAUAUCUAUGGUACAGGCUCAUUAUGUUAUUAUAAGCAUUUAAAUAAUCCAAGGUUGACAUGAAAUACUAAAAAAAAUGGAUCCAAAAUCCUAUAUUUUAUAUACUUCAAAACAUUGGAAGUGGCUUGAGAAGAUUUGUGAGCAAGUAUAAUAAGAACUAUGCACAAAUCAAGAUACAAAUCCAACAAACUUUAGCUCUAAGUAAACCAUGAUUGAAAAUAUAUUUAAGAACACUAUAGUUAUUAUUACAUCAACUCAAUUGCUCAAAUUCAAUUCCAAGCUAUUAUCUUAUCUAAAAUACAAGGCCUAUCCAAAACCAUCGAAGAAAGUGAUUGCUGAUUUGAAUAUUGUAACAAUGAUCUAGAUGCCACAGUUAUUAAAAUUGGCAUUGAAAACCACAAGUUAAAUAAUAUACUUAUAAAUAGAGGAACUAAAUUUUAUGUGAUUGCAAAUCAUAUCUGCAAAUUCUUUGGACUACUUCAAAUUGAAGCAUCUUUGUUCAUACUUUAAAAAACUAAUGAUACUUGAAUUAAAUCUUUGGAUAUAUUGCAAAAUAAAACCAUUGUAAUAGAAGAGAUUCAAACCUCUAUUAUGUUUUUUAUAAUUGAAAUAUCAACUAAGAGUCAUUUUUUGCUUAUGUUAAAAAAACCAUAGUUACUAGAUAUGAAUGUGUUUCAUGAUUGAUUUAACAAUGAAAUCACCAUUCAUUACUAAUAUCAAAAAUAUUUUCAUCAAUAUAGAUAAUUACAUAACUUAAAAAAAAAGACUUACCAAUUUAUCAACUUAUAUACAACUAUUCGUCUCAAGGCUAAAUAUUGACCAAAAAGUGCUAGUGUUUGCAGUAGAACCAAACUUGGUCCCUAUAACAAUAGUUAAUCUUGCAAAAGUAAUGAACAACAAACAAGUAGAUGUACUUAUUAAUUUUACUAUUAAGCUUCAAGACAAUCCUAUAAUUGACAAACAACUAGCAGAUACCAAAUUUGAAGGAAAAGUUAUCACAUAAUGGAUUCAAAACUCAAAGAAAAAAAUAAAAAUAAUCUAAUUACAAGACAUUUAAAAAAACCAAACAUAUCAACAUAAAUGUCAAUACAACAAAUAAAAUAAAGACUACCAUGAUCUCACUCUUACAUAAAUACUAAGUUAUUUUUGCAUGGUUGCAUAAGGAUCUAAAGGAUCUAUUUGCUAAGUUUAAUAAGCAUUAAAUUGAUCUUAUUUCAAAUAUCUAUCACUCAUAUAUAUAUAUAUAUAUAUAUAUAUAUAUAUAUAUAUAUAUCUUGAUAAUAAGAAUAGGUAGAAAUAAGUCAAGUAGAUAAAUAUGAUAAUAUCUUAUGGAAAGCUUCCUAGAAGCUUCAUAGACAUUGCUUUGUUUUUGUACAUGUCUAUAGGUGAUUGAUAGGUUGAAAACUUUGCCAACAAGGAGGCUACAUGUUGACAUGUUGACCACUUAUUGCAUAAGUUGGUCAUAUGGUGCACAUCUAGGAAACUUGCCUUACAAAUUAUACUUUUGUUUUACAAGUUGGAUGCAUAUUAGAGGUCCUAUAGCAUGUUGCCACAUAAUUCUUAGUUAAGUAGUAUAUAUAGAAGCAAGAAUGAGGCCUUUUUCAUUCCUAUCAAUUCCUUUCUUACUUUUAUUCUAGUUUCAAGGGUCUUAUGUUUUCUAGUCUUUAGCGAUAGCCAUUCCAAUUCUUCCUUGAAUAUACAUACUUUCUUCUAUUUUGUCACUUUUCUUUUGACACAUAUUCCACAAGUUUAUGUAUCUUCUUCUAGUUUGUGUCCUUAACUAAUUGACAAGAGUAUACAUACAAUAUCAGAGCUUUGUCUUUUCUAGAUUCAGAGUGGAUUUUUCUUUUCUUUUAAUAAGACAUAAGUAUAUUAGAAGUUAUCAAUUAUCCUCCUCUAAACUGAUAUUAUUUUUAGAAUUUUUUUUUUUCAUUCUUGAGUAUUUUAUUUUGUAAGAAUAGACAUUUUUUUUUUUUUUUUUUUUUUAUUGUGUUAGCAUGGCAGAUCUUACUCAAAUGAAGAGUGCAAUAGCUCAAAUGCAUGAACAAAUGAGAGAAUUAUUGCUUGUAAUGCAUCAACUCAGUCUACUACCACAAGUAGUAACAAGAUUAUCAGGCAAUGAAGAUAUAUAGAUGAUUGGAGUUGCUUCAAUAUCUACAUCAAGCCAUAUUACUGCUUCUACAAUGGAACAUCAUUCAAGUUUCAAGGAUCCAAAAAUUGGAUUACCUGAGAAGUUUAAUGGUACAAGAUCUAAGUUUUGAGGAUUCAUCAAUCAAGUGCAACUAGUGAUUGAACUACAACCUCAAAGUUAUCCAAUUCAAGGAUCACAAGUCAGGUUUAUAAAAAUACUACUUUCAAGUUCUACUUUAUCAUGAUUUUCAUCAUUUUUUGAAUGACAUGAUCUAAUAUUGGAUAAUUUUGAAGCACUCUUAGUAGAAUUUUGAUCUAUGUAUGGAGAACAUGAUGCAAUCCGUAUUGCAACCAACAAGAUUUGUAUCUUGCGAUAAGACAAUCGAUCAAUGACAUUAUUAUUGUCGUAUUCUGUGAUUUGCUAUUUGAGAAUAUAUUGGAUAUCUAACUGUACAAAGUUUAGCUUAAACUUUUAUAUGUAUCUUGUCUUAGCUUCCAAAAUUCCUUUAUUUUGCAUAAAAUUCAAAAUAUAGUAAAAUCCCUUCAAAAUAUAUUUUUUCCGCGAAGAGUUUUUUCUUCUUGAACUUUAGAAAUUCAUAACUCUUGAUUAUCCCUCUAGUUUGUUUCAAAUUUAUAGGGUAGGUAGAAUUCACCCUUAAGUUUUAUCACAAACAAAACCAAAUGUAAAUUCACUUUUAAUCUUCAAGCAUCUAAGAAUCCCUAGCAGAUGAUUUGAAUCCUAAUUUACAAGCACCUGAGUACUAUUUUCUUAAUAUCUCAAGGACCUAAUACUCAAAUGCCAUCAAACUUAUGUAAAAAGUUUACUUACAUGAAUAUAUACAUUCCUUGAUAUUUUGAGCCAAUAUCUUAUCAAACUACUCAAGAUAUAGCUCAAGACACAACCACUAGUAAAUCGGGUCACUUACCACCCUUAGAUUGCAUGCAUUGAUUUUAAAAUCCAAUAUCUCCAUCAUUCCAACUUAGAAUCCAGCAAGCAAUAUGCGAAAAGUAAAGUUGCAUAAGUGCUCUCUCUAGUCAUGGUCGUUGAUCCUCAAUUGUUUUCUGUACAUGUACGUUAUGUCAAAAAGAGUGACAAUAGCUCCCAAAUCAACACCUUAACUUUGAGCGCAUAUAUCUCCUUCAUAUAAACUCCAAAUCAUACAAAACUUGCACCAAAACUAUGGCCAAAAACUUGAGCUCUCUAACCUUAGUUUUCAAAGUAUGAAUGGUCCCAAAAAACUAAUCCUAAUCUUUAAUAUGGCCUCAGGCAGCCUCUUCAAAGCCCAUUGGUCAUGAUUUUUGACCAAUAGGAAUGGAGAUUUUCAUCAUCCAUCUCCAUUCAUCUAUAUAGAUGCCCUACAUUCUCUUUUUAUUAUCAAAAUCUCUUUCCAACUCUUUUCUUUACAAGAUAGAACCAAAAUAAGACUUCAAGGGUCACCAAUGUCAAAUAAAGGUGACUCUUAAUAUUUAAAGUUACUACCAAAAAAAUCAAUAUUUAAAGUUACUACCAAAAAAAUCAAUCUCAAAAGCCACUACCAAAAAAAAUAAAGUUAUGUAAAUUCUAAUAAUAAUACUUUUAAAUAACUUCUUUUUAAAGUAGUAAUUUAACCACAUUCUACAACCAACUAAAAUCUAAUAACAUGGCUCUCACCAUGUUGUUAAGUAAAUUAUACAUUAAAUAUAUAAUCACAUUAUUUUUAAAUAGUAGCUGAACUACAACAUGACAAUGCUUCAUAAUUUUGACAAUUAGCAACAAACAUCAAGUAGGAUGAUGCAGCACUUAUCAGCCAAUUUCUCUAUAGAUUCCAAUAUGAAGUAAAGAAAUUAAUGCUCAAUUUACUUGAUCUCAAGACAUUGAGUCAAGUAAUUGACUUUGUUGUAAAAUGUGAUGUAAUUGGUUUUUUGAGUUUUGAUUUGAAAAUUGUACAAGAAAACCUCAACCUUAUUACAAUUCAAUGAUGAUAUGAAUGACUUUUCAAUCUAAAUAUUUGGAAGUAGAAGACAUGUAAAUUGAUGUAGUAUGUUUUAAACCUCUUACCGAAUAAGAAAAGACUCGUGGUUGUCAAGAAGGACUAUAUUUGUAUUAUAGAGAAACUAAGCACAAUUUUCAAUAUUAUCCAAAGAAACAAUGCAACUAUAAAAUGAAGAGUACUCCUAUCAAAGAUGAAAACAUGUCGGAAAACAAAUUUGUCCAACAAUAAUAGGGACCAUGUGGCUAAAAUCUUGUACAAUUUCUAAUAAAGGUCCUAUUCUCUCCUUAGAACCUUCUCUUUCUUUUACAAUAGAUGUGCAUUUAGCAUCUAAUAAUCACAAAGCCUCUAUCUUAAUAGAUUCAAGAGCCUCAGCUUGUUUUUUAGAUGAAGAAUUUAUUAAAAGUCAUAAUAUAUAAUUAGUACAAAAAACUAAAUCCAUAUAUGUAGAAGUCAUACAAGGUCGUCCAUUAUCUUCUAGAGAUGUUACUCAUGAAACACUUCCUAUAGAUGUAGUAAUAAAUGGUCAUAAUAAUUGCAUAAAUUUGAACAUAAUUAGAUCUCUCACUAAUCCAAUCAUUUUAGGUUUAUUCUGGCUAAAAAAGUAUAAUCUUGUGAUAGAUUUAAAUUCUUAUAAACUUAACUUUUUUUCAAACAUCAUUAAGAGUUUUUCUAAUCCAGUAGAAAGCCAUGAGUUUAGUAUAGCCAAACCUAUACUUGUAGGUGCAAAAGCCUUUUUGCAUGCAGCAAAAAAAAGAUCAUCUUUUUUUAUUUAUGCCACACCUAUUUUAAAUGAUGGAAAGAUUUCAAGUGAAAUUCUAGUUCAAUAUCAAGAUUUUCAAGAUAUUUUUGAAAAAAAGAAUGUAGAUAUUUUCUUGAAGCAUUAUCCAUAUGAUUACUCAAAUGAUCUUAAAGAAGGAACUCAGCCACCAUUUGGUCCAAUCUAUAGUUUAUCACAAAAUAAGUUAGUUAAACUCAAGAAAUACAUUGAUGAGAACUUGGCCAAAAAUUUCAUAUGCCAUUCAAAAUCUCUUAUAAUAGCUCUAAUCUUAUUUGUAAAGAAAAAAAGAUGGAUCAUUGCAAAUGUGUGUGGAUUAUCAAAGAGUCAACAAGAUUACCAUCAAGAAUAGAUAUCCUCUAUUUUUGAUAUUUGGACUUAUUGAUCAAUUAAAUCAAGCUAAAAUCUAUACAAAAAUAGAUCUACAAAGAACAUACAAUCUGGUUUGCAUCAAAAAAGGAGAUGAAUGGAAGAUUACAUUUUGAACAAGGUAUGGAUACUUUGAAUAUAAUGUCAUGCAUUUUGGACUCACAAAUAUACCAAUUACUUUUCAAUAUCUUAUGAAUGAUGUUUUUUGUGAGUUUAUAGAUGAUUUUAUUAUUUGUUACUUUAACAACAUUUUAAUCUAUUUUAAAAAUACAAAAGAACAUAAAAUUCAUAUUCAUUGUGUAUUCCAAAAAACUUAGAGAUGCGAGAUUGUAUGCCAAGAUAGAAAAGUAUAUAAUCCAUACUACUCAAGUUGACUUCUUUAGAUACAUCAUUUCAAACAAUGAUCUAAUGAUGGUUCCUAAAAGUAUAUCUUAUAUACUUAUUUUAUAUAUAUACUAAUCUUUUAUCGCGUCGACUUAUCAAAAUCAUUUUUUAUGGAGACAAAUGCAUUUGAUUUUACCUUAGGUGCAAUCUUGUCACAAAUAAGUGUAGAUGAUAAAUUUCAUGCAGUAGCUUUUCAUUCAAGAAAAUUUUUAGGAGCUCAGAUUAAUUAUGAGGUCCACAAUAAGGAACUUCUUACAAACAUAGAUUCUUUUCAAGAAUGGCGCUAUUAUAUAGAAGGCGCUUUAAUUCCAAUCAUCAUAUAUGCGAAUCACAAGGACCUCAAGUAUUUCAUGUCAAUAUGUGUUUUGAAUCAUUGUCAAAUUUGUUGGAGUAUGUCUUUGUCAAGAUUUGAGUUUAAUAUCACUUAUCAAUCAAAAAAGUAACAGGGUUUGUUUGAUGUCCUUUUUUAGAUAUUCUUAUCUUAUAUCAAAAGAAGAAUAAACAACUUUUGAUCAACAAUAGAUAGUUUUAUUGAAGUCAAAAUAAUUUUAUUUCCGAGCAAUGAAAUCAACAUUGAUUAUUGAUUUGACUUUUUUCAAGCAAAUCCAAGUAAUUUUGUCUUUAGACCUUCUUGUUCAUGAUAUUAAAAAUAAUUCUUUGAAGUCUCAAGAUACUUCUAAGUUUGAGUAUAAGAAGUAUCUUCUCUAUUUCAAAGGAUACUUAUAUAUUCUAGAAGGAGAAGUGUGAUUAUGUGGUCUUAUAGCUUAUUAUAUUUUCCUUGUAAAAGGGCAUUUUGGAUAUAAUAAGGCUUUAGAGCUUAUAUCCAAAGAUUUUUAAUAGCCUCAAAUAUAGAAGGAUAUUAAAACAUUUGUGUAGACAUGUGAUGUUUGUUCAAGAUCAAAAACUCCUCUUAAUCAUUCUCAUGGAUUCUUCCAACCAUUACCUAUAUUAAAACAACCAUGGUCUUUUCUCUCUAUAGAUUUUAUCACAAAUCUUCCAAUUUCAAGUUCAUAUGAUUUCAUAUUUGUGAUUAUAGAUUGUUUCAUCAAGAUGGUAUAUUUUGUACCAUGUACAAAAUCUAUCACACAUGAAAGAAUAACUAAAUUCUUCUUUGACAACAUCUAUUGCUAUCAUGGAUUUUCAAGGAAUAUUAUAUCAAACAAAAGAAUAUAAUUUUUAUCAAGAUUUUAAAAAAUUCUUUUUAAAAUAUUAAAGGUGGAUAUGAAACUAUCUUCAACUUUCCAUCCUAAAACUCAUAGAGAAGUAAAAUGGAUAAAUCAUGUUUUAGAGCAAUAUUUGAGGUGUACCAUCAACUAUCAAGAAGAUGAUUGGACAACUCUUUUGCCAUUGGCAGAGUUUGCUUACAAUAAUUUGGUACAUUCUUCAACUUAACAAACAUCUUUCUCUGCCAAUUAUGGUUGUCAUCUACAAUUAGAUACUUUUGACUUUUCAAAAAUUGAUAUUCUUGUAGUGAAAGAUGUAGUAAAUUGAUUAUCAGAGCUAUAUACAACAAUAAAGGCACAAUUAAAAGAAGCUCAAGAAUAACAAAAAAUCAAUAUAGAUGUCUAUCAUAAGGAGCAACUUCAAUUCCAUGUUGAAGAUAAGAUAUGGUAACUUCAUCAUAAUAUUAAAACUAUAUGUUUUUAUAAAAAACUAGAUUAUGGUAGCCUUGGACCAUUUUCCAUUUAUAAAUAGAUCAAUCCAGUUACUCAUCAAUUGUAUCAAUUUGAUUCUAUCAAAAUCCAUCAUGUGUUUAAUGUAUCUUUACUCGAACCAUACAAGACAAUGGAUAUAGAAGAAAGGAGACAAAUGCCACUACCUCCUAUAGAAGUGCAAAAAAUGAAGAAUUUAAGGUAGAAGAAGUCUUAGAUUUAAGGCAGUGUUGAAAUAGGUUAGAAUAUCUGGUACAUUGGCAUAGAUAUGACAUUAAUGAAUAUACAUAGGAGCCAUCCAAGAAUCUAGCAAAUGCAUUGGCCAAAGUUAAAGCUUUUCAUCAAUGACAUCCAUCAAAAUCAAGAUAAAGAAUUAAGAAAUUCUUUGCUAUAAAGCAAAACAAGCCCAAUGGAGAUUUCAUUCUAUCUUGUAUUAUUGUUUUUUUGGUUUUUUUAGUACUUAAGAGAUGGAGAACCAACAACCAGCAAAUUCAACUCAAGAGCUAUCAUUUGUUGAGCUACCAAAUGAGACAUUCUGACUACCACAACCUUUGAGAUGGCAAAAUUGAGAUGAAGAUCUUGAAGAACGACAUGUUCUUCCUUAAAAAGAUGGUGAGAUACAACGCAUUUGAUACCAUGACCACGGAAGGAACUCCCGAUGUUUAGUGAUACUUUUGAAGGUAGAAACCACUCUUUAUGGUAUUAUUAAUUUUUUAUUUGAAGAAAGUUAUGAAGGCCUCAUUAAUGAUCAAUUCAUGAUAAAAUAAUGAUAAAAUUUGGUAGUUGUUAAAGUCUUUAAAGAAGUCAAGUGUGCUUACACAAAUCAUCUAAUACUACUUGCUAUCAAUUUAAAACUUCUUUUUUGUGUUUAUUCAAAUGCCUCUAAUGUUACUAUUAACAUAUUACUCACACAAAAUUACAAAAGAAAGUACAUCAAUAUAUGUCUUACAUAAGCAGAUCAUUGAAACCAAGUAAGAAAAAUUAUUUGACCUCAAUAUGUGAAGAACUUACAAUGAUAUAUGCCAUAUAAAAAUACAAACACUAUUUAUUUAAGAAUAAAUUCAAGUUUGUAUUCAACUACCAAAUACUAUUGCUCUUAGCGAAUUAACUCAUGAUCAAAGGACAAAUAACACAAUAGAUAUUGCUACUUAUAGAAUAUAACUUUGAAGUCAUUUGAAUUCUCCAAUAACAAAACAUAAUUGGUCAUAAUUUAUUAUAAGCACUUAGCCUAACAACUAACUUAAGAAUUGACAAAUGUUUUAUAGAUCUAUAUAAUCAAAGUGUUAUUUUAGAUAUUAUAAUGAUCAAUAACUUUUGAAUGUAAGAUCUAAUUAACUAUCUAACACUGGAACAAUUCCUUUAUACAUUCAUUGGCUUGAAUUGCAUCAACUUUGUAUACAAAUCAUUAACAUAUAUAUGUACCAAUAGCAACCUUUAUAAACUAUAGAUAUACAAUGAUACGUGAUUGUGCAUCUGUAUAGUCCAACAUCAUGAAUUGAUUUAAGUUAUGUACAAUUAUCCUACAAAUAGAUAUCAAGCGAUCAAUAAGACCAUUAAAAUAUUUCUUAUCACUAAAUAUUGGUGGCCUUCAUUCCAUAUAGAUUUUUACAAAAUAUGAUUCAUGGUACCAUGCUUGUAAAAUUACCAAACUUAGAUUUCUACGUAGGAAGUAAGCUUGUCUACAAUCUAUAUCUCGACUUUUUUUAUUUAUGUAUUAGAGACUAAGCUUCAUCGGUGCUAUUAAGCCAUGCACUAACCUAUAUAAUAAAUAUAUAAUUAUGGCAAUGAACUUUGUAAUCAAAUGGUGUAAGGCUUGUGCAUUAAAAAUAAAUACAACAUCAACCACCACCAAAUUCGUAUACAAAAAUAUAAUCAUAUAAUUUAGAUACUUACUUGAGAUAGCUUCAAAUUAAGAAAUCUAUUUUGUAAAUGAAGUAACCAAUUAAUUCUUAGACAAAUUCAUAAUCAAGUAUUGGAUAUCAUGUACUUAUUAUCUCCAACAAAAUGGUCUUACAAAAUCCAGAAACAAAAUAGUUAUCAAUAUAGUACAUUGAUUCAUUCACAAUAAGGUGGAUUAAGACAAAGAUUUAUCUGCUCUUCUAUAGGCCAAUUGCAUUGCAUAUAAAAUUGCCAUUGUAUAGUUUCCUUUCAAACUUCUGUUUAGGGUAUAGCCCUUGCUAUCUAUAAAAUAUAUUGUACUAACUUUUGAUAAACUUGUGUAUCCUAAAGUGUCAAGUAUUAAAGCUAUUGUUUCCUAUAUUGUAGAUAUCAAAAGAAAUAAAGAAUUGUACCAUUAGCUAUUACCGAAAUCCAAAAAAUUAGAUAAAGAUGAUAUCACAAUACAAAAAAUUAAAGUUAGUGCUUUAUAUCUAAUAAUAGUGAGUAAUCAAAUUUACUAGUGGUCAUUUUUUGAGCUUUAUCUUGAGCCAUUUGAUAAGAUUUUGGCUCAAAAGUUUUUUAAUUGUGUGUAAUUAUAUUAAAAAACUUUAUGCACAAAUUUUGUGGAAUUUGCAUUUUGGGUUUUCUUGAUAUGAAGAAAAUAGUUAAUAGGUGCUUCUUAAGUAGGGUUUUGAACAUCAUGUAGGAUUUAUAAGAUAGUAGAAGAUCUAUGUUAGAUUCAUGGUUAUUAUUUUUUGUGGUAAAGCUUUAGUAUAGAAUUUAUAUCAUGUAAAAAUUUAAAAAAAGAGAUUAAGAGAUAUGAAUUUUUAAAGUUCAAGGUAAAAAUAUCCUUUAUAAGAAGAAAAUAUUUUGAAGGGUUUUAAUAUAUUUUGUACUUUUGUGCCAAAUAAAGGAUUUUUUGGAAGCUAAGACAUCAUAUAUAAGUAAAAGCUAAUUUCUCUACAAAUUCUAAAUUAAUUAAGCUCUUUAUACAAAUACUUUAGAUAAUUAUGUUAUAAUCUCAAUAUUAGUCCAUACUAGUAAUUUUUAUAUUUUCUUUCUCACUCUCCCCUUUGUGCCAUUGCCUUCUUGUACUCUUGAUCAUUUUAUCACUUUAUUGCUUUAUUUUCCUAUGUAUGUGAUAAAACAACAACCUUACUCACAUUAGAUUUGAUUCUUUGCAUUAUUGAAGAUCUAAUCUUAGAUAGACAUGAAAGAUCAUGCAUAGAUAGAAAAUGUAAAAUUAAAUAAAUUUUAUUAGCACCUUUUUGGUGACAUUAACAAAACUUUAUAUAAGAAAUUUGUGUAUAAUAUGAUUUUUUGCAGUGCUAGUAAAUAUUAUUACAUGAGCAAAGUAGAAGGUAAAGAUAUUUGUUAAAUUAUAAUAUAUCAUUAUGUAACAUACGUAUUUAUGUUUGUAAAAAUAAUGUUUUUAGGAUUCUACUGUGAGCAACUUCUUGAAAACUGCAAAUGUAUUAUCAAAUUCAAGACCAAGACAUGUGGAAGUUAUAACAUCUUCAUGAUUAAGAUUUGAGGCAAACUUCGCAAAUAUACAUGCAUUUGUGGAGUUUUUGAAGUAGUAUAUGUUUACAAGUAAGUGAAUAACAUGUCAAAUAUUAUAAUAGAUAUUUAUUUUUUAGAUUAAAAAAAACUAAAUUAAUAAAGAAAUAAUCAAUGAUACAUUUAAAAGAGAAUUAUAGUACUUAAAGUAAGAUCCUCAAUUGUCUAAUAUAAUUUGCCUAUAUCUUAUAAAUUACAUACAUAAGUAAAAAUUCCAUGUCAUAAAGUUCUAGAAUUAUCCUAGACAUACAUAUUUAUUCUAAUAUUUAUCUAUAUUAUAAAAAAGAAAUAAGUAAAAAUAGAUUUAUUUUAUAAUAUUUUUUAGAAUAGCUUCUUAGAAGCUUCAUAGAUGUUGUUUUGAUUUUAUAUAUGUUUGUAGUUGAUUGAUAGGUUAGAAACUUGAUCAAAAAAUUAACCACGUGUUGGUGGUGUAUAAAAUAUGUUAAUUAUGUAGCACACAUAUAGAAAAAAUUCCUUAUAAAUUAAGAUAUGUAUCUUACAAAAUCAACACAUUUUGGAGGUCCUAUAAGACUUUGCUAUAUAGCUCUUAGUUGAAAGUAUAUAUGGAAGCAAGAGUGAAGUCUUCUUCACUCUUAUCAAUGCCUUUCUAGUCCUUCAUCUUGUUUUAAGUCUUUCUAGACUUUUAGUCUUAUGUAAUAGCCAUUUUAGUUUAAUACUAUACCAUCUUCAAAUGUUUUUUUAGUCUUUUUGAUUGACAUAAUAAUGCAUUAAGAUUUUUCUUUCUUUGAGAUUGAUGUCUUUGAUAGUUUAACAAGUGUGUUAACUCAUUGUUCUUGUCUUUUUUUAGAAGUGAGUGCAUUAUUCUACUUCUAUUGUUGUAUUUUGAAGGUUGUGGAUUUUCUACCUUUAAACAAACAGUUUUGUUUUUUAAUAUUGAUUUUUUCUUUUAAAAGAGCAGAUUAUCUUUUUUUGUAGAAAUUUACAUUUGAUAAUAGAGGUUGCGGAUUACCUAAUUUUAAUUUAAUUUGUAGAUUUUUUAAGUUAUUUGAAAAGGAUAGAAACAUCACAAAUGCUAAACUUGACAGAAGUGAGAGUAGAUUUUUAACUAUUAUUGAUCUGCAAGAACUUGUUAAUAUUCAAAAGAUAGAUAUUUCAUACAUCACUUAUGCCAACCACAAAAAUACUAAUCCUAAAACUAUAGAAGAAGUUCAAAGUCUGCAUCAAAAAGUUGUAUAAUUAAAAGAAAAAAAUAAAUCAACCUCACAACUAAAUCUAAUUUUUUUUGCUUCUUUUAGUACAAUAGGGAGAAGGAUUAGUAUGCCAAAGAAUUUUGAUGGAAUAAGAUUAAAAUGUUGAAGAUUUUGCAACAAGUCAAGUUCUAAUUAAGAUUACAUCUCUUUAAAUACUUUGAUGGAUUUUCAUAAGUUAGAUUCAUAAGUGCACUUCUAUCUAAAAGUGCUCUCUUUCUUAGUUUAAUGCUUUGAUAGACAAAGGAUUCACGACUCUUUUAUGAUUGGAAUUCCAUCUUAGAAGUAUCUACAGCCAUAUUUUGAGAAAGUGAUCAAGAAAGAGUAGCAAAAAUCUAGUUUUUAUCUUUACAACAAAGAUCAAGAUCAGCCAUGAUAUAUGUUUCUGAAUUCCAAAACCUCACUUACAAUAUGGACUAAAAUAACAAAGCCCUCAUCAAUCAAUUUCAAUAUAUGGUAAGGAUAACGUCCAAGAUUUAUUAUUAACAAUGUCAAAAAUAAAAUCUUUGAAAGAAUUUAUUAUUGAAGCCAUUGCAUGCAACAAUCAAUUAUUUAAAUGGCACCAAGAACAAAAAUUUGAUUAGAGACAAGCAAGUCAAGCAAUGACAAAAGCUUCUAAUUUUUCAAAAACUUAUUUAUAAAGGCCGAAACCAAUACAAAUUGAUACUAUACAUUUUAAAUCCUUUACUAAGUAAAAAAAGACUUGAUGUCAUUAAGAAGAUAUGUACUUGUAUUGUAGAGAAGCUUAGCAUACUACUCAACAUUAUUCAAAGAAGAAAUGUAAUUACAAAGUGAUGAGUAUAAUUACUUAAGAAGAUAAAUAUAUCAAAAAAUAAGUUUCUUCAGCUACAAUUAGAAUUGUACAUCUUGAAUUAUAUAUAACUCCUAUUAAAAGACCUAUUCUUUCCUCCAAUCUCUCAUGCUAUUAUAUAAUAGAUGUGUAUUUAGGACAUUAAAAUCACAAAGUCUUUGCAUUAUUAGAUUUUAGAGCCUCAGAUUGUUUUAUAGACAAAGACUUUAUCAAAAAACAAGAAAUAUCUUUAAUCAAGAAAACUAAAUCUAUACAUGAAGAAGUCAUAGAUGGUCAUUUGUAGUCUGUUAGAGAUAUUAUUUAUGAGAUUUUUUCUUUAGAUGUAAUAAUAAGAGAUCAUAAUAGUGUAGUAAUAUUUAAUGUGAUAAGAUCUCCCUUUAAUCUAGUUACUAUAUGAUUAUUGUAGUUAAAAAAAUAUAACUCUUAGAUAGAUUAAAUUUCUUAUAAUAUUAAGUUCUUUUGAAGUUUAAUCCAAAAUUUUGAUAGUGAAAUAGAAAUAGAUAAGCCUAGUACAUUCAAAUCCUUGCUAAUAGGUGCAAGAGCUUUCAUCAUGCAAAAUAAGAAAAGGCCAUCUUUUAUUAUAUAUGCCAUACCUAUUUCAAAUAGUAGAAAGAUGUCAUAUGGUUUUUUUAGCUAAUGCCAAGAUUUCUAAGAUGUUUUUGAAAGAAAAAAUAAGAAUAUUCUUUUAAAGCAUCAAUCCUAUGAUUGUUGAAUUAAUCUACAAGAAAGAACUCAACCUCCAUUUGGAUCAUUUUUUAGCUUAUUGCAAAAUGAUUAGGAUUGCUUGACCAAUUCAAUCAAGUAUAGAUCUAUAGAAAAAUAGAUCUAUAAAUAGCAUACAUCUUAAUUCAUAUUAAAAAAGACUGAGUGAAAGACUACUUUUUGAAUUAAGUAUGGUCAUUUCAAUUAUAAUGUCAUGCCUUUUGGACUCACAAAUGGACCAAUCACUUUUCAACAUCUCAUGAAUAAUAUCUUUUGAGAAUUUUUAAAUGAUAUUAUUAUCUAUUAUUUAAACAACAUUCUAAUCUACUCUAAAAAUACAAAAGAAUAUAAACUUCAUGUAUGUCAUGUGUUACCUAAACUUAGAGAUACAAGAUUGUAUAUAAAGAUGAAAAAGUGUGUAUUCCUCACUAUUUAGGUUGAAUUUUUAGAAUGCAUUAUUUCUAAUGAAAGAUAAAUGAUAGAUCUUGAAAAGGUCUAAACUAUCAUGGAUUAAAAGAUUUCAAGAAUAAUGAGAGAUGUGUAAUAUUUUUUUUAAAAUUUUCUAAUUAUUAUCAAAUCUUUAUUAAAAAUGAUUUUUAAGUUGGAACUUUUUUUAUAUGUCUCAUAUAAAAAGAAUAAUUUGAAUGGAACAAAGAAGCAAAAACAUCUUUUGAAGCCUUAAAGACACUAUUCAUUUUUGUACCAAUUUUGUAUCAUGUCAAUGUUUUAAAGGUAUUCUUCAUAGAAACAAAUACAUUAUACUUUGCUAUGGGUGUUGUUUUAUCACAAAUGAAAGCAGAUGAUAAGCUCUAUCCUAUUUUUUUUCAUUCUAAAACAAUAUUAAGAAUUAAGAUUAACUAUAAGAUCCACAACAAAGAGCUUCUUGAAAUUAUGGAUUCAUUUCAAGAAUGGCAUUAUUAUCUAGAAGGCACUUAUAGUUCAAUUAUGGUACAUACAAAGGACAAGAUCUUCAAGAACAUUAUAUUGGCACAUGUUUUGAUCAUCGCCAAGCUUGUUGAAAUAUGUCUUUAUUAAGAUUUGAUUUUAAGAUUACAUAUAGACCUAGAAAAAUAACAAGGUUAUUCAAAUAUCUUUUUAGAUAUUCUUAUCUAGCAUCAAAAGUAGGAGAUGUCACAUAUUAUCAUUAAAAAAUGAUUCUCUUGAAGUCAAAGCAUUUUCAUCUUUGAGCAAUAAAAUCAAAAUUGACUAUUGAUUCAACCUUUGUCAAGCAAAUUCAAUCUAGUAUGUCUUUUGAUUCUCUCUUUUAUGAUAUCAAGAAUAAAUCUUUUAAGUCUCAUGAUACUCUAAGUUUAAGUUCAAAAAUAAUCUAUUCUAAUUAAGAGACAAUUAUACAUUCCAAAAGACAAAGCAAAAUUGUAUAUUCUUUAAGGUCAACACGACUUUCUAAAAGCUAAAUAUUUUGGACACAAUAAGACUUUGAAACUAGUAUCUGAAGAUUUUUCAUAGCUUAAAAUGUGGAAGGUAGUCAAAGACUUUGUACAAUGAUGUGAUAUUUGUUUAAGAUCCAAAAUUCUUCAUCAUCAAUCUUAAGCACUUCUUCAACCAUUACCUAUCUUGAAACAACCAUGGACUUUUAUUCUUAUGGAUUUUAUUACAAAUCAUUCAAUCUUAGGUUUAUAUGAUUCUAUAUUUGUGAUAGUAGAUCAAUUUACUAAGAUGGUAUAUUUGUACCAUGUACAAAAUCUAUCAAAAGAAAAGAAACAACUAAGCUUUUUCUAAACAACAAUUAUUGCUAUCAUGGAUUAUCUAAGGAUAUUAUAUUAAAUAGGAAACUUGAUCUAUAUCAAGAUUUUUGGAGAAUCCUUUUUAAGAUUGUAAAAGUAGAUAAAAAGCUCUUUUGAGCUUUUCAUCUUCAAGUUGAUAGACAAUCAGAAUAAGUGAAUUAAAUUUUAGAGUAGUAUUUGAGGUGUACCAUCAAUUAUCAUUAAGAUGAUUGAACUACUCUUUUGCCAUUGGCAGAGUUUGCAUAUAAUAAUUUAUUAGAUUGUUCUACUCAACAAACACCUUUCUUUGUAUACUAUGGUUAUUAUGUAUGACUUGAUACAUUUAACUUUUUAAAAGUUGAUAAUUCUAUGGCAAAAUGUUUUGCAAAUCAUUUGUCAAAAUUACAUGCAAGAAUGAAGGCACAAUUAAAAGAAGCUCAAGAAUGACAAAAAAUCAAUGUAGAUGCCUAUUUCAAGGAACAACCACAAUUCAACAUAGUUGUUAAGGUAUGGGUACUUUGUUAUCAUAUUAAGACUACUCAUCCUUGUGACAAGUUGGACUAUCAUAGAAUUGGACCUUUUCCUAUUAGUGAAUAAGUCAAUCUUUUUGCUUAUCGAUUAAAUCUAUUGGAGUCUAUGAAGAUCCAUUUCAUAUUCCAUGUAUCUCUUUUUGAGCCAUAUAAGACAAUGAAUAUCUUGAGAAGAAGUCAAAUACAACAUCUUCUUAUAAACAUGAAAAAUAAUCAAGAUUUCAUGGUAGUAGAAGUCUUAGAUUUAUGCAGUGCCAAAAUAGAUUAAAACUACUUCAAAGUAGUAAUCACUAUUCUUUACAUCCGUUCAAAGAUACAUAUUGUAUUAUUUUUGUUAAUAUAUCUAAUUUUGCUUUCUUUACAAUCCUAUAAGUAGAUGAAAGUCUUCUUAAGAAAAAAAAAUGCCACAAAGAUACUAAUUGUGAAUAAGAAUUUGAUAGUCAAUAUACUCAUAUACCACUAAAGAAGAAAGAAGCUUAAGAGACAACAAAUAAUAAUAAGAUGUAAAAGAACUAAAAGGAUAGUUGGAAAAUAUGAUGACAUUACAAAGUUUUAUACUAAGACCAAAAUACAACAUAGCUUCUCUUGAGACUAAUGGUUGCCCUAUUCUUGUUUCUAUAUAGAUAUAUAUAUAUAUAUAUAUAAGCUAUUAGGUAGGCCCUCCAAACUCUUCCUAUGCACCUCAAGCCUUAUAAUUAUCAAAUAAUACAUUUGUGUUUGUGUGAAUGGUUUGUGCAAAUGCCAUGUUGGUUGUGAGCAUACAUAUACAUUUAUACACAUACUCUUGACACUAGUUCUGUGCGCAGAAUGCAACAUGUCACGUAGGUGUGACAUUUACCCCUCUAAAAUAGGUUUAGUUGCCCUUCCCAGCCACAGGAUGUCAUGAGCAUGGCUUUUUACUCUGUUGCAACUGGGUGCUGCGUGGGCUUCCAACAGUGCAGCCCGCUGACCACGAGAUGGGCCAUGACGACCACAGUGGUGCCAGAGGAAUGUGACAUUCAUCUGGUUUUGGAGGCAGCGGAAUCCGUUUCCGUGGUUGGCAGCAGCGGCCAGCAGCGGUCAGCUCGAUGGGAAUUCCAUCUCGCUAUCUCAGUGGAGAUAUCUCGGCUUAUCCAAUCCGGUGACCGUAGAAGUGCCCCGAGCAUGAUUUUGCGCUGGGCGAAGUCGCUAUAAGGCCCUCCUCCGAGCUGGGUCGUCCGUGCACAGUCGGCCCGGUAUCGCCACUUCAUCGCUUCACUCCAUUCUGUUGGAGAUCCUCCGUUCGGGAACGUGUGUGCAGACAUGGCAGGAGCUACCGCGAUGCACUCGACAGCCUUGGCUGGGCAGGGUGUGCUCAAGCCCGUGAACGAGCUGUCCCGCAAGGUGGGCAAUGUGGAGGCCCGCGUCACGAUGCGGCGGACCGUGAGCAAGUCCGCUGGCAGCGACAGCAUCUGGUAUGGUCCCCACUUGACGAACUCUGGGAUGACAGUUUUGAGUGCUUGAUGGUUGUGUUGGGAGCGCGAUUGGGAUUGGGGUUGAGCGGAGUGUGUUGGGGAUUGGGGUUGAGCGGAGUGUGUUGUGGAUUGGGGAUUGGGGAUUGUGGGGCGGAGGCCAUGAAGCAGUGGAGGCCUUGAAUUUGGAAAUCGGAAUGGCAUCCGGCCGGGGCGUGUGGUCGGUUUGGUUGUCCACGCGCGGAGCAGCUUGAGAGGUGAGAGGUGAGAGAUGGAGGUUGGCAUCGGCGGUGGGGCAUUGGAAGUGUGACAAAUGUUGGGGUCAGAGCUGCUAUGGCGAGGGUGUGCAUUGCUGAGGUGACAUUGGUGAGGGAUAGAGAGGAACGUAUGCCUAAGCCGAACGUCGGACUGUUGCUCAGGUACGGAGCUGACCGACCCAAGUUCUUGGGCCCCUUCUCCGGCGAGACUCCGUCGUACCUGACCGGCGAGUUCGCUGGAGACUACGGGUGGGACACCGCCGGACUGUCGUCCGACCCGGAGACGUUCGCCCGCAACAGGGAGCUGGAGGUGAUCCACGCCCGGUGGGCCAUGCUGGGGGCUUUGGGGUGCCUGACCCCGGAGCUGUUGGCGAAGAGCGGCGUGAAGUUCGGCGAGGCGGUGUGGUUCAAGGCCGGAGCGCAGAUUUUCAGCGAGGGCGGGUUGGACUACCUGGGCAACCCGAGCCUGGUGCACGCCCAGAGCAUUUUGGCGAUCUGGGCAUGCCAGGUGGUGCUGAUGGGAGCCGUGGAGGGCUACCGUGUUGCGGGAGGACCCCUGGGCGAGGUGACAGACCCCAUCUACCCGGGAGGGUCGUUCGACCCCUUGGGUUUGGCUGACGACCCCGACACCUUCGCGGAGCUGAAGGUGAAGGAGAUCAAGAACGGGCGAUUGGCGAUGUUCUCGAUGUUCGGGUUCUUCGUGCAGGCGAUCGUGACCGGAAAGGGGCCAUUGGAGAACUUGAACGACCACUUGGCCGACCCGGUGGCCAACAACGCAUGGGCGUACGCCACCAACUUCACCCCCGGGAACUAGGAUGGCGCGGUAGAGCCGAUUUAAUUUUCUGUGAGCUGCGAGAGUCUGUCACCUAGACGGAGCCACCAGUCGGGUUGGCGGCGUUCGCACAGUUGUACAUUGGGAGAGUGUGAAUGAGUAAAUUGUGGAUGUGUUAUUGUAAUUGGGAAUUGCAACUGGGCGGAGGGACGGGGAGGCGGGUGUGGAUGUGGGCAUGGAACGGUUCCGUACGCAGACGGGUGUGUGUUGGUUUCGGCCGGUAUGGGAAGUAGCGCCAUGUCUUGCGGGAUCGAUGUGAUGGGGAGUGGUUUCGUGGAGUGAAAGACGGUGAGAGCCGAAACUGUGAAUGUGAGGGUGGGUGCGGGGGAAUUUGUUUGAUCUCUAGGAGCAUAGCGAGGCGCCCAUGCGCUGCGCACGGUGGGGGGAUAAAGUUGGCGGGGAUUGUUUGUGACUGGAGUUGACUGGUGGAUUAUCCAUAUCUGGCAAGCCGUGACAUGUGAUUGAAUUGGCGUCGAGAGGUAGUUUGCGUGGAUGGCAGAGCUCAAUCAGCAUAUAUGAGGGUGAGGCACACAGCGGGCUCUCACACAAUUCUCAUCGGUUCACUUUGGUGUCGAAGUAGGACGGGAAUACGCAGUUCCUGGAACGGGACGCUGCUGUGGAGAAAACGAAUGUGUGGGCGUUGAAUGGGUUGCGUAAAGCUUGUCGGAGCGGGGCAAGGGACUAGAGACCGACUGUGUACCAUGGGAGUGGAGGGAGAUGAAUGCGGAAGGGAUGUGGGGAUAAUUUUUGUAUAUGGACCGUCGUGGUGUAUGCAAGAAGGUAGAACAAGGAACACAGGAAUCGCUCGAAACGGGCAGUGCACAGCGUAAACAGUGUGCAUUUUGAAAGGAAGAACCUGUGUAGUUCGAAUUCGGGAUCGAAAGGAUUAGUCAGGAAGAAUAUCAGAACUGAUAUGCUCUUCAUCCUUGCAAAAUGGACGUGUCAGACGGUCUUGACUGUAGAUGUAUAGAUUCUUGAUUGGUGUACAUAGUUUCGGAUUAUGAGAGUCGCAGUGCUAGCAACCGCAGUGUGUCUUUUCUGCAUUAGGCGCAAGAAAACGUAGAGUAAAUCAGGUACGCUUUGCGCCUGGAAAAUGAGAUUCUACUCCUGUCCAAAUGAUAUACUAUUGCACACAUAUCUUCAGAGGGGAGGAAUGAUUGCGGAUUACAUUCCAUCUCCAACAAAUCAGACAGAAUCCAAAUGUCCCAACCAAAUCUUGCAUUCCGCUCAUUGCAGUAUGUACUAGAAAUUCAUUCCUCAGCAGGCCACUGUGUGCUGAGUCAUUUGACUUUUCAAUUCACAUGUAGUUAUUAUUAAAGCACUUAUUGAGCUCAUGGUCACAAGCAAAAUUUGAAUUAGUGUAGCUAACUCUAUUACUGGGAGCUUUGUGUAUCUACAAUGCAACGCAAAUGCGCACAGUUGGUAAGCAUUUUGUGUUGUUGCAAAUGUAGGGCACAACAAGUAUUGCUGCGGCGGAGCGUCAAUUACAUUGCAAUCAACGUGUGCUUCUUCUCACUAGACGCGGGCAUGAUGCAUUCACUUCUCAACUCCAACAAUACUCCCCAAAACUGCAAAUUUCAGUGCAGUGUAAAAUCCACGAGAAACAAACCACAUGAUCAAAGGACAAAUAAUGCAAUAGAUAUUGCUACUUAUAGAAUAUAACUUUGAAGUUAUUUGAAUUCUCCAAUAACAAAACAGAAUUGGUCAUAAUUUAUUGUAAGCACUUAGCCUAAUAUAUGACUUAAGAAGUGACAAAUUUUUUACAUAUCUAUAUAUUCAAAGUGUAAGUUUAGAUAUUAUAAUGAUCAAUAACUUUUGGAUGUAAAAUUUAAUUAACUGUCUAACACUGGAACAAUUCCUUUAUACAUUCAUUGGCUUGAAUUGCAUCAACUUUGUAUACAAAUCAUUAACAUAUAUAUGUACUAAUAGCAACCUUUAUAAACUCUAGAUAUGCAAUAAUACUUGACUGUGCAUUUGUAUAGUCCAACAUCAUGAGUGGAUUUAAGUUAUGUACAAUUUUCCUACAAAUAGAUAUCAAGCGAUCAAUAAGACCAUUAAAAUAUUUCUUAUCACUAAAUAUUGGUGGCCUUCAUUCCAUAUAGAUUUUUACAAAAUAUGUUUCAUGGUACCAUGUUUGUUAAAUUGCCAAACUUAGAUUUCUAUAUAGGAAGCAAGUUUCUCUACAAUCUAUAUCUGAACUUGCUUUAUUUAUGCAUUAGAGCCUAAGAUUCAUCAGUGCUAUUAAACCAUGCACUAAGCUAUAUAAUAAAUAUAUAACUAUGGCAAUGAACUUUGUAAUCAAAUGGUGCAAGGCUUGUGCAUUAAAAAUAAAUACAACAUCAACCACCACCAAAUUCUUAUACAAAAAUAUAAUCAUAUAAUUUAGAUACUUGCUUGAGAUAGCUUCAAAUUAAGAAAUCUAUUUUGUAAAUGAAGUAACCAAUUAAUUCUUAGAUAAAUUCAUAAUCAAGUAUUGGAUAUCAUAUACUUAUUAUCUCCAACAAAAUGGUCUUACAAAAUCCACAAACAAAAUAGUUAUCAAUAUAAUACAUUGAUUCAUUCACAAUAAUAUAGUACAUUGAUUUAUUCACAACAACAAGGCUGAUUAAGGCAAAGAUUUAUCUGAUCUUCUAUAGACCAAUUGUAUUUCAUAUAAAAUUGCCAUUGUAUAGUUUCCUUUCAAAAUUAUGUUUUGGGGUAUAGCCCUUGCUAUCUUUAAAAUAUAUUGUACCAACUUUUGAUAAACUUGUGUAUCUCAAAGGCUCAAGUAUAAAAGCUAUUGUUUCUUGUAUUGAGGAUGUCAAGAGAAAUAAAGAGUUGUGCCAUCAAGCCAUUACCAACAUCAAAACAAUUAGAUAAAGAUGAUACCACAAUACAAAAAGUUAAUGUUAGUGCUUUAAAUCUAAGGAUAGUAAGAGAUCGAAUUUAUUAGUGGUUGUGUUUUGAGCUUUAUCUUGAGCAAUUUGAUAAGAUUUUGGCUCAAAAGUUUUUUAAUUUUGUGUAAUUAUAUUAAAAAAAUUUAUGCACAAAUUUUGUAGUAUUUGAGUUUUGGAUUUUUUUGAUAUGAAGAAAAUAGUUUAGAAGUGCUUCCAAAAUAAUGUUUUGAACAUCUUCUAGGGUUUCUAACAUGCUAGAAGAUCAAUGAUAGAUUCAUGGUUAAUAUUUUUUUUGGUAAAAUUUAAGCAUAGAAUCUAUAUCAUAUAGAAAUUUGAAAAAAAUAGAAGGGUUGGAUCUAGAGAUAUAAAUUUCUAAAGGUCAAGGUAAAAAUAUCCUUUGCAAGAAGAAAAUAUUUUGAAGGGUUUUGUCAUAAUUUGUACUUUUGUACCAAAUAAAGGGUUUUUUGGAAGCUAAGACAUCAUGUAUAAGUAAAAGCUAAUCUCUCUACAGCUAGGUAUCUAGUAUAUUCUUGGAUAGCAAAUUACACCAUACGACAAUGUAUCACAACUUCAUUAUUUAAAUAAAAUGUAAUCAUAAAGCAUUCUAUCUUAUUGGUAAUAAAAAUGGCAAAUUCUACAAAAAUAUUUAGAAAAGUUCAAACUAAGUAAGCUCUUUAUACAAAUACUUUGUGCAAUUAUGUUAUAAUCUCAACAUUAUUCCAUACUAGCAAUUUUUUUAUUUUCUUUCUCAUUCUAUACUUUGUGCCAUUGCCUUCUUAUACUCUUGAUUAUUUUAUUACUUUAUUGCUUUAUUUUCCUAUGUAUGUAAUAAAGCAACAACUUUACUUACAUUAUAUUUGAUUUUUUGCAUUGUUGAAGAUCCAAGCUUAGAUAGACAUGAAAGAUCAUGCGUAGAUAGAAAAUGUGGAAUUAAACAACUUUUAUUAGCACUUUUUUGGUGACAUUAAUAAAACUUAGUAUCAAAAAUUUGUGUAGAAUAUGAUUUUUUGCAAUGCUAGUAAACAUUAAAUCAUGAGCAAAGUAGAAGGUAAAAACAUCCUAUAAAUUAUAAUGUAUCUUUUUACAAUAUACUGAUUUAUAUUUGUAAGAAUAAUAUAUUUAAGAUUCCAUUGUGAGCACUCUCUUCAAAACUGCAAAUAUAUUAUCAAGUUCAAGACCAAGACAUGUAGGAGUUAUAGCAUCCACAUGAUUAAGAUUUGAGGCAAACUUCACAAAUAUAUAUUUAUUUGUGGAGUUUUUGCAGUAGUGUAUUUUUGCAAGUAAGCAAAUGUCAUGUCAAAUAUUAUAAUAGAUAUUUAUUUUUUAGAUUAAAAAAAACUAAAUUAAUAAAAUAAUAAUCAAUGACACAUUUAAAAAAAGAAUUAUAGUACUUAAAGUAAGAUCCUCACUUGUCUAAUAUGAUUUGCCUAUUUCUUAUAAAUUACAUAUACAUAAGUAAAAAUUCCAUGUCAUAAAGUUCUAGCAUUGUCAUAGAGAUACAUAUUUUUUCUAAUAUUUGUCUAUAUUAUAAAAAAGAAGUAAGUAAAAAUAUAUUUAUUUUAUAAUAUUUUUUAGAAUAGCUUUCUAAAAGCUUCAUAGAUGUUGUUUUGAUUUUACAUAUGUUUGUAGUUGAUUGAUAGGUUGGUAACUUGAUCAACAAGUUAAGCACGUGUUGGUGGUAUGUAAAAUAUGUUAACUAUGUAGUACACAUAUAAAAACCAUGUUUUAUAAGUUAAGAUAUGUGUCUUGUAAAAUUAAGAUAUUUUAGAUGUCCUAUUCUAAGGAAUAUAUAUUUAUUGUAAUAAUUAUCUAGGUAAUAUGAAUAGAUAAAAGUAGAUUAAUUUCAUAAUAUCUUCUAAAAAAGCUUUCUAGAAGUUUCAUAGACGCUGCUUUGAUUUUACAUGGGUUUAUAUUUGAUUGGUAGGUAAGAAACUUGGUCAACAAGUUAAUUAGAAGUUGUAGAUUACACUCUUUUAAACUAAUAUUGUCCUUAGUAUUUUCUUUGUUUUUAAGUCCUUUCUUCUAUUUGUCUUGAGCAAUAUUAGACAUCUUUUUUUCUAAGUAUUAUAAUGCUAGAACUUACUGAAAUAAAGAGAAUAAUAGGAUAAAUGUAAGAGCAAUUGAAGGAGUUAAUGCUUACUAUGCAUCAACUCAAUUUACUACCACAAGAAGCAACAAGAUUGACAGGAAGUGAAGUUAUAGAAAUGAUUGGAGCUGCUUCAACAUUUGCAUCGAAUCAUAAGCCUUCUCCUAUAGUCAGAUGUUCUUUCAAAGUUCAAGAACCAAGAAUUGCCCUAUCUGAGAAGUUCGAUGGCACCAAAUCAAAGUUUAGAGGAUUUAUCAAUCAAAUACAACUUAUGAUUUAACUUCAACCGCAAAGCUAUCCAAUUCUAGGAUCACAAGUUAGAUUCAUUGAUGCGCUUCUUUUGAUAACUGUACAAGUAGACUUCAACAUUACUAUAAUUCAAUAGCAACAUUAACAUCUCUUCAACCUAUACAUUUAGAAGUAGAUGAUAUGUAAAUUGAUGUGGAAUAUUUUAAAUCUCUUACUAAGCAAGAAAAGACUCAUCGUGGUCAAGAAGAAUUGUAUUUACAAUGUGGAGAAUUUAGGCAUACUGCUCAAUACUGCCCAAAGAAGCAAAGCAACCAUAAAAUGAGGAGUAUGGUGUUGAAGUAGAGAAAAUUUGCCUCAAAAAGCACUGGGAUUUUGGUUGCCAUUACAUACUCAAUCAAGUCUAAGAUAUAAAAAACUAAUUUUAUACAUAUAAUAUUUUCUCUUUUUGAGCAAUUACAUUAAAAUAUUAGCCCAAGUACCAAGAAAACAUCCAAAUGUAUAAUAAAGUAUCUUAAAACCUUAUAUAUCUUUAUGAGGAAUGUUUCUGGAACUUCAACAACUUAUAUCUCAAGUUUGAAUCAUCCAAAUAACCUUAAAUGUUACAUAAAGUACUAAUAUACUUUUAAAAACUUUCACAAAAAAAUUCAACUACAAAUUCAUUAUGGAUCUUGAGAUAUCGCCAAAAUCCUAACAGUAGCUUUAAACCCUAGCUUACAUACACUUGCAUGCUAAUUUCUUCAUAUCUCAUAAAAUAAGUACUUAAAUACCAUGAAACUUUGAUGUAUACCUUUUUAACUUAAUAAAUUUAUACUUAUAGAAAUUUUAAGGCAAAAAUUCGUCUUGAAAUUCAAGAUAUGGCUCCAAACAUUUUUAUCAACAAAAUGACUCACUUAUUGCCUUUGAAUUACAUAUGUUGUCUUUAGUGUCCUAUAACUCCUUCAUCUAAGCUUGAAAUUCGUCAAAUAGUAUAUCUAAAGUGUAGCCAACAAAGUGCUCUCUCUAACUCCAGUUGCAGAUCUUUCAUUGCUCUCUGUACGCAUAUGUUAUGCUUCAAAGAAAGAGAGUAGGUACCAAUUUGACACCUUAACUUUGAACACCUAUAUCUCCUUCAAAAAAACUUAAAAUCACACAAAUUCUUCACCCAAAUUAUAUCCAAAACCCUGAAUUUGCUGACCUUAGCCUCCAAAGCUCAAAUGAUCUUGAAAGAGAAAUACUAAUCCCUAAUUUGGCCUCGGGCAACCUUCUUGAAGCCCAUUGGGCAUGGCCUUUAACUAAUAGGAAUGAAGUUUCUCAUUCUUUGCCUUCAUCCAACCAUGCCUUCUUUUCAUCCCUCCCAAUAAGUCUCUUAUUAGUUAAGAUUUUUUACUUUAGGCUCUAAUCUCCUCUCAAGGCUCUAUACUAAACAUUUAGAUUCUAUAAUUUUUUUUUUUGAAAUGCUAUAACCAAAAAGAUAAACUCCAAAUAAAUUUUCUUAAAUCCAAUCUCUUUAAAUUAAUCAAAUAAAUAUUCUAACAUACACCAAGACUUAUAUACAUAUUAUAUGUUCUAAUUAAUUUUUACAUACUAUAAGCUUUUACAGUAUGACAACGGCGAUUAAAGAAGAUAGCAUGUCAAAAAACAAAUUUUUCAAGUGUAGAAUAGAUAAAUAAACUUUGCGGUAAGUUACAGGUUGGUUAUUGAUAUCUUUGAGAAUAACACUAAUGGUUAGGCAGUUUAGUUGGUAAUAGUAGGUUGUUAGUGGAAUAAAUAGUUAAGAAAUCAAAAGGUCAUAACCUUUGGAAUCCACUGGCCAACGGAUCAUCUUUUUGGUAGGAUAAAGAGGUUGAGGAAAGAGAGAUUAAAGCCAGACUGUGAGAGUCGUAAGCCAAGGCAAGCUUAGUGCUACCUCUUUUUGUUUCUUUCUUGUUGACGAGUAAUGGAUAGUUUCUGAAUAUUGAGAAGUUGAUUUGGAGUGCUAGACUAUAAGAGUCAUAAUUUUGUGCGAUGAAUUGAAAAACUGAAUACAAUAGGUAAGCUAAAGAUUAAUAAUUGAAUAUAUCUUAACCGCAAAGAGAGUAAGUGGGAGAUGAACGGAUAAGAAUAUGGAAGUAUUAUUGAAUUGAUAGUCAUAAAAUGGAUUAUAGAUUAAAUUAAGCCUUCAUGUUUUGUAGUUGAUAAUUGAUUUCAAGUAGCUAGAGUACAGUCAAUUGUGACACUAGCAGACCCAAUUCAUAUAACUAAUCUUUCUCCGUAUUUGAAUCCAUCUCUAUUAGUUCAAUUGCUUUGGUAUAUUGAAGCUUGAACACAACAAGAACAACAUUUUGGCGCCGCUAUCGGGGAAAUGAUAACAAUAUGAAAUGUUAGAAAUUGAUUGUAUGAGAGAUCAAAUUAUAUGUUGAAUGUAAACAUGAGAAGUAUCAGUUUUAAGGUUACAAAUAUGUGAGUUAUAAUUCAAGGCAGUAUUGAUUUUGUAAAGAAGAAUGAAAGAUUAUAAGUGAUAAUCAUGAAGGGAAGGAUUAUCAAAGAAUUAAUCGACAAGCAAAAGAAAGAUAGGAGCGAUUAUGCACAAGAAAUUUCCUAUGGGAAUGAUAAAAAGAAAUUGCAAGUCCAAAAAAAAUCAAAGGAAGAAAAAUUCAGAUUCAAAUAGUAAAGAGAUCAGUAAUAAUACCAAUGGUCACGGGAGUGUUAGAAGUACCAAUUGCAGUACAAAUGGGAGCAAUAGGAGACCGCACCACAAGUGUGGUACUAUUACCUACUUUUAGUGGUUGGCGGAGCUCUAAUCCCGAUCACCAUAAAUCUCAAUUCUUAACAACUUACAUGGCUAAUAAUGGUAGAACUAAAGAUAUUUGGUUGAGAUGGUUGCGAGCAACUUUAAAAGAUAUAGCUUUUGAAUGGUAUAUUUGGCAACCAGUGGGUAGAUUUUCUAAUUGGAAGGCCUUGAGGAACACCUUCCUAAUCUAUUUUAGAGCAAUUGGAUUUGAAGAUUGGCUUCGAGAAAGUUUUAUGAAUAAGAGGAUGUUUGUAGAGGAAUCAAUAGAGUCCUAUUAUGGUCGGAUCGCGGAUAUACUUUGUAAAUGGAUAAAUAAUCAAAUGCAACAUGUGUUUAUAUUGUCAAUAAUAAUCAAUGGUUUGCAUCCAUAAAAUUGAAAAUGUUUAUAAAAGAGGCUCGACCAGCUACGAUAGAGGCAUCGUUGGCACAAGCAAAGGUGUGAGAAGAAUGUCAUUAUGAUCAAUUGUUAACAGUGGGGGGCCACGAUGAUUCCAAGUUUAGGAACUCAACAAACAUAACUAGGAAAUGUGUCGAUGGAUAAUUAUCUACAAAUGGCUGACUCCAACAUGAAGAAUGUUAUGUUGCAACAACCAAUUAAUGCUGCACCACUCCAAGAAAUAGCGCCAAUAAUAAUGACACCUUAUUUUACAUCACCAAUCUAUCAACAACCGAAAUUGUUCACAAAUGCGAGUGUUAAAGAUCCAAAUGAAGCCUUGUUAUUAAAUCUAACAAAGAAGAUGGAAGAAUUGGUUGUGAAUUUGGCUAAAGAUAAGGAGAAACAACAUAAGCCUUCUAAUAUGAGACCUAAUAUAUGGUGUAAUAAUUGUAAUGAACAAGGUCAUUUUGAUACAGAAUGUCCAUCACCUAGACAAACGGGUGUUCAAUGUAUAUUUUGUAGAGGAAAGCACCCUAUCCAAAAGAGCUAGCAAUUACAAAGGCAACAAUAAUUCAGUAAUCAGACCAUGAUCCCACCGACUCAGUGGGAAGUCAAUCAAGUUUAAAUGAAAAAUAUGUAUAGAUAGAAUAAAAAUCAAUCUAAUCGAUAAAAUCAAACAUUCAAUAACUUUCAAAAUUCCAAUUUUAAUCAAGGGUCUGCAUCAAACCUCCAGAACUAUGGGAAGGAGCAGUAGAGGUAUCAACAAUAUGCUCCACUAGCAUCAUCGAACCAAGUACCCUCCGUACCAAUGGAACAACUAGGAUCAUUUUCUAACCCUACAUGGAACAAGCCUAGUAGGUAUAUAUCAGUGGAGACACCCAUAAUGCUAGAUGGAGGUACAAGAAGACCCCUUUGUUGUCUCCGUUGCAGACAGAUUGGUCAUUAUCCCAGUGAAUGUUCUAAUCCCAGAGCUAGUGAUGAUUAUGCGCUAGUAUGUGUAAAUUGCAAGUAGUCGAGAUAUACUUAUUAGUAAUAUAAUGCUCCGUUCAAUUUCAAUAAUCGAGAUCAGAAAAUCCAAAGCUAAGGAAAAAUGAAAGAGAUAAAUCAAGGUCCUCAAAAUUUACCACUUCAUCGAGUAGAAGUAGUCUAAGUUGUCCUUACAAGAAGUCAGCAAAAGGGUAAAUGACCAAUUCAACAUUUGGGUGAUCCUGAAGCGAAGGACCAAUUGGAUCCAAUUAUGGGGACAUUCAAUCUAGGUCUUGACAUGGGCUCCUUACUCAGUAUAAGACCUGAAUCGGUUGUGCACCCCAAUGAGGUACCAAUUACGAAGGCUUCGGUUCCGAGUCAAGCUGUUCUGUUCUCUACACAGUUUUGAGAAACGUCAUUUCCAUUAAAAGAUCUUCUUAAAGGCCUGAAUUCCAAGGAAUCAAUAUCAGUCUAAAUGAGAGAAAAAACUUACCCGUUGAAAGAAUCAAUUUUACAGUAGGGACCGUGCGGUUGGAACCUUGUUCAAUACAUCGUAAAGGUCUUAUUCUCUUCUCAAAAUCUUCUCUUUGUUUUAUGAUAAAUAUUAUUUUAAGACCUAAAUAUUACAAAGCCUCUACCUUGUUAGAUUCAGGAACCUGUGCAUGUUUCUUAGAUGAAGAAUUUGUUAAAAGACAUAGCAUAUUUUUAGUGAAGAAAAUUAAACCUGUUCAUGUAGAAGUCAUAGAUGGUCAUCUGUUAUCUUCAAGAGAUAUUACUCUUGAAAUCUUUCUUAUAGAAGUAGCAACUAAUGAUUAUAGUAGCUUUAUAAUAUUUAAUAUCAUUAGAUCUUCCUCUAAUCUAAUCAUUUAAGGUUUAUCAUGGCUAGAAAAAUAUAACUCUAAAAUAGAUUGGACUUCUUGUAGUCUUGACUUUUCUGAAAGUAUAAUUAAGAAUGUAGUUAAUUAAAUAGAAAGUCAUAAGUCUAGUACAAUCAAACAUAUAUUUGUAGGUGUAAGAGGUUUCUUGUAUGGUGCAAAAGAAGGAUCACCUUGUGUCAUUUAUAUUACAUCUGUUUCUACUGGUGGAAAGACUUUAAGUGGCAUUCCAAGCCAAUAUCAAGAUUUUUAAGAUAUAUUUGAGAAGAAGAAUGCAGAUAUUCUUCCAGAACAUCAUUCCUAUAACUACUCAAUUGACUUUCAAGAAAGAACACAACCGCCAUUUGGACCAAUUUAUAAUUUAUCACAAAAUGAGUUAGCUGAACUCAAGGAGUAUAUUGAAGAAAAUCUGACCAAGAAUUUUAUAUGCCAUUUCAAAUCUCCAGCAAGAGCUCUAAUUUUACUUGUGAAGAAAAAAGAUGGAUCAUUUUGGAUGUGUGUCGAUUAUCAAGGACUCAACAAAAUCAUCAUCAAGAACAGAUAUCCACUACCUUUGAUAUCUCAACUCCUUGACCAAUUGAAUCAAGCUAAGAUCUAUACACAAAUAGAUCUACAAAGAGCAUACAAUCUAGUAUACAUCAAAGAAAGAGAUGAAUGGAAGAGUACAUUUCAAAAAAGGUAUGGACAUUUCAAAUACAACAUCAUGCCUUUUAGACUUAUAAAUGUACUAGUAGCAUUCCAACAUCUAAUGAAUGAUGUCUUUCACAAGUUUUUAAAUGAUUUUGUUAUCUAUUACUUAGAUGACAUCUUAAUCUAUUCUAAGAACACAGAAGAAUAUGAACUUCAUGUUCGUCAUAUGUUACAAAAACUAAGAAAUGUGGGAUUCUAUGCCAAGAUAAAAAAGUGUAUAUUUCACACUACUCAAGUUGACUUCUUAGGAUACAUCAUUUCAAAUGAUAGACUUAUGAUGGAUUUUAAGAAAGUUUAAGCUAUUAUGGAUUGAAAGAUCCCAAAAAUAGUAAGAGAUGUUCAAUGCUUUUUGGGAUUUGCCAACUACUAUCGGAUCUUCAUCAAAGACUUCUCUCAAGUUGUAGCUCCACUUACACAUUUGACUUGUAAAGACAAACUUCAAUACAAUCAAAAAACAAAAAUAGCAUUUGAAGCCUUGAAGAUAACUUUUGUUUUUCCACCAAUCUUGUAUCGCAAAAAUUUUUCUAAGUCAUUUUUUAUGGAAACAAAUGCAUCAAACUUUGCUUUGAAUGUCGUAUUGUCAUAAAUGAGAAUAGAUAAUAAACUUCAUCUAAUAGCUUUUCAUUCCUAAAAUUUUUUAGCAAUCAAUAUCAACUAUAAGAUCCAUAACAAAGAACUUCUUUCAAUCAUGGAUUCAAGAAAAAUACCAUUAUCUAGAAGGUGCCUCUAAUCGAGUCACCUUGUAUACGGAUCACAAGAACCUUGAAUAUUUUAUGUCUGCAUGUAUUUUGAAUCAUCGCCAAGCUCAUUGGAAUAUAUCUUUGUCAAGAUUUAAAUUCAAAAUCUAUUUUUGACUAGAAAAAUAAUAAGGUUUAUCAAAUGCAUUUUCGAGACAAUCUAAUCUUGCACCAAAAGAAAGAAAUACUGCAUUAAAUCAUCAUUAGACAAUUUUCUUCAACUUUGAGCAAUAAAAUCAAUACUAAUUAUUGAUUCAACUUUCAUUAAAAAAGUUCAGUCAAGUAUGUCUUCUGAUCCUUUCAUUUGUAAUAUUAAAAGAAAUCCUUUAAAGUCUCAUGAUACUUUUAAAUUUGAAUUCAAAAAUAAUCUAUUAUAUUUUGAGAGACACAUAUAUGUUCCAGAAGGUGAAGCUCGAUUAUGUGACCUUUAAGCUCGUCAUGAAUUUCCAAUAGUAGGACAUUUUUAGUAUAAUAUAUCUUUGGAACUAAUAUCUAGAGAUUAGUUAAAUCCUAAACCUUAAAUCCUUCAAAAACCUUGAUGGAUUUAUAGGUGCACUUCUAUGUGAAAGUGCUCUCUAUUGGUUUGAUUCUUAGAUAAAAAAAAAGGACUCAUAACUCUUUUAUGAUUGGAAUUCAUUCUUAGAUGUAUAUUUGAUGGCCACAUUUUGAGAAAGUGAUCAAGAAAGAAUAGCAAAAAUUAAGUUCCUAUCUUUACAACAACGAUCAUGAUCAGCCACCAUAUAUGUUGCUGAAUUCCAAAACCUCACUUACAAUAUAGACUAAAAUGACAAAGCCUUCAUCAAUCAGUUUUAAUAUAAAGUAAAGAAUAAUGUCCAAGAUUUAUUAUUGACAAUGUCAAAAAUAAAAUCUUUGAAAGAAUUUAUUGCUUAAGCCAUUGCAUGCAAUAAUCAAUUAUUUAAAUGGCACCAAGAACAAAAAUUUGAUUACAGACAAGUGAGUUAAGCAAUGACAAAAGCUUCUAAUUUUUUCAAAAACUUAUUUAUCAAGGUCAAAACCAAUACAAAUUGAUAUCAUACAUUUUAAAUCCUUUACUAAGUAAAAAAAGACUUAACAUCAUUAAGAAGAUAUGUACUUAUAAUAUAGAGAAGCUUAGCACACUAAUCAACAUUAUUCAAAGAAGCAAUGCAAUUACAAAGUGAUGAGUAUAAUUGCUUAAGAAAAAAAUGUAUCACAAAAUAAGUUUCUUCAUCUACAAUUAGAAUUAUGCAGCUUGAAUUAUAUAUAAUUUCUAUUAAAAGAACUAUUCUUUCCUCCAAUCUCUCAUCCUAUUGUAUAUAAGAUGUGUAUUUAGGACCUUAAAAUCACAAAGUCUUUGCAUUAUUAGAUUCUAGAGCCUCAGAUUGUUUUAUAAACAAAGACUUUGUCAAGAAGCAAGAAAUAUCUUUAAUCAAGAAAACUAAAUCUAUAUAUGAAGAAGUUGAAAUGAAGGAAUUAUUGGAUUUUGAAGUCAAUACAUGCAAUCUAAGGAUAGUAAGUGACUCAAUUUACUAGUAGUUGUGUCUUAAGUUAUAUCUUGAGUAAUUUAACAAAGUUUUGGCUCAAAAUUUCAAGAAAUGUUUAAUUUCAUGUUAAUAAACUUUGUACAUAAGUUUGAUGAUAUUUGAGUGUUGGAUUCUUGAGAUAUUAAAAAAAUAGUGUUCAAGUAUUUAUAAAUUAGGAUUUAGAGCGUCUGCUAGGAUUUCUUAGAUGCCAAAAGAUCGGAAGUGAAUUUCCAAUUGAUUUUUCUUAUGAUAAAACUUAAGAGUAAAUUCUACCUAUCCUAUAAAUUUUAGACAAACUGAAUAGUUAGAUCAAGAGUUAUGAAUUUCUAAAGUUUGAGACAAGAAAAUCCUUUGCGGAAAAAAUAUGUUUUGAAGGGAAUUUGUUAUAUUUUGAGUUUUAUGCAAAAAACUUACAAUAAAGGUUUAAGCUAUACUUUCUACAGCUAGAUACCUAGUGUAUUCCCAGAUAGCAAAUCAUGCCAUAUGACAGACUUGGUGAACCCAACAUAAAAAUUUCUGGGAUAGAGAGUUUUGAAGAAAUAUUUUUGGCUUUUUAUUAUGGAAGGGAGGUAAGGAAGUAGUAGUAUGAAUUACAUUGGAAAAUCUCCAUUGCAACUUGAUCCUACUAUAACUCAAAUAUUUUAAGCAUUUAUACUUUUUAUGCAACAACAGCAAGUAGUGGAACGCAAGGAAGUAAUGGCUACUAAAGCCUUACAAUUUGUUGUUGGUUUAUUGGAUCAAUUUGAUGGAAGAAAUAUUUCCAAGUAUCUUAAGUAUUAUUCUUAGAAGAUAGAGCUCAAUAAAGUGUCAGAGAAAGAUAUGAUCCUAACAUUUGAGCUUGCAAUUGUACAAGAGCUUGGUGAGCAUAUAAAGGGAGUUAUUAAAACUCAUGGAGAGAAAUGGGAGGAUUUUAUCCUUUAGCUAAAAGAAGAGUAUUCAUUGGAAGAUAUAGAAAGGGUGACAUGAAAAUCGUUUAUGGAAUGGGUCAAUAAAUCUAACAAGGGGUUGAUUGCAACAAAGUUAUUCUGAGAAUUUGAAAGACAAUUUCUUCAAUUGUCUCGAGUAGAAAAGCUUAUACUUGAAAAUGAUAAGGUGGAGUUAUUUCUUCAAUCAGUUGGUAAUGAUUUACAAAAGGAGUUGGAAUUAUUAUUAGAGGAUAAUAUAGAAAAAAACAAACUUACUACUGAUUGGAAGAAAGUCUCCGAAGUUAUGGGCAUAUUUGCUAAAAGAGAGUAUGAAAGGAGUAAGGUGGUAGUUAGGUAAGAGACCAGACCUCCACCAACUACAAUAUCUUGUAGACAACUUCCAGAACCUACUAUAUCAGUAAAUAUAAUUCCAAUUCUUUUGUCUACAGUUGCACCACAAAAAGAUGUGAUUGAUGAGUGGGUAAAAGGAAUGAAAGACUUACAAAUCAAAUUGGCAAAGAUAGAGGAGAAAGAAGGAUUACUUGAAAGCAAAUGUAUAUCAAAGCUAAGAUAUAUACAAAGAUGUAUUUGGUAUGAUAGUAUGAAGCAUCCUUGAAGAGAGUGUGGAGAUUUUGCUGAUAUUUUGUAAUACAGAGUAAUUUUAUGGAAAGAUGGAAAAAUUAUGUUGCGAGAUAUAGGUGGGUUUUUCAAAACCAAUUUUGGAAAGAAACGGAUGAAAAAGGUUUUGAAAGAGUAUUUAUCUCAAUAGGCUAUGGCAUCAAGAGAAGCUAUUACUUAUGGCAUUGAGGUUGUAAGAGAUAAAGAUGAUGUUUUUAAUAAGCAUGUAAACACAGGGGAUCUAUGAAAUCAUGCUAUUAUCAGCAUGAAUAAAAAAAAAUAACAAGGCAAAAAUUACUUAAUACAUCCACAAUAAUUAGAAAUACCAUAGGAUAGGAUGAUCCUAUAGAUAUUAUGUCUGUACAUGGUUAAUUGGAAAAGUCCCAACAUGAAGCUUUAAUGGAGAUAAAAAGAGAAAGAAAUGAAAUAGAAGAAAAUUUUGAAGAGCUAAUCAACAAUAGGAGAUCUCAAAGGCAUGCAGAAACAAUACAAAAUAAAGAAAUACCUAUACCAUAAGCUAAUAGAUCAUCUAAGGCUGGACCAUUAACAUUGCACCCUGGAAAAGUACCACUGCCAAAAGAAAAAUGAGAAGAAAGGAUGGAAGUUAAUAAAGACAAAGCGAAGAAUAAGCAUAUUACUUAUAAACUUCAAUAUUUGAUUGAGAUAGCCACAGAUUUAAAAGGAGUAUCGGAAGAAAGAAUAUUGAAUGCCAAAAAUUAAUUUACUCUAUGAGAAAUUUUAGGCAUUGCAAAGAGAGAGUUUCAUAAAGUCAUCAUCAAUACCAUUAAGCGAAAGAGGUAGUUGAUAGGAAAAUCUGCUGUAUCUAGUACUUUGGAUACAAUCUUGACUAAUGAAGAGGAACAUAAAUUGGUAGAAUGUUGUAUCAAUAAAAAAGGAUAAUUUUAUUUGGAUGAAUACAAGGAUGAUGACAAGGGCCCUGGACACUAUACCAAGGGACAUUGGACAAGAGCCACCACAGAGACUUUAGUAAAAAUAGAAGACUUGGUAGAACUAGUAAUUGCUCUCAUUGACCAUGGAUCUGAAAUUAAUAUUAUAUCAAAAGAAUUCUAUAAAUGUGGAAGGUGGCUCAUUGAUAUUAACCAUGGAUGGGUGAUUUGGGCAGCAAAUUAUACACGAGGAGAUCUUUAUGGUGUUUGCCCCAAUAUGAAGGUAAAAGUUGGAGAUGUAACUACAGAAUAAAUUGUUUUUGUUCAAGACACUACAUACCCAGUGAUAUUUGGUCAACCAUAUAUUAUAGCUAUGAGGAUGGAAACCAAGGUUUUGAAUGACAGAUUAACAUGUGCCCGUAUUAGAAGUCAAGAUGGAAAAAGGGCAGUGCAAUUUCUAACAAUACCUGCAAACCAUGAGCACAAUCGAGAUUAUUUACGAAGUGAUUUAUUACUAAGGAUUAGUGAAGAAUUUACAGAUUUUUGUAGGAUAUCUCUAUAGAGCAGUGUCAGAGUAGAGAGAGUUUGGCUCAAGAAAUUGCUGGGCUUCUAGCUGCCACUUAAUAUUCAAUCAAGUUUAAGAUAUAAAAUACUAAGUUUAUAUAUAUAUAAUAUUUUCUCUUUUUAGGUAAUUACAUCAAAUACACAAGCCUCAAGUAACCAACAAUACCAAAAUAUGAUAAAAUCUUCUAAAACCUUAUAUAUCCUUGUGUGGAAAUUUUUUCAAACUUCAAUAGCUCAUAUCUCCUAAUUUGACAGUCUAAACAAACUAAAAUUUUACAUGAGGUACUGAUGUUUCUUUAUUAACUUCUAUAACAAAUUUCAACCAUAAAUUCAAUGCAAAUCUUGAGAUAUCUUGAAAACCCUAACAAUCGCUUCAAACCCUUGUCUUUAUAAUCUUAUGUAUAAUUUUCUUUAUAUCUCACAAAAUAUAAGCUCAAAUGCCACGAAAUUUAUACAUAUAGCUUCUUAAUACAAAAUGUUACAUUUUUUAAAAAGUUUGAGCUAAAAAUUCGUCUGAAAACACAAGUUAUGGCUCCAACUAUUAUUAUAAACAAAACCGCUUACUUACUACCUUUGAUUUGGAAGUGCCACUUUCAACUCCUUAUAAUUCCUUCACAUGAACUCCAAAAGCAAUAACUUUUUUAUGAAAGAUAUAGGCCUUAAAAUUGCUAUUCCAUUUGUACCUUCUGAUCUUCAAAAGCUAUUGUACAACUCUUCAUAUCCUCAAAAGAGUAACAAUAUGUCUUAAAUUAAUACCUUAACUUCAAACGGCUAUAACCUUUUUAUUCCAACUCCAAAUCCUCUAAUUUUUAUACACAAAUUGUACUCCAAAUCCUAAACUUUAUAAUUCUAGCUUUUAAACUCAAAAUGACCUCUUUGAAGUCGCCAAAACCCUUGUUAAGGUCACAAGCAUGGUAUUCAACUAAUAGAGAUGAAGUUCUCCAUUCCUUGCCUUCAUCCAACCAUGCCUUGCUUUCAUCCCUCUCAAUCAAUUAGCCUCUUACUAGUUUAGAUUUUCAUCCUUAAGCAUCUACCUUCUCCCAAGGCCUCAUACUAAAUAUUUAGGUCCUAUAUAUAUAUAUUUUUUAAUGUCAAAAUUAAAACAAGUCAAGAAACAAAAUAAAGUUUCUUAUACCAACUCUUUUUAAUUUAAUCUACUAGUCAUUCUAAUACAAAUUUAGAUUUAUUAAUAUAUAAUAUAUUUUAAUUAAUUUUUAUAUAUUGUAAGCAUUUAGUGUACGACAAUGGGAAUGUAGUGGUACAUCAAAGAAGGUAUUCUUGCAUGAAAAAGAAAAUACCUUUUGUAUAGGUAUUGUAGAAUUAUCUAAGAAUGGAUUUGAUAUCUAUACACAACUUAAUGAUCUACCAAAGUGGGAAAAAAAAGUUAUACAAAAAUCUAAGAAAGAUCUAAAAAGAGUGGAUGUAUUUGAUGGAGAUGAUAAGAUAGUAGGUGUAUAUAUGGAGACUGGUUUAGAAGAUUUUAUGGAAGAAUUUUUAGAGGUUGAAUAAGAAAAUGAAGAUCAAGUGGUACAAGUAUAUUCAAGAGAGCUCUACUCAACUAUACAAGCAUUUCAAGAUUAUGAAGUCAAAGUUGAAACUAGAUACAAGACUGUAGAGAGGAAAAUAAAACCUAUAGCUAUACCAUUAUCUAGUAAUUUCAAUCAUCAAGUUCAAUGAGCUUUGAAGGAGAAGGGCUUAUGGGAUCCUAAAUAAAUUGGCCACAAGUUUAUGAAGAACUUACUCAAUGAGUUGAAAGUAAGAUCUACAAAUUUUCUAUUACCUAUUGAAGAAAUGGAAUUUAGAAAUAUGUUAAGUAUGCAUGAAAAGGCUUUUGCUUUUGAACCUUCAAAAAUUGAAUGAAUCGAUCCAAGUGUUGUCGCACUAAUGAUUAUAUUUACAGUUUUGCAUGUUCAUAGGAAUUUAAGACCAAUUUCAAUGCCUAAAGCACAUCUAUCUAAACUUAUGGAGCUUUUAAAAGAAAAUAUAUAAAUGAAGAUCCUAGAGCCAUCAUUUACACCAUAUUCUAGUUGUUGGUUUACAGUACCAAAGAAAAAUGGAACACUACGAUUCAUUCAAGAUAUGCAACCAAUGAAUCAAGUAACUAUUAGAAAUAUUGGAGUUGGACCAAUUCUUGGAAAAUUUGCUGAGACAUUUGCUAGUAGAGCUAUUUACUCUAUUGGAGAUCUCUAUUUUGGAUAUGAUCAAUUUCAACUAGCUGAAAGAAGUAAAGAUAUUACUACUAUGACGACACCUUUAGGAUUAGUUAAGAUGUGUACAUUGCCACAAAGAGGAACAAAAUCAAUAGCUCACAUGAUGAAUGGGAUAAAUAAGGUUCUUCGUGAUUUCAUUCUAGAAAAGACUAUGUCUUAUUUGGAUGAUAUUCUAAUAAAAAGGUAUGUAAAAGAAGAGAAAAAUGAAACAAUGGAUCAAAAGGGGUGUUGUAAAUUUAUAUCUAAUCAUAUUUUAGACUGUGACAAAAUUUUAUCUCGACUUGAAGAGGUUCACUUGAUACUAUCAGGAGCUAAAUCUACCUUUGGAGUUUGAAAGUUAUUAUUGUGGGGCAUUUGUGUAGAUGGUUUGGUCGUAAAUGUGAUCCUAAUAAGAUAGAUGCCAUACAAUAAAUGAAAGAUAUUUGUAGCUCACAAACAGAGGUAUAGAGAAUUUUAGGAUCUUGCAUAUUUUAUUAUGUAUGGAUUCCUCAUUAUGCACAUGUAGCUAAUCCUCUUUAUAGUUUGCUACGAAAAGGGAAGAGAUUUAAAUGGGAGAAGAAGCACACAGAAACAAUUCAAAAGCUAAAGCAAUUAUUAUCUUUUUCACCCGUAUUACAAAGGAUAAGUUAUGAAGAUGGCAAAUCUGUGAUAUUUAUAGUUGAUACUAAUCCAAUAGCUAUUGGUUGGGCUUUAGGACAAAAUGAUGAAGAAGGUAAUAGGUUUGCUAUUAGAUUACGAUCUAAAGUAUUAAAUGAACGAUAAAGAAACUAUCCACAGGUAAAACAGAAGCUAUGGAGAAUAGUUACAGCUAUGAAAAAUGAAAGAGAUUAUUUAAUUGGGGCACCAGUGAUAGUAGAAACAAAUUGUUUGCCACUAUUGGGAAUCAUUACCAACUAUAACAUCCCUGAUAUUGCUAUGCUAAGAUGGAUUAUAUAUAUUAAAUCUUUAAAUCUUAAAUUUAGGCAUAUAGUAGGCAAAGAUAAUCUUGUAGCAAAUAUGCUAUCCCGAGCUAGAUAUAAACAAGAAGAAGUUUUAAUUGAAGAUAGUGAAGAUAUAGGUACUACUUUCUUUUCUAGAGCCCAACAAGGAGAAGAUGAAUAUCUAAGACCAUUUAUAGAAGAAUUAUAUGAAGAAGAAUGGAUUGAUAUUGAACGCUAUUUAAGCACAUUAUCGAGACAAUCAGGAUGGAAUAAUAUUCAUUUCAAACAGAUUAGACGGAAGCCUUACAACUACCUCUUAGAAGGUGAUUACCUAUGGAAGCGAUACAAACGGGAUAGUAAAAUGCCACAAAGAAUAGUUUGCAAGAGAGAGAUGUAAGAACAAUUAAUCCAUGAAUUCCAUGAUAGUUUGUGGGCUGGACAUAGAGGUAUUUAUACCACCUUUAAUAAGCUUAAAGAAAAAUAUUGGUAGCAUAACAUGUAUAGAGAUGUGGUGAAGUUUGUAGAAUCAUGCCAAAUUUGUCAGAUAUACUCGGAGAUUUGACAUAGAAAUGGAUUGCAUCUAAUAUAUCCACUUACAAUAUAUUAUAAAUAGGUUGUAGAUCUAGUUACUAUGUCCAUAGGGAUAUGGCAAAUACGGUACUUGGCUCUAGCACGAGAAGAUUUAUCUAACUAAGUAGAAGGAAGAGCUGUACAAACAAAAUCCACUGAAGGAGUUUGUAGUUUUUUACUCAAAGAUGUAAUUUGUAGAUAUGGAUGUAUUGAAAAAAUUACUACUGAUCGUGGAGAAUUAGAUGCUCAUGAGGCUAGACAGUUCUUUGAGAGAUGUGGAGUCAAGCUAGCACUUACUACAUCUUAUAAUCUAGAGGGCAAUGCUAAGAGUGAAGUCAUCUUCUUAUUGUAAAGGCCAUUGUUAAAGCUUGCAAAGGAAAAGCAAAAAAAUUACCAAGGCUAUUACUAUUUGCUCUUUGGACUGAUCAUACUAUUCACAAUUCAGUGACAGGAUAUAUGCUAGCAGAGUUAAUGCAAGGACAAAAGUCCAUUAUGCCAAUUGAAGAGCAAAUACCUACUUGGAGUAUCUUGCCUUAGCAAGAUAAUAUAUCUAAAGAAGAACUUCUUGUACUUCGAAUUCGUCAACUAGAGAGAAGACUUGAAGAUAUAAAAAAAUUAAUUAUAAGGUUGAGAGAGUUGCACUUAAAGAAUAAUGAUAGAUUUGAUUAGCGACACAGUUUGAUGCCAAAAGAUAUUCAAGAAGAUGAUUGGAUUUUGAUACAUGACAACAACUUAGAUAACCAACAUAGUGUUCUUAAAAAGUUUUCUAAGCAUUGGUUUGGACCUUAUGUGGUUGUACAUAUUUUGGAUAAUACUAUAUAUGCAUUAAGAGAAUUAGAUGGAACAAGAUUCAAAAUUCCAAUUGUAGAAAAACGUAUAAAACUUUUCAAACAACAGGAUCAAGAACUAGUCCUCAAAGAUGAUGAAGAAGAAUUUGAUCUAUCUAGGUAUAAGGAAGAAGAAUUGGAUUUUGAAGAAGACAUUAUUGAGGAGGUAAUAUGACACCGACGACAACUUUAGUUUUUCUUAGUGCAUACCGAAGGAUGGACAUGUUUAGAAAGGAUGGAUGUCGUAUUCUGGUUCGGCUACCAUAUGAAAAUAAUGUAAUUAUGUACUUAAUAUAUAAUUUAUUAAGUAACAUGGUGAGAGCCAUGUUAGUAGAUUUUAGUUGGUUGUAGAAUAUAAUUUGAUUAUUACUUUGAGAAGAGAUUUUUAAAAAAAAUUACUAUAGAAUUUUUAUAACUUUAAUUUCCUUUUGAUAGUGGCUUUUAAGAUUGGUUUUGGUUGAUAGUAACUUCUAAAUACUUAGAGUCACCUUUGUUAGACAUUGGUGGCCUUUGAAAACUUAUUUUGGUUCUUUUAUUUGAUGUUUAGAGCAUAAAUUAUGUAAAUCUUAUAAAAAAAAGGAUUGAAGAAAGAUUUUGGUAGCUGUAGAAUAGGCAAAUAAACUUUGUGGUAAGUUACUAGUUGGUUAUUGAUAACCUUGAGAAUUAGACUGAUAGUUAGGUAGUUUAGUUGGUAAGAGUAGGUUUCUAGUGGAAUAAAUGGUUAAAAAUUCAAAGGAUCAUAACCUUUGGAAUCUGUUGGUCGAUUGAUCAUCUUUUUGGUAGGAUAAAGAAGUUGAGGAAAGCGAGAUCGGAGCGAGACUAUGAGAGUUGUAAGCCAAGAGCUAGACUGUGAGCAUCGUAAGCUGGGAUAAGCUUGGUGCUAGCACUUUGUUUUCUUUGCUUUUAUUAUUUACUUAUAAAGAAUUAUAAUUGAGAGAAGUAUUGUUGAAUUGAUAGUUGUAGAAUGGAUUAUGUAUUGAAUCAAGAUGGAAGUAGUAAGCCUUGGUCUUUUAUAGUUUGAUAAUUGAUUUCAGAUAGCCAGAGUACAGUCAAUUGUGACAAUAACAAACCCAAUUCAUAUAACUAGUCUUUCCUCAUGUUCGAACCUACCUCUAUGAAUUCAAUUACUUUGGUAUACUGAAUCUUGAACACAACAAGAACAACAAUAGCAAAGGGAGUAAUUAGGGCACCAAUAUAGAUGAAUGGAGUUGAAUGAUAAAAAUCUCCAUUCCUAUUAGUCAAAAAUCAUAACCAAUAGGGUUUGAGGAGGCUGCCUGAGGCCAUAUUAGAGAUUAGGAUUAGUUUUUCGAGGCCAUUGGAGCUUUGAAGGCUAGGAUCAACAAGUUUAGGUUUUUCGAUAUGGUUUUGGUGCAAAUUUUGUAUAGUUUGGAGUUUAUAUGAAGGAGAUAUAAGCAUUCAAAGUUAAGGUAUUGAUUUGGGAGCCACUGUCACUCUUUUUGGCAUAACGAGCACGUACAGAAAGCAAUUGAGAAUCAGCAAUUGCGAGAGGAGAGAGAACUUUUUUGGCUACACUUUUUGCAUAUUGCAUGCUGGAUUCCAAGAUGAAACAAAGGAGUUAUUGGAUUUUGAAGUCAGCUCAUGCAAUCUAAAGGUAGUAAGUGACCCGAUUUACUAGUGGUUGUGUCUCGAGCUAUAUCUUGAGUAAUUUGACAAGGUUUUGGCUCUUAAUUUCAGGAAAUGUGUAAAUUCAUGUAAGUAAACUUUUUUUAUAAGUUUUAUGAGAUAUAAAUGUUGGAUUCUUGAGAUAUUAAGAAAAUAGUGCUCAUGUGCUUGUAAAUUAGGAUUUAGAGUGUUUGCUAGGAUUUCCUAGAUGCCAAAAGGUCGAGAGUGAAUUUGUAAUUAGGUUUUUUUGUGAUAAAAUUUAAGGAUGAAUUCUACCUAUUCUAUAAAUUUGAGACAAAUUGAAUGGCUAGAUCAACAGUUAUGAAUUUCUAAAUUUUAGAAAAAAAAAACCUGUUGCGGAAAAAAUAUAUUUUCAAGGGAUUUUGCUAUAUUUUGAGUUUUAUGCAAAAUAAAGGAGUUUUUGGAAGCUUAGAUAAGAUUUAUAUAAAGGUUUAAGCUACUCUCUCCAUAGCUAGAUAUCCAAUGUAUUCCCAGAUAGCAAAUCAUGCCAUACGACAUCGGGACGCUCACUUGACAACCUCUCGUUUGAUCCAUCUGUCUAUGUCUUUUGGAUAUUUAGUAAGAUAUAUUUUCACAAUUCUUAAUAUAUAUAUAUAUAUAUAUAUAUAUAUGUGUAUAUAUAUGUAUAUAUUUUCAUAAAAUGUUCAUCAAAGAAUCGUCUCUCUUAGUUAGAAUAUCUCUAAAUUGAAAGGAAGACAAGACAAAUGAAUAUGACUAUAACUUAUCUUGAGCUCCAAUAUUUUAGUUUCUAAAUUCUACCUAGGUUUGAUAAUUUACCACUUAAGGAAUUGAAUAAGAAUAAAUUUGUGACUUAAGGAAUUGAAUAAGGACAAUCUAUAUUCUUUACAUCUAUUUCUAGAUGUUCUAAUGAAAAAAUCUUCGCCAUAGAGUGUUUGUAGCCAAACUAAAUUAUUUGAAAAGACUUUCUUGAGUAUGUAGGGGCCCAACCAUAUGGCAUCAAAUUUCCCUAGAAAAUCUAGUCUCCUAGCAUCUUGUAUGAGAACUAAUAUGCCAGGUUUAAGAGUUCUAACUUUAUGUCACUUAUCAAAGGUAAUUUUUCUUCUUCUUUGGAUGGCCUUUGUAUAUUGAGCACUUCAUCUUGUAGACUAAUCUAGACCUUCUAAUUGCUCUAGUCUAUCAAUUAAAGAUUUUUUAGUUGACAAUCUUUCUUUCAAGGUAAUUCGAAUGGAAGGAAUUUCAAAUUCAAUCGAUAAAAUAGCUUCUAUCCCAUAAACCUAGGAAAAUGGAGUUGUUAAUAUUGUCACUUUAAAUGUUGUUCUAUAAGCCCACAAAGCUGUAGGGAGCUAUAUCCCAAUCUCUUUUAGAUGUUGUGACAAUUUUUCUAAGGAUAUUAAUCAAGGUUUGAUUUACUUUUUCUGUAUGCUUAUUUAUUUGACGGUGAUAAGGAGUAGUUUUUCUAUGGUCAAUUUUAAAUCGGGAGGUCAAAUCUUCUAUAGCUUCAUUUAAAAAAUACUUGCCUCUAUCACUAAUUAAGAUUUUUGGACAUCCAAACCUAGUGAUGAUUUGUUCAUAGAGAAAUUUGGCAGCCUGUUUGGCAUCAUUGGCUUUCAUUGCCUUUGCCUCCGUCCAGUUGGUGAAGUAUUUGGUUGCUACCACUAUGUAUUUUAUACCUCUAGUGGAAUUGGGAUGAACCUCUUCAAUAUAAUCAAUUUUAUAUUUUUCAAAGAGAACUAAAGGUAGGGACACAUAGAGAGACAAACUCAUCUUUAGGUCAUUCCUAACAUAUCAUUGACAUGAGUCGCAUGUCUUAGUAUAUCUAUGUGAAUCUUAAAAUAAUGAGGGCCAAUAAUAACCUAUUUUAAGUAGUUUUUAGUCUAUUAAGGUUCUUGAAAAGUGACCCCCACUUAUACUAUCGUCACAUGCCAAUAGAAUGGUAGGAAAUUCUUCUUCCAUUACACGCCUCCUUAACAUCCCAUUGUCGUGUUGUAACACGAGUAUACAGUGAAAAUAAAAAGAAAAGGGGAAUUUUAUUAAUAUUCAGUUACCUCAAAUAUUGGGAGCAUCGACCAACUCCAGUGCAAAUACUGAGUGGUCAGGUUCAGUCACUCCGUUACAGUCAGCCGGGGCAUAUUGAAAUGCUCCAUUCGAUUUCGAUAACGGAAGUCAGUAGGAAGAAAAGGACCAAUUCACACGAUGGGUUCGAAGAGCCAAUUGGAUCCAAUUUCGAGAAUCCAAUCCGGGUCCUCUUACCUAAUAUGAAACCUGAAUUGGCCGGUCAACCCAAUGCAAUCUAAUUACGAGAAAUCCAGGUCUUACUACGGGUCUUAGCCAAUCCGACGCGAGGACCAAUUUGACCCAAUUAUGGGAACAUCCAGGUUAUUACGGGCAUCUUACCCAAUAUGGGACAUGAAUUGGUCGGGCGACUCAAUGUGGUCCCGAUUACGGAGUUUCGAUUAUGUUUCGGGCUCUCCUGUUCUUUGUGCCGUUUCAGGGAACGUUGUUUUCGGUAAAUGGAUCUCUUAAAGGUAAAAACGGAGGAGAAAGCUCUGAUGGCGAGAACCAAUUUUGGAUCCAAGCUUGACGGUGGGAGCCAAUUCCGGAUCUAAGAUGGAAGAUUGAAGAAAUUCAGAGGAUAAGAUUAGGGGGGAUAUAGUUUUGAAGGGGGGUUUUUUUUUUUUUCUCUGGGAAUCGGGGGGAGCUAGUUUUCAAGCUUUUGCAAGGUUACUAGUUCGGUUUUCAUUGGAUGUUUCUGAAGAUCAAAGAGGAAUUAGAGAGAGGAGCUUCAUGCUUCGGGUCGGGGAAGGAAAGACAGAGAAUUUGGAUUUUUCUUCUUCGUAGAGUUUUGGGAAGGCUGAGGCAAUCGCUGCUGAAGUCAGUAUUGUAAUAGUGAAUCGGGAUUUUUAAUGAAGUGGGUUUGAAUACUCUUGACUGUUUUGUGAAAUCGAGUUACGUCUGUGAUUGAAGGAUUAAAAGGGCGUCUAUAGGAUUGAGUAUGCGGAGUGAAUGAAAUUUAUUGGGUUAAUCUAACAAGACAGUCAGUGGAUACAAGAUCGUAAGUACAAAGCGGUAUUGAAGAUUAACAGUUUGGGUUGUUCGGGGUUCUCUGUAACGUCUAGAAACCUAUCGGCUGGGACAAAAAGGACUUCGACAAGCAGUCGAAGAGCAUCCGUAUAGAUUUAUGGUACAUUGUUGUAGUUGUUUAUAUUCCAGCAGUCAAAACUGAUAGACUGCUUGACUAUCGACAAAUCUCCAUACUACCUUCUACAGCCAGACGCCCAGCGCGUUCUCGAGCAGAAAAGCACGUAAUACGACACCGUCAACUCCACGUCUAUAUAAUUUGCCACUAACUAUGGUAAAGUACCUACUAUUAAUUGUUACCUUCUUACGUUCUAUUUUAGAAAGAUGAGGAGGCAAGGCUUGAGUCAUCAGAAACUUCAUAAUUAAUGCAUACCAAGUGGCCGUGGUUGAAAUGAUAAACAAGGUUUCAUCUAUCAAUGUGUCAUUAAUUGGAGCUUCACCAAUUUCAUCUGAUAACCUAGAUAAAUGAUCUGCUUGCUUGUGCAUCCUUCCUAGCUUAUAUUCUACCAUAUAAUCAAAUUUUUCUAGUAGAAGUAUCCACCUUGCAAGUCUAUCACUUAAAUCAGCCUUAUUCAUAAGGUACUUGAUUGCCUUGUGGUCUAUAAAAAAUACCACUGGAUUUAAGAGAAGGUAAUGUCUAAACUUCUUAAUGGAAAAAACCAUGGCAAAACAUUCUCAUUUCAUGGUAGUAUAAUUUCCCUCUAUAGGAUUCAAUUGCCUACUAGCAAAGGCUAUAGGAUAAUCUUUGCCUUUCUCUCCACUUUCUUGACACAACAUGCUCUCUAUGGCUACCAAUGAAGCAUCACAAAGCACAUGGGAGGGCAAUGACCAAUUGGGAGGUCUUAAGAUAGGAAAAUUACUAAUUUUUUCUUUAAGGAUAUCAAAUGCAUUUUUUACCCCAUUCAAACUUCACUUCUUUUUGUAUUAGUGAAGUUAUGGACAUAGAAAGUGUAGCAUAAGCUUGUAUGACUUCUCGAUACCACCUUAUAUGUCCCAACGUCCUUUGUACCUCUUUCACUAUAGAAGGGGGUUUUAAGUCUACAAUAACUUUGACCUUUUCUAGAUCACGUUCUCUACCCUUUUUCGACACGACAUAUCCUAAUAGAACUCCCUUUUGAACUGCUAGGAAUAUUUUGUUAGGGUUUAAUGCAAUCUUGGCUUUUUGACAAUGUUAAAAUCUAGCCCGAAUACAUUCUAAAUGUUUUGUUUUAGAAGACUGAGUACUAAAGUUGUCAAUGAACACUGUCAUUGAUUUGUGUAAAAGGUCAGAGAAGGCAUAGGACAUGGCUCUUUGAAAUGCAAUUAGAGCAUUACAAAGUCCAAAAGGCAUUACUACAUAAAUAAAAGUACUCCAUGGCGUAGUGAAAGUAGCUUUGUGAUGAUCUUCUUGGGCUAUGGAUAUUUGAUUAUAUCUCGAAUAUUCGUCCAUAAAUGUAUAAAGUUCAUGACUUGCCACUUCUUCUAAAAUAGUAUUAAUGAAAGGAAGAAGAAAAUGAUCUUUUUGAAUGCAUUUAUUAAAUUUCCUAUAGUCUGUGCACACUCAGAGUUUUUCAUUCUUCUUUUUGACUAAAAUCAUAGGUGAAAUCUAAUCCGUAAUCUCCGUAGGUUGAAUAAACCUCGCUUAGAGGAGUUUUUUUGAUUCUACUUUGAUAAUUAAUUAUAGAUUGGGAUUCAUUCUUCUUUCUUUUUGUUCUACAAGAAUUGAAUCAGGGAGGAGAGGGAUUCUAUGUUGGACUACUUCUAGAGGUAUGUCAUUAAGAUCUUUAUAAGACCAUGCGAAUAUAUCCCUAUAUUCCAUAAGUAAUGACUUAUAACUUAUCAACUCAUCCUCUAUCAAUUGAAUCCCUACUUUCAUGAGUUUUGAAUCGUCUUUCUUCAAAGACACAUCCAUUAAUUUGUAAUCAAGGUUGUACACAUGAGCUUGUUCUGUAGGGCCUUUAUACCAAUCAUUUGAAAUUUUUGGAUAACUAACUAUGUCAUUUCUAACUGUAAGACGAUUAGAAGUUUGUUUAUAUUGUAAAGAUGGAAUAAGAUUGCUUUCCUCUAUUAAGUCAUCCAACUGGUGAAUUUAAGUGCUAUAAAAGUUUAUCCCAAGGACAUCUUCAAUUUUUAUGUCAUCUACCAAGAUUUCUAAAUCCACUUCUACUUCAUUGUUUUUUCAAGUGAUAAAACUAUCUAUGAAGUUAACACUUACAACUUCAUGUCCACUUGAAGUAGGAUGAGUUUUCAUCCAUUGGGUGAAUUUUCUAUCAUCUUUCCAAUUGUAUAGUCCUAGGCCUAUACAACUUAAUAGGGUAGUUUGAACUAUACUAAAAUAAACCAAUUCUUUUCUUCCUAAAUUAGCAAAUCUCUCUUUCUUUUCUUUUAAUUCAUUUUGUGGUUAUGAGUUGAAAAUCUCAUCUUCUAAAAAGUGAGAUGAAGUUUUUCCAACAAAAAUCCUUAGAAUUGAAUGAAGAUUUUUGUGAGGUUUUCUAGUGGAUCAUAAAUAAUAUGAGGCUUUUUACCACUCCAAUCAAUCUUGGCACUUGUUGCCCUUAACCAUAGUCUACCUAGAAGCAAUAGAUAUGAAUUCUUGCUAGGAUGCAUAUGUAUAAUAUGAAAUAUGAAGGAAUAUUCUUCACCUCCUGUCAUCAUUCUACAACCACUAAUCUGCCCCAAAAGAGUGUUUUGACUUUGAUUAGCCAUGUUAAUCACAUAGGGAGAGGAUCUUGUGAUAUUAAGUCCUAAUUUUUUUGUAGUCCUUACUGGCAUAAUAUUUAUUCUACUACCUCCAUCCACAAUGGUAUAAGGUAUGAUUUUAUCUACUUUGGACACUUCUAAUUUAAUUGCCUUCACCUCUUUUGCCACUUGAAUUGUUCUAAUGUGGGCCUGAAUUUUUGUCUUAGACCUUUGGCAUCUCUUAAUAGGUAAGCCUAUUUUAAACACUUUUCUCAUUAUUAGAGAAACCUCCAAUAAUUGGGCAAUAGUUAUAUCAGCCUUGAUUUUAUUCAUGUCUUUCCAUAAGUGAUAAGACUCCCUUUGAUCAUUUUGUUUUAGAAGAAAUGAGAUACCACUUUCAAGUUCAGGGAUCUUAAGACCUUCUUACUCUUCUAUAGAAGGAAAUUCCUAUACAAGGAUUUUUUCUUUUUCUAUCUUAGUUUUUUGAGUGGUGGUGGGUUCUAAAUUAUAGAACAUUUUUCUCGAUUUCUUUACAUUAUCCAUUGCCUCUCUUGUAACUUUGUUUAAAUCAAAAAAGUAAGGAGAGUCCAUUGAACUAUCUUUACUAUCUAUUGAGGUAAGAAGGGGAAGACUGCUAUAUCUAGACCUUGUCGUAACUACUAAGGCUAGCAUAUUAAGAAGUCCUUUAUCCUUACUAGGUGUUCCUUCAUGAGAGAUGUAAUGGGUGUAAGAAGACGACGGUUGGUCUCUAAGGAUUUGAAAACCUUGUUCUUCAGUAGGUAUUUCCAAAUACCUUAUAACUUGUGAAUUUCUACUCUCAUUUUAUUGGCCAUAUUGAGGUUGAUCUACAUUUAAUGAAAUAAAUCCUCUCUAUAUGAUUAAACCUAAGAAAGGAUGUUGGGUUUGAUGAUUAUUAUUAUAAUUAUAAAAUAAGUUAGAAGGUCUUAGGGUAUUGUCCUGAUUUGGAUUUCUUGCCUUCUUCAAUUGAUCUUGGGCUUGUUUUUGAUAAUAUCCUUGUAAAUUUUUUAAAAAAAUCACCUUAUCCGAUUACCUAAACACAUCAAUAGGAUGGUUUCUCCCACAAUUUCCAUAUACUAUCCUAUUUUCUAUCUAAUAAUUUCUUGGAAAAUAUUCUUUUCUGUAAAGGUGGUGCAUCUCAUGUUGUUGUCAUUGUAGGUUUUUAAAGCCUUUGAUAGAAUUUUUUUGAGGUUGGAAUUGGAAAUUGGAACUUGUCAUACUAUGAUUUUUAUGAGAUGGAGCAUACAAUUGUGGCCUUUCUUGAUUUUCCUAGUAAUUUUGCUAGUUUGAAAAAAAUUGACUUAUAUGUUCUGAUUGGCUACAUUGAGUGUACCAAAGCCCUGAGGUGUGUCUACUAGAUUCUAUAGGAGAUGAGACUUGGUUUGGAUUUUGAUUCUUAAUUAAAAAAGUCAUUUAUUCUUAGAUAGCCUUCAUUUUUUGGAAAAGUUCAUUUUGAAACUCCCGUUGGCUUUGAAGGACUUAAAGUCCACUUUUCAAGUCCUCUUUUCAUCUAUUCCUAUCUUUUGGGUAUAUCAAUUCAACAAGGUUGGGAGGCAAUCUAACAUCCAAGGGUGUUGAAUAGUGGUACAUAGGUUGAAAUUAGGUUCCCUCAGUCCCAUAUAAGUGCCCUUGGGAAUUAUCUAUGUUUUGAGUAUGUAUUGGGAUGAAGCAAGGUAUUCUAUGAUCUUCUUUCUUUCACAUUCGCUUUUGCUGCUUAUCAAUAUUUUCAAUUACUUGUGCUUAUUUUUUGGCCUUUUCUAAAUUACAUGGUCUUCUCUUGAAGAUUUCUCGAAUUAUUUUCUCACUAUUAAAUCCUUGAAUAAAGAAAUGGAAGAAGGUAUCAUCCAUGAGAAGAAUUUCCACAAAUCGGGUUACUACAAGCUCAAAUCGCCAAAUGUAUUCCGUGAUUUCUUCUCCCUUUCCUUGUCUCAAAGAAGAAAGGGCUGUGAAGGCGUUACUUUGCCCUACUUCUGGCCUGAACUUUUCUAAGAAUGCUCUCAUAAGCAUGUCUUAGUUCUUAAAGGUUUCGGAGGGUGGUUUCUAUACCAUUCAUAAGCCCCAUCUUUUAGGGUACUUGAAAACCAUACUAGAUAAUAACCUGGAUUGGUUAUUAAACAUGUUGUGAGAAGUUCCAUGAAUCUCUCCAUGUGUGCCAAUGGAUCAUCAUCUCUAGUUCUUUUAAAUAUAAGAAGGUUGUGGGGCAUAAAAGCUGCUUGUAAAUCCUUAGGAAUUACUAUUGGUAAGCUCCUUAGUUGAACCAAGUGGUUGAUAGAUAAAAAAGUAGGUAUAGAUUCUCCUUCACAUUCCAUUGGAAGAGAAGGAGGUGUUGACCCUUCUCUCUCUUGAUUUAUCCUUAAAACUAAGUUAGGAGAGUUAGAAUUCAAUCUUUUUUCUCCUACUUCCUUGCCCAGACUUGAUUCAAUUGGAUUUGACAUGAAAAUAUCUUCUAAUGUUGGAGGUGAGGAUUUCUUGACCAAUGAUUGAAUUUCUACUUGUUUAGCUUUGAUUUAUUUUUAUUUCUAAGAGAUUCAAGAUUUCUUAUAGGUGAAGAUAGGUUGGGUUGCUUAGAUCUAGUAGAAUGAUACAUCUACAUGACUAAAGACAUACCGUUCAACUUAGCGUGACUUUUUAACUACCCAAUUCUCCAAUAAUUUAAAUGUUUGGCUCUUCGACGUCCAAUCAACUUAAAUACCUUUCGAGAGGGAAGAAAAACAAAACAAAAAUGCUUGCUAAAGUAUUACCUUUUCCCAUCUACAACUAUAAGAGAGAUUGGAGAUUUACUUCUUUUGCGUCUUCUUCCUAGAUUCUACCCUCCAACUCAUAGCUCCUACUCCUUGUAUUCAAGUAAUUUUCUAAAAUUUCAAAGAAAGAAUAAUUGACAAGGUUCAAGGACUUACGUAUUUGCAAGCUAUUAAUGCUUUUCUCCUUCCUUUUUAUGUUCCUUUUCCUCAAACCAUAAUCUCAAUUGUAUUCUGCUUAAGGCAGCAACCUCUCUCCACUCCAAAAAUCACCAAAAUUUCAGUUUUGAUUCAAUUGUAGUGAAUUUUGUACUACUACGACCUCAACUUUAAUGUGCUUCUACACAAAAUUUUCCACUAUAAACGAAUUACCAGACACUAAGAAAUACAUUUCCAAACAUGAGAUACAUGAAACUGCCAAGGCAGUGAACCUCUUUCUACUCUAAAACUCACUACAACUUCAAAUCAACUUCAAUUUGAACAUUUGAUAGCUUUUUGGAAAGCUUACAUCCAUCCACAUACAUAAUCUUAAGAAUUUUCGACUCAAAAAUUGCAACACAUAAAAACAGAUUGAUGAAAUUCCGAGAGCAAAUCAACAUCCAACUUAACAAAGAAAUUUUUGACUAUCUUAUAAAUUGAGAAUUAGAAAUGCUUUGCUUACACCAAUAAAGAAGAGAUGAAGAACACUUACCACUGAUGAUGAGCUACUUGAAUUCCUCACUCAACAUAAUCAAGCAAGAUCAAUCACAACAAGCAAACUUCACAUUCACACACACCAUUAGAAGCACCAUCUUCUGGCAAAUGCAUCAAAAUGUGAGUGUAAAUUUUACUCCUCAAUCCCAAUUACAAGAUGGCCUCAAUUAAGAGUUGCUUGUAAUUGGUGGUAUGAAGGGAAGUAAGCAAUUAACAAGAACAAAAAAUGAACAACCACAAAACAAUUGAAAUGAAUGACAUGAAGCAAGUACACAAUCAAAAACUAAGUCACAGUCUGUUCACUAUGUUUUCACCCAGUAAAAAUUAAAAGUAUAAAGUAUAAAGUGAAUUUUUAGAUAGGUAAUUUUAUUAUCUUUCCAAUGACGUAAGAAACAUGUAAAUCCGAAUUACUAUGAGUAAGUUAUGAAGUUUUAAAAGACAUGAAGUAAAUAAUUAAAAAAUGAAGUGAAAAUAUUUUAUCUCAAGGAUAACUUUCUUAUAGAUCAAGGGUUCGAGCCUCAACGAGGCUCACAUGUAGUGUAUAUCAGUUGUCUGAAGAGGUCUUGAGGCCUUAGUCUUAUCUUCCUACAUGUAUCCAAGGUGCUACAACCCAUAUGGGACUUGUGCACCUCCUUUUUUAGAAGGACUAUACUAGCUGCUGGUCCUCCUAUUUUCUACUAGUAGAAUUAAUAUUUUUGCAUUUUUUCCUUCACCAUGGUGUUCAAAAACACCCAAUUAGCCUAAAAACAUACUGUGGCCUUCAAACCUUGCUCCAUUUCUUCAUAAUGGCUCUCCAAGUGAUAAAACUCAAUUUUCAAGUGGUCUUGAAAAUUAUCCUAAAAAUUCAUAGAAAAUUCAAAAUAAAUUCUAAAAAUUCCUAUAAUAUUUCUAUAAUUCUAAUAUAAAUUUAAAGAUAUAAUUUCCUAUAUUGAUGAUUUUUUAUAGUAAUAAAAAUCAAUUUGAAUCUACUAAAAAUACUAAAUAAUUUCUAAAUAAAUUCUAAAAAUUCCUAUAAUGUUUCUAUAAUGCUAAUAGAAAUUUGAGGAUAUAAUUUCCUAUAUUCUUGAUUUUUUAUAGUAAUAGAAUCAAUUUAAAUCUACUAUAAAUUCUUCUUUUUAUAUAAAUAAUAAAAAAGACAUGAGGUUCUUUCUCAUGCUUUUAUUAACUACUAACUAACAUUUAUAGUUUUUGUAUAAGUAAUAUAUAUAGAUAUAAGAUCAAUAUAAAUAUUAAUUUAGUAACUAAUUCUUACUCCUCAAUAAUAAGUAAAAAUACUAAACCAACUAAAAUAAUUGCCUCCAAGACUUACUAAGACUCCAUUUCUUCUCCACUAAUACAAUUCUUCUUUCUUUAACAUCUUCUAAAUACAUCUUUACCUAAUAAUUGUAAUUUUGGCACUCUACAUAUAUUCUUUUGUCCUAAAAUAACUACUAAGUCAAUCUGAUGAGUCACAUUGCCUCUUCAAAGGUUGCCUCCUCCCCUUCUUUUUGAGGCCAAGAAUAAAGAAUCUUCAUGGUGAAGCCAUCUUAUCAAGCUUCUAUUCUUCAUUUUAUCACUUUUGGUCUUAAUGGAUGUUGUUGAUGGAACUUUUGAAUUUUUAUUUGUAUAUUUAUAAGGUUAUUAGCAAAUUAUCAUGUGUAAUCGUUGAUAUCAUAUCUGUGUUAAUGGACCAAAUAUUCAAGCUUUCCAUGUCUUAUCCUUGAAUCUAAUAUUUCUUCUACCAAUUUUAACAUGAUCAUUGAUUUCAACUAUAGAAGAUGGUGGUUGUCUUUGAUCUAGUAUAUUUGAUUCUUUAUAUCUUUCCAAUAGUGAAAUAUGAAAGACUGAAUAAAUCUUCAUUGAUGAAGGUAAUUCCAGGCAAUUAAUUAUGUUAUUGAAUUAUUUUUGAAUCAAAAAUAGUUCCAACCUUCGAUAGUCCAACUUAUCACAUGGCUUGUUGGUUUUUAUAUUGCGUUGAAGAAGCCACUAUUUGUCAUCAACUUAGAAUGGAGGAUGUUCCAUCUUCAAUUCAUCCAUUGAUAGCUUAAAACGUUGUUGAGUCUUUUUUAGGUGAAUCUUCAUGGUUGCUUGAAGUUCAGCCAUCUUUGUUGCAAAUUCCCAUGCUGUUGGAUUUCUCAACUUUGAAGGCUCUAUCAUAUUUAAUUUUGGAUGAUGACCAUAGUUUGAAUAGAAUGGUGUUUGUUGCUUAAAUGCAUGGAUUGUGUUGAUAUAUAUAUAAACUCUGUCAAUGACAAGUAGAAAGUUCAAUUGUCUUGUUGAUAGUUGAGAGUACAUCUAAAAUAGUGCUCAAAUAUUUAGUUGAUCCGCUUCGUUUGGCCAUUAAUUUGAGGGUGGAAGACAAAAAAAAGAUUGAUAUUAAUCUUAAGAAUCUUGAAGAGUGCCUUCAAAAACCAUGAUACAAGUUCUGGUUCACGAUCCAACACAAUGUUGUUUGACAACCUCUAAUAAUGAUAGAUAUUAUCAAUAAAGAAUCUUGCCAUCUCUUCACGAGUAAUUGACUUCUUGCAAGGUAUAAAAUGUGCCAUCUUGGUGAAUUGAUCAACAACUAUAAAGUUAGUGUCAAAUGAGCUUGAUGGUAGAAGAUUUAUAAUGAAAUCUAUAGAAAUAGAUGACCAUGGUUGUUUUGGAAUAGGAAGGGGUUGAAAAAGUCCAUAUGGCCAAUGUCAAGGAUUUUUUGACCUUGAACAAGUAUCCCAUGAUAGAAUAAAUUCUUUAAUAUCCUUCCACAUUUUAGGCCAUCGAAAGUCUCUAGAGAGAAGUUUUAAGGUCUUAUUAAAUCCGAAAUGCCUAAUUAUAGGAAAAUCAUGGCAUGUUUGAUGAACAUGUAUGCGAGUUGGCCCUUCAAGAAUGAAUAAAUAUUAUUCAAAGAAUAAGAAAUUAUCUUUAUACUUGAAUUUAGAAGACUCUUCAGAAAGGUUGUUGAUAAGACACUUGAUAAUAAAAACAAGAAGGUCCAUAUUUGAGGCUUUAUGAACUUGAUGAAGAAAUAAUAAAUCUACAACUAUUGAUACAUUGGUUGCUUGAAGAUGAAAUUACUUAGGUUUUAACAAGGUUGCUUGUUGUUGAUCAUUUGCUACCUCAUCUUCUUUUGGUUCAAGGUAGAAACAUCUUGAUAAUGUAUUUGAUAAUUUUUGUUGGCUUCCAUGUUAAUACGUGAUACAAAAGUCAAAUUAUGCUAAAGAUAUAUACCAAUGUACUUGGCGAUUGUUCAAGACUCGAGUUGACAUGAAAUAUUCAAGAUUCUUAUGAUCUGUAUAUAUAAUCACCUCAUGAAAGGCACCUUCAAAAAAGUAGUGCCAUUCUUGGAAAGAAUCUACUAUAGUAAGCAUCUCUAUAUUGUAGAUUUUGUAGUUAAUUUUUACUGCUGAGAAUUUUUUAGAAUAAAAUGUAAUUAGAUGAAGUUUACCAUCUUCUCCAUAUUGCAAUAAGAUUGCUUCCAAUACAAAGUUUGAGGCAUUGGUCUCUAUAAAAUAGCGCUUGUUGAAAUCUAGAUGUAUCAAAAUUAGAGUCGUUGUACAAGCAUCUUUUAAGCUUUGAAAAGCUUUCUUUACUUCAAGGCCCUAGUCCAACUUGACCUUCUUUGUUGGAAUAAUAUAUCCAAAUACUUCUUUAGUUUUGCAUAUAGUUUAGUACUUCAUAGCUUUUUCAACACUAGGUGGACGGGUUUUUUUUGGUCUUCGAGAUUCUAUGAAAAGAUUAGAAUAUCAUCCAAAUAAAUCACAACAAAGUCAUCAAGAUACUUCCAAAAUAUAUCAUUCAUUAAGUGUUGGAAUAUGGCUGGUGCAUUCGUAAGUCUGAAAGACAUGACAUUGUAUUCAAAAUAUCCAUACUUAGUGCAAAAUGUUGUCUUCUAUUCAUCUCUCUCUUUAAUACAUACCAAGUUAUAUGCGCCUUAUAGAUCAAUCUUUAUAAAGAUCUUUGCUUAGCUAAAUUGAUUAAGAAGUUUGAAUAUCAACGACAAUAGAUAUUGAUUCUCUAUCAUGAUUUUAUUAAGAGUACAAUAAUCGACACACAUUUAUAAAGAUCUAUCUUUUUUCUUCAGAAAUAAUAUUAGAGUAUCAGUUGGUAUCUUAGAAUGUUGAAUAAAGUUCUUAGCCAGAUUUUCUUCAAUGUACUCCUUUAAAGUUGCAAAUUCAAUCUAGGAUAACUUAUAGAUGAGUCCAAAUGGUAGUUGAGCAUCUUCUUGAAGGUCAAUUGUACAAUUGUAAGGAAGAUGCUUUGGCAAGUUGUUUACAUUUUUCUUUUCAAAUACAUUUGAAAAAUCCUUAUAUGCCUUUGGAAUUGUUGUUGUAGCAAUCAUAGCUUUUGAUUGUCGAUUUAUGUAGAUAGCAAAUACAAUACUAUAUUUAACUACCCUUACAAAUACUCUAACUCUAAUAAAAAAAUAUUAUUUAAAUUUUGGCUUAUUGGAUGUUAGAAGUUUUUUCAUAGAUCUAGGGAUUCUAUGAUCUAGAAAAAAAAAUUCUUACUUUUGAUAUAUCCAAUUUAUUUAUAGAUUAUAUUUUUGAAGCAAUUAGAGUCCUAAAAUGACUAGACUUGAUAGUGAACUAAUGAUGUUGAAUACUACUUUGUUGCUAUAGUUGUGAAAGGUUAUUUCUAAUGGAAUUGUUUUAUGAGUCAUAUCUCCCGAGGGUAAAGGUCGACCAUCUAUUACUUCUAUAUGUAUGGCUUUUGAUUUUUUGACUAAACAGAUUUUGUGUAAUCUAAAAAAUUCUUCAUCAAUAAAACAUGCAAAGGCUCUUAAAUCAAGUAAUGCAUGACACUCUAGUUUUGUAAUUCCUAACUAUAUAGAUAUAAUAAAACAAUGAGAAGGGCUAGUAGAAAUUACUCGACCUUUUUUGGUUUGUGAUUGUAAAAAAUUUAGCCACACGAUUCCUACUAUAUUUAAAUGUCUUCAUUUAUCCUCAAAGCUUUUAAUGAUGUAGCUACACUUCUCAUUCAAUAUGUAUGCUUGCAUUUCUUUGAAUAAUUAUUAACAUUGUGAUCAGAUUUUUUACAAUAUAAGUAUUAGCCAAGUUCUCUUUGAUGCAUUUUUUUUUGUCCUAAAGAAGAUUGAAGCAAAUUGCAUCAAUCUAUAAAUAUUCUACUUUCAAAUUUCUAUUAGAGUUGAAUGGUGAAGAAUGGAUAAAUUUAUAGAUAGAAAAAAUUAACUCUGAUUGACAAAUCAAGGUCCAACCAAAUUACCCGAGCUCAUAGUCAAUCCUAAGAAAAGAAAAAGGUGGUCCAUUCUCAAUACACUAAAAGACACCAAUAUUUGUGUGACAACAUCUCAUUAUCAACAAUCUUCCAAUGAUACACAUUUACCACAUAUUUCUUACAACAAAGUGAUAAAUCAGUAAGAUAAAUUGUAGGUCUUAGAUAGCAAUUCAAAUUUUAAUUAUGACUUAUAAGAAAUUCAAGACAUUGUCAUAUUAUGUGCUAUCUAGCUUGAGAACGCAUCAAGCGUCUUGCUGUAGAAGAUAAAAUAAUGUUUUACAAGUAUCUAAGUAGUCUAGUGGGUUUCAACUAUCUAAACAAAAACUAUUUCAGAUUUUAAUGUAAAAGCUUAAUCUCAAUACAAAGUGUUUAGAACACUAUUUUUAAUAGCUUCUAAAUAUUAUAAGCAUAGAUUCUUUUGUUAUUUAUUAUUUUUAUUUCUAUUUCAUUUAUUUUCUUUAUUUUCUUAUUCUUUUUUUUUAUUUUCUUUAUUUUUUAUUUUUUUAAACCGUUACCCUAAACAGCGAGCCUCGACAAGCUGUAAUUUUCAAUCAAACUGUCCGAUUGUUGUGAGACUUCUACCACUAGUUUCUUUACAAGUCUUCUAAAUGUUCAAGAAGUUAAAGCUUAAGAGAAGGUUGGGGCCUAAAGAAGAAAAUUUUAACUUAUAGGAGGCUUAAUGGGAGGGAUGAAAGCAAGGCAUGGUUGGAUGAAGGCAAGGAAUGGAAAACUUCAUUCCUAUUAGUCGAAGGCCAUGCCCAAUGGACUUCAAGGAAGCUGUCCGAGGCCUAAUUAGGGAUUAGGGUUCCUCUUUCGAAAGCAUUUGGAGAUUUUUAGCUAAGGUUGUAAAGUUUAGGCUUUGGAAUACAAUUUGUGUGCAAAAAUUAGAAGAUUUGGAGUUAGGGUGAAAAAGUUAUAGCCGUUUGAAGUUAAGGUAUUUAUUUAAGACAUAUUGUUACUCUUUUGAGGGUACGAAGAGUUUUACAGUAGCUUUUGAAGAUCGGAAGGUGCGACUGGAACGGCCAUUUUAAGGCCUACAUCUUUCAUGAAAGAAUUAUUGCUUUUGGAAUUUAUAUAAAAGAGUUGUAAGGAGUUGAAGGCUGCACUUCCAAAUCAAAAGAAGUAAGUAAGCGGAUUUAUUUGUAGUAAUGGUUGGAGCCACAACUGGAGUAUUCUGACGAAUUUUUGGCUCAAACUUUUUGGAGAAUGUAAAAUUUUGUGUUAAAAAUCUAUACAUACAAAUUUCAUGGCAUUUAAGCUUAUAUUUUGUGAGAUAUGAAGAAAAUUGCACAUGGAUGUAUAAAGACAAGGGUUUGAAGCGACUGUUAGGAUUUUCAAGAUAUUGCAAGAUCCACAACGAAUUUGCAGUUAAAAAUUGUUGUAGAAGUUAAUAAGAAUACAUUAGUACCUCAUGUAAAAUUUGAAUUUGUUUGGACGGUUGGAUUAGGAGAUAUGAGGUGAUGAAGUUUUAGAAAAUCUCCACAUAAGAAUAAAUAAGGUUUUAGAAGAUUUUAUCAUAUUUUGGAAGUUGUGGGUUACUUGAGGAUUGUGUAUUUGGUGUAAUUACUCAAAAAGGGAAAAAUUAUAUAUAAAAUUAGGGCUUCUUUUAUUUUCAAGAUUGAUUGAAUAAUUAGUGAUAGCCAGAAACCCAACGUUUUCUUGAGGCAAACUCUCUCUAUCUCGACAGUGGAUGGAGCAUAUGCUCUUGUCAUGUUCGAUGGUACAGCUUACAAUGAGGUGAUAGUAAUUGGCCCUUGAAUAUUGACACUGGAAUUGACCAUUGUUUCUAACAUCUAAGAUCACUAAAUAUUAAUAAGUCUUUUCCAUUUAUAUUUUCACCAUAUAGUUGUGGUAUAACACGACAAUGCUGUCAUAUUAUAAUUACUUAUAAUAUGUAGAAAAUAGUUAGAAUAUAUAAUAUGUGCAUAAUUCUUGGUGUAUGUUAGAAUGGUUAAUAGAUUAAUUUAAAGACAUUGGAUUAAAGAAACUUUAUUUUGAGUAUUAUCUUUUUUGAUUAUAGCAUUAAAAAAAUUAUAGGAUCUAAAUUUUUAGUAUAAAGCCUUAAGAGGAGAUUAGAGUGUAAAGAAGAAAAUCUUAAAUAAUUAUCAUAAAUUUAGAAUAUUGACUGGAAAUCUAAACUAGAAGCUUAAGAAGAAUUGAUAAGAAUUAGAUUAAUCAAAUGAGUACAAGAACAUCAUUAGAAAGAUGAGCUAGAGCUCUAAAAGGUGUGUUGUCGAGAGUGAUGUCCCCUUAAUCUUAGGUCCUAUAUACUAUACAAGCUAGGAAGCUUCUCAAGUAGCUUUCUUAAACUGGAAAGCUUUUCAAGCAGCUUUAUAAGCAGCUUGAAAAUUUCCAUAAACUAGCUUCUACAAACGAGCUUGAAAACUUCUCAAGUAGCUUCUACAAACUACAAAGCUUUGAUAGAACUUUCUAGAAUCUUCUACAAUUUCUAAGUGUGUGUCCUUGACAUCACUCCCUCCCCCUCCCCCCUUUGGCUUCAAGGUCUCCAAGAAGUACUCCUAUUACGAGUCAAUACCAAUGUAAGAAGUUAAAAAUUUGUAACAUAGUAUUUGUAAUAUAGUCUAAUUAUUGUUUACGUAGUAAGUAGUUUAUUGGUCCUUAUAACCAUUGAUAGUGUCCUAUGCCUUCGAUUUCUGACUAAGUAUGAACUUUCGUGUUUUCAUUGUAAAAAUGCCCUACAAACACUCCUUUGGGAAGAUCACCGUAGGCAGGUUCUACCUCAAAUACAAUCACUAGCGACCUGUUACUAGAUAUCCUCCAUUGUCUUUGUGGUAUAGGCAGUUCUUCAUCUCGUAGUCAUUUUCAUGAGAUACUCGUUUGAGAAGACAUGAUUGGUAUGGUAUCUAUCUUUUGGCUAUCCAUAUCAGACCAAAAAAUACAAGCACUAAAUAUGGAAGAAUGGACUCAGGUUACAGAUUUAUAGUGUCCAACUAUGUCUUUUAGAGAUUCUUUUUUCCCCAUCUUUGUAAGGCCGAGGAUUAAAAGACUUUAAAGAGAAGGAACUUCACUGAAAAACUUUCAUCGAAAGGGCUUAAGUUUUUAAGGAUAGCGUCGAUGAAAAUCUUGUACCUUUUGCAACACAUUGAUAAGAUUUUCCGCUAGUUCUUUUAUGCACUCAUUGAUAUCAUAGCCGCUCCAAUGCACCAAGUAUUCCAAUUUCUCCUACUUACGCCUCAAAUUUAGUACCUUUUCCACCUGAUAUUUCUUGUGGUUUUCAAUUUCAAUACUAGGUAGUGGACAUUGCACUCUUUAAGGAAAAGACGACUCUCGAUAAGGCUCCAACAAAGAAACAUGAAAGAUUAGAUUUACCUUCAUAGCAGCUGGUAAUCCCAGACAGUAUGCCAUUGGAUUGAUUUGCUUCUAGAUGACAAAUGGUCUCAAUCUCUGGUAGUCCAAUUUAUGACAUGGCUGAUUGAUUUUGAUAUUUCGUCAAAGCAAUCAUAUUUUAUUUUCAAUUUUGAAAGUAGGUGCCUGAUUCCAAAAUUUAUCUGUGGAUGCCUUGUAAGCUUCUAAGGUGAUUUGUAAUUGAAGCUUCAACGUAGUUUGAAGCUCCAAUAGUUUUUUCAUCUUUUCUUCAGCUGCCGAAUUGUUAUUGGUUGUCGGACUCAACAAAUCAAGCUUUAAAUGAUACCCAUAGUUGGAAUAGAAUGGUGUUUGUUGAGUCGACGCAUGAAAGGUGUUAUUAUAUAGAAACUCGACUAACAAUAGAUAUGCAUUCCAAUCACCUUGUUGAUAGUUGAUGCAGCAUCAUAAAUACUGCUCAAAAGUUUAAUUCACCUAUUUCGUUUAGCCAUCAGUUUGAAGAUGGAAAGCUGAAGAAAGCUUGAUAUCCACCUUCAAUAUCUCAAAGACAGAUCUCUAGAACUUUGAUACAAAUUGGGUUCUUCAAUCCGACACAAUAUCAUCUGGUAGACCAUGAUAUCGAUACAUACUAUCAAAGAAGAGCCUUGGAGUGUCUUUGCUUGACGAUAUUUUCUUAGAAGGAAUAAAGUGUGUCAUCUUUGUAAGCCGAUCUACCACAACAAAGAUGCUGUCAAAUGAAUUCGAUGGCAGCAGGUCCGUAAUGAAGUCCAUGGAAACUGAAGACUAUAGCUGACGUGGAAUAAGCAAUGGCUGAUGAAGACCAUAAGGAUGAUGCCGAGGAUUCUUGGAUCUUGAACAAAUAUACAUGAGAGGACAAAAUCCUCAACAUCUUUCUAUAUUUGGAGUAACCAAAAAUCUCAAGAAAUAAGUUUCAAGGUCUUAUUGAAUCCAAAAUAUCCUGCACGUGAAAAAUCAUGUUGAGAUUGGAAAACUCGAAGUCGUGCUUGUCCCUUUGAAAUAUACAACCACUCUUCAAAGUAUAAAAGAUCUCUUUCUACCUUGAACUUGUUAUUAUUGACAUAUUGUAUGAUAUCGAUGACUACAUAAUCUCCAAUAGUUGCAGUACGUACCUGGUUGAGGAAGUUAGCAUCAAUUGUAACUAUGGCAGAGCAAACACUGAAUUAUUCCAACUUCAAUAAUAUUGUACACUAUUGAUCAAAUGCUACUUCUCCAGCCUUUGGUGCUAGAUACGAUCUCUUUGAUAAUGCAUCAGAUAGUCCUUAUUGCUUCCCAGGCCAAUAAGUAAUAACAAAGUCAAACCUAGAUAGUAACAUAUUCCAUCAAGCUUGACAAUGAUUCAGAACCCGAGCUGAUAUGAAGUACUCUAAAUUCUUGUGAUCCAUAUAUACGGUCACUAGAUGCACAGCUCCUUCAAGAAAAUGAUGCCACUCUUGGAAAGAAUCCACUAUCACAAGAAGUUUUUUAUUGUAGAUCUCAUAGUUGAUCUUGAUAGUAAAAAACUUUCGAGAGUAGAAUGCAACUGGAUAAAGCUUCUUAUCUGCGCCUAUCUGCAAAAGUAUAUCUCCCAUAGCAAAAUUUGAAGCAUCAGUCUCCAAAUAGAAGGCCUUUGUAAAGUCCGGAUGUACCAAGAUUGGAGCCAUAAUAAAUGCCGUCUUAAGAUCUUGAAAUGCUUUUUCUGCUUUUGAGUUUGUCUUUACAUAUUAACCAAGUGAGCAGAAUAACAAUUUGAGAAUAAUUUUUGAUGAAGAUCUGAUAGAAGUUAGCAAAGCUAAGAAAGCUUUAUACAUCUGUCAUCGUCUUUGGAACUUCUCAUGAUACAAUUGCUUCCACCUUCUUAGGAUCCAUCUUCAAGCUUUUUGUAGUUGCAAUGAAUUCCAAAAAUUCCAUCUCAGUUUAAUUAAACAAGGACUUUUCUAACUUGGCAUAAAGUCCUCACUCAUGAAGUUUUUCAAGGACUAGACGAACGUGUUUCUCAUGCUCUUCUACAUUCUUGGAAAAUAUUAAAAUAUCAUCUAGAUAGAUGACAACAAAAUCGUCAUGGUGCUCCUGAAAGAUAUCAUUCAUCAUAUUGUCGUGUUGUGGUUCGGCUAUUAUAUGAAAAUAAUGUAAUUAUGUACUUAAUAUAUAAUUUAUUAAGUAACAUGGUGAGAGCCAUAUUAAUAGAUUUUAGUUGGUUGUAGAAUAUAAUUUGAUUAUUACCUUGAAAAGAGGUUGUUUAAAAAGAUUACUAUAGAAUUUGUAUAACUUUAAUAUCCUUUUGAUAGUGGCUUUUAAGAUUGGUUUUGGUUGAUAGUAACUGUAGAAUAAGUAGUUAUUUUUAGAAUAUAGAUACCUAGUAUAUAGUAUAAAUAGGGAUAAAUAAUUGUUGAAAAGGUGGUUCAACAAGUAAAAUGGAUGAAUAGUCAAGAAAAGUAAUUAUCAUCUAUAGUAUAGGAGUUGGUAUCUCGGGAUAGUAUAAAGAGGAUGGGAGAGGGGAAAAAAAUGCCAAACUACAAUAGUACUGAGUCAGUGAUAAGCUUGGUGCUAUCUCUUCUUCUUAAUUUUCCUAUUUCUUUUGUGUUAGUAUUGAUUCAAGUGAAGAGAAUCGAUUUAAUGAAUUAAUGUUUGAUUUAUGAAGUUAUUUAUGGAUCACUGUUUAUCAAUUGUUGUGAAAGAUUGAGGACGUAUGGAAGUUUUCAGCCACUGUUUAUCGCAAGGUUGUAAGUUUAGUGGAGAGGAAUUGUAAUCGAAGAAAUUGUCUUGAUCAGAUUUUGUAGAUUAGAAGUUGUUCGUUCCAGGGUUUGGGAUAUGCUUGUGUGUUCGUGAAUUAGACAGGGUAUUGAAAUUGUUGUCGUAGAUGUUAUUGUAUUGAUAUGAGAGAGUGGACAGUAGGGGAAAAAGUUAAGUGUUCUUUGGUAUGGUAAGCAUUCAGCAGUAGCGAUUAAUUGCGUGAUCCUAACAAUUGGAGCUCAUAUACAUGGUCUUUCCCUGUGUUCAAAUUUCCUUAUAUGGGUUUAUUUUGAGAGGUUUCUUCGAGAAUAAGUAAAACGAGCAACCACAUUUUGGCAUCAAUGUCGAAGAUUGACAAUAUUAUUGAGUGUUAGGAAUUAAUUAUCGAAGUAGUAAAGGAGAUUAGGAAACAAAUUUACUAGAAAUAAUGAAAGAAUAUGGUUAUUAAGAAUGAGAAUUUAAUAGCAAAGAGAAUAAAGCAAUCAAAAGAAAAAAUAGAGUGAUCGCAAGCAAGAAAUUUAUUGCGUAAUGAGCAAGAUUGCAAAUUGAAAAAAAAGCAUCGACAAAGUUGGAUUAAGCCGUUGUCGUGUUGUAACACAAGUAUACCGUGAAAAUAUAAAGAAAGGGGACUUUUAUUAAUAUUCAAUUACCUCAAAUAUUGGGAGCAACGACCAACUCCAGUGCAAAUACUGAGUGGUCAGGUUCAGUCACCCCGUUACAGUCAGCCGGGGCAUACUGAAAUGCUCCAUUCGAUUCCAAUAACGAGAGUCAGCAGGAAGAGAAAGGACCAAUUCACGCGACGGGUGAGCCUGGUUUGAAGAGCCAAUUGGAUCCAAUUUCGAAAAUCCAAUCCGGGUCCUCUUACCCAAUAUGAGGCCUGUAUUGGUCGGGCAACCCAAUGCAGUGUAAUUACGGGAAAAUCCAGGUCUUACUACGGGUCUUCUUAUCCAAUAUGAGACCUGUAUUGGUCGGGCAACCCAAUGCAGUCUAAUUACGGGAACAUCCAGGUUACUAUGGACAUCUUACCCAAUAUGAGACCUGUAUUGGUCGCGCAACCCAAUGUAGAAUAAUUACGGGAACAUCCAGGUUACUAUGGGCAUCUUACCCAAUAUGAGACCUGCAUUGGUCGAGCAACCCAAUGCAGUCUGAUUACGGGAAAAUCCGGGUCUUACUACUAGACUCUUAUCCAAUAUGAGACCUGAAUUGGUCGGGCGACUCAAUGUGGUCCCGAUUACGGGGUUCGAUUCUGUUUCAGGCUGUCCUAUUCUCUGUUUCAGGGAACGUUGUUUUCGGUAAAUGGAUCUUUUAAAGGUAAAAACGGAGGAGAAAGCUUUGAUGGCGAGAGCCAAUUUUGGAUCUAAGCUCUGACGGCGGGAGCCAAUUUCGGAUCCAAGAUGGAAGAUUGGAGAAAUUCAGAGGAUAACGUUAGGGGGAGAAUAAGUUUUUGGGGGGGUUUUUUUCGGAGAGAGGAGCUAGCUUCAGGCUUUUUUCAAGGUUACUAGUUCGGUUUCAUUGGAGGUUUUUGAAGAUCAAGGGGAUUGGAGAGGAGCUUCAUGCUUCGGGUCGGAGAAGAAAAGACGGAGAAUUGGAUUUUUCUUUUUCAUAGAGUUUUGGAAAGACUGAGGCAAUCGUUGCUAAAGUCAGUGUUGUAAUGGUGAAUCGGGAUUUUUUAAUGAAGUGGGUUUGAUUACUCUUGACUGUUUUGUAAAAUCGAGUUACGUCUGUGAUUGAAGGAUUAAAAGGAUGUCUAUAGGAUUGAGUAUGCGGAGUGAAUGAAAUUUAUUGGGUUAAUCUAACAAGACAAUCAGUGGAUACAAGAUCGUAAGUACAAAGCGAUAUCGGAGAUUAGCAGAUUGGGUUGUUUGGGGUUCUCUGUAACGUCUAGAGACCUACCGGUCGGGGCAAAAAGGACUUCGACAAGCAGUCGAAGGGCAUCCAUAUAGAUUUACGGUAUAUUCUUGCAGUCGUUUAUAUUCCAGCAGUCAAAAACUGAUAGACUGCUUGACUAUUGGCGAAUCUCCAUACUACCUUCUACAGCCAGACGCCCGGCGCGUUCUCGAGCAGGAAAGCACGUAAUACGACACCGUGGUUGCAUGCUUGUCGGCAUAUUUGAUCGUAUCCAGAAGACGAUCAAUCUCUAAUAUUUUAGAAGUACACAUCGUUAAAGAAAUUACCAAGAUCACUUAUGGAGAGCGCUGCUAGUAGUCUAGCAUACCUUUUGAAGCCGUUAACGAAAAACAAAGAAGGCAUAGAAGAAUUAGGUAUCCCAUUGGAUAUUUUCUCAAUUAGAAAUACUUCUGAUCCUAACAAGAUUGGUUAUGAAGAUUGGCAUAAAUCACUUGCCAAUAAAGACCAAUUCAGAGUAUAUCAAAACUUAUCGUUUUCACCUCAUAUUCAACUAGUAAAAUUAUUUGGGGAUAAUAAUAGUCAAUUGGGAAGGCCUCGAAGUCCGAAAAAGACUUUUGCACGAGGUAGUUUUUAUUUUAAUAAAGAAUUGAGCAGAACAUCGGUAUCUUUAAUGACGUCUGGAGGACCAAUAGUUCCAAUUGCAGUUCAAAUGGGUGCAGUGGGCGAUCGAAUGACUAGCAUCACGCCAUUACCUACUUUUCGGGGUUUGCUAGGUGUGGAUCCAGAUCAACAUUUUUUUCAAUUCUUGACGGCGUGUGUAGUCAAUAAUGGAAGAACAAAAGACAUUUGGCUGAGAUGGCUUCCAGCAACAUUGAAAGACACAGCGUUUGAGUGAUAUAACCGCCAAUCUGUGGGACAAUUUAUCAAUUGGGAGGCAUUGAAAAUUUUUUAGUUUAGCCCAUUUUCGACCAAUUGAUUUUGAAGAACGUCUUAGAAAAAAAUUAAUGAACAACAGAAUGGUACCAAGGGAAGUGGUACAGUCAUAUUAUGGUCGUGUAGCACAUAUACUUCAAAAAUGGCCAAAUAACCAAAUGUCGGAAUUGUUUGUGUUGUCCAUAUUGGUUAAUGGACUACACCCACCAGAUUUGAAGAUGUUUGUAAAGGAGGCCCAAUCAGCCACCAUUCCAUCAUCUCUUGAGCGAGCAAAAGUAUGGGAGGAAUGUCACUAUGACCAGAACUUAAUAAUUGGAGCCACGAUGAUUCUAUCAUAAGAAGGUUAUUAAAUGACAAAUUGGAAUGACACAUCAGAAAGUUAUCUCGGAAGGAAUGAUUAUGAUACAAUUCCACAGGGAAUAGUAGAUGUCAUUCCAUUGCAAGCUGUACCACCAUCAUCAUCACACCCGUAUGCACCUUAUCUCGCAUAUCAAAAAUCAAUACCUACAAAGGAAUUGCCAAAUGAAUUGGUAUCAAGGGAUCCCAAUGAGUCAUUGCUGUUAACAUUGACAGAAAAAAUGGAUGAAUUGGUUGUGAAUCUAGCCAAAGAUAAAGAAAAAAGGUAUAAACCAACCAAUAUGCUUCCCAAUGUCUGGUGUAGUAAUUGUAAGGGACAAGGUCAUUUAGUAACAGAAUAUCCUUCACCUCCCCAAAUGACUGUACAAUGUAUCUUUUGUUGGGGCAAGCAUAUUACCACCAACUAUUAGAAUUUACGGAAGCAACAACAAUUCAAUAACCAGAUAAUGACUCAACCAACUUUGUAGGAUGUCAAUCAAGUACAGACGAAUAAUAGGUUUGGCUGGAAUGGAAAUCGAGCGAAUAAACAAAAUAGGAAUUAUUCUAAUUUCCUAAACUCUGAAUUUUACCAAGAAGGUGUAUCCAAUAUUCACGGAUAUGCGAUGAACUAGCCAGGAUACCAUCAAUAUCCACCCAUGACGAAGCCAAUGCCAGACUCUAUAGUAACAAUGGGUCAACCAGGAUCCUUUAUUCAUCCGACAUGGAAAAGACCUAGCCGUUAUAUACCAGUAGAGACACCCAUUAUCCCUGAAGGAGUUGGCAGGAGACUACUUUGUUACUAUCGUUGCAGAGAAAUCAGACAUUAUGCGAGUGAAUGUCCUAAUCCAAGGGCCAGUGAUGACUAUGCUUCAAUAUGUGGAAAUUGUAAGCAAUUUGGUCACACUUAUUAGCAGUAUAAUGUGCCCUUUAAUUAUAAUAAUCGGAACCAACAAAUGCAAACAAGCUAACCGGUGGAGGUCAAAGGCCCUGUUCAACGAGACUCAUCAGUACAUUGUGUCGAGGUGGUGAACGCUGUCGUAUUACGUGCUUUCCUGCUUGAGAACGCGCUGGGCAUCUGGCUGUAGAAGGUAGUAUGGAGAUUCGCCGAUAGUCAAGCAGUCUAUCAGUUUUUGACUGCUGGAAUAUAAACGACUGCAACAAUGUACCGUAAAUCUAUACGGGUGCUCUUCGACUGCUUGUCGAAGUCCUUUUAGCCCCAGGAGGUAGGUCACUAGACGUUACAGAGAACCCCGUACAACCCAAACUGUUAACCUUCAAUACCGCUUUGUACUUACGAUCUUGUAUCCACUGACUGUCUUGUUAGAUUAACCCAAUAAAUUUCAUUCACUCCGCAUACUCAAUCCUAUAGACACCCUUUUAAUCCUUCAAUCACAGACGUAACUCGAUUUCACAAAACAGUCAAGAGUAUUCAAACCCACUUCAUUAAAAAAUCCCGAUUCACCAUUACAACACUGACUUCAGCAGCGAUUGCCUCAGUCUUCCCCAAAACUCUACGAAGAAGAAAAAUCCAAAUUCUAUGUCUUUCCUUCCCCGACCCGAAGCAUGAAGCUCCUCUCUCUAAUUCCCUUGAUCUUCAAAAACCUCCAAUAAAAAAAACCGAACUGGUAACCUUGCAGAAGCUUGAAAAAUCCUUCCCCCCCCCGAUUUCCCCUGAAAAAAAACCCCCCCCUCAAAACUAUAUCCCCCCUAACCUUAUCCUCUGAAUUUCUUCAAUCUUCCGUCUUAGAUCCGGAAUUGGCUCCCACCUCAAGCUUGGAUCCGAAAUUGGCUCUCGCCGUCAAGCUUUCUCCUUCGUUUUUACCUUUAAGAAAUCUAUUUACCGAAAACAACGUUCCCUGAAACGGCACAGAGAACAGGACAGCUUGAAACAGAAUCGAACCCCGUAAUCGGGACCACAAUGAGUCGCCCGACUAAUUCAAUUCCUAUAUUGAGAAAGAUGCCUGUAGUAACCUAGAUGUUCCCGUAAUUGGGUCAAAUUGGUCCUCGCAUCAGAUUGGCUAAGAUCCGUAGUAAGACCUGGAUUUUCCGUAAUUAGACCACAUUGAGUUGCCCGACCAAUUCAGGUCUUAUAAUUGGAAAGAUGCCCGUAGUAACCUGGAUGUUCUCAUAAUUGGGUCAAAUUGGUCCUCGCAUCAGAUUGGCUAAGACCCGUAGUAAGACCUGGAUUUCUCGUAAUUAGACCAUAUUGAGUCGCUUGACCAAUUCAGGUCCUUUAUUCGGAAAGAUGCCCGUAGUAACCUAAAUGUUCCUGUAAUUGGACUGCAUUGAGUUGACCGGCCAAUUCAGGUCUCAUAUUGGAUAAGAGGACCCGGAUUGGAUUAUCGAAAUUGGAUCCAAUUGGCUCCUCGAACCCGUCGUGUGAAUUGAUCCUUCUCUUCCUACUGACUCCCGUUAUUGGAAUCGAAUGGAGCAUUUCAGUAUGCCCCGGCUGACUGAAACGGAGUGACUGAACCUGACCACUCAGUAUUUGUACUGGAGUUGGUUAAUGCUCCCAAUAUUCGAGGUAACCGAAUAUUAAUAAAAUUCCCCUUUCUUUUUAUUUUCACUGUAUAAUCGUGUUACAACACGACAUCCACCCCCUCUGAACCUGUGCAUCCUCCGGUAUGCACCAAUUUACCCAAUUGCUGUUUGAUUCAGAAUAUAUCCUCUACGUCUUUGUCCAGUUCGUCGUCGUCACCUUCAUUAUCCAUAUCACUUUCAUCUUCUUGCUGCGGAAUCUCUGUACCUUCAUUAAGGUCUUCCAUAUUCAUCUCUGCGUGUCUUCGUUUAAAUAUUUUUAUUCGCUUCCUUGCAAUUGGUAUUUUCAAUUUUGUACCAUCUAACUCCCGUAAUGAGUAAGUCGCAUUAUCAUGAACAGUUGUUACAACAUAUGGUCCAAACCAACGUUUUGAAAAUUUCCGCAAAGUACUAUGUUGAUUAUCCAGACUAUUGUCAUAAAUAAGUACCUAGUCACCUUCCUCGAUUGCUUUUGGUCUCAAUCAAUGUUGCUUAUCGAAUCGCACCUUGUUUUGUAACCUUGCUCUUUUUAACCUUUCCAAUGCUAUCUGGACAUCUUCCAUUCUUUGCUCCAAUUGUCGAAUCCUAAUAGCCAGAAGUUCUUCUCUUGUCAAUCCAUCUUCCCAUGGUAGCAUACUCCAAGUAAGUACCUUUUCUUCAAUCGGCAUAAUUGGUUUUUGACCUGUCAUAAGUUCUACUAGCAUAUAUCCUAUCACCGAACUAUGUGUUGUUCGAUCAGCCCAUAAUGCAAAUGACAAAAGCCGUGGCCACUCUUUAACCUUCCAAUUAUAAGCUUUAACCAAUGCUUUCACAAUCGGCAGGUGACCGCGUUCGCUUUUCGCAUUCCCUUCCGGAUUAUAAGCAGUAGUCAGUGAUAGUUUAACUCCACAUCUUUCAAAGAACUUACGAGCUUCUUGUGCAUUUAAUUCUCCACGAUCUGCAGUGAUUUUUCCUACGCACCCGUAACGGCAAAUGACAUCUUCAAGCAAAAACCUACAAAUCCCCUCUGUAGAUUUUGUCCUCAAUGCUCUUCCUUCUACUAGAUUUGAUAAAUCUUCACGAGCUAAAACCAAAUAUCUCAUCUGCCAUAACCCAAUCGGUAUAAUAACCAAAUCAACAACCCAUUUAAAAUGAAUAGCUAGAGGAUACGUAGGAUGAAGACCAUCUCGAUGUCGGAUAUUAGAAUACGAUUGACAGAUUUCACAUGACUCUACAAAUGAGAGCACAUCUCGAUACAUAUUUUUCCACCAAUAUCGUUCCUUGAGUUUAGCAAAAGUAGCCUAGAUUCCUCUAUGCCUAGUCCAUAAACUAUCAUGAAACUCCUUUAAUAAUUAUAGUUUUUCUUCCCUUUUGCCUAUCACUCGUUGUGGCAUCCCAAUUCCUUUCUUCGGUCUCUUUCAUAAGAAUCCAUCUCGAAGUAAAAAUCCAUAUGCUUUUUUUCUUAUUUGUUUGAAUUUUUCUGUAGACCAAUUUCCCUGUUUAGACAAGGUAUUUAAAUAAUGACCAAUAUCCAAUAAUUCUCCUUUAUAAGAUUCUUCAAGAAAUAGCUUGUCUUCUCUGUUGAGAUUUGAUAUUGAAUAGAAUUUCAAUCCGACAUCAUCAAUGUCUUCAACCAUUUCGUCCUCCCUCUCGUAUCUUGCUCGAGAUAGCAUGUCUGCUACUAAAUUGUCCUUUCCAGUGACUUCUGGUGCUUGAAAAGAUUCAAACAUGGUAUAAACCUCUCUCGAAUGAAUCUCAACAAUCUUAUCAUUAUCCCCUAACCCAAUAGAUGUAAUCAAUUCCAAUGAAUCUUCCAGCCCAUUUUCUUCAUAAAUACCCAAAAUCCUCUCACCAUCUUGCAAUGUACCUAUCUUGCGUAACUGUCCUUCAAUAUCAUAUAAUCUUUUUCUUUCUUUUCUUUUAAAAUCAUCAACUUUCUUAUAUAUAAUAUUUCCAUUCUCCAAUAUACCAAUAAAACUCGCAUCAAAGGCACCUUCAUCUCGCGAGAGUACCUCCUCUUUUGUACCUCCAUAAUCUCGCUUUACAGUGGUACCUCCCCAAAAUCCUUAAAUCCUUCAACAAUCUUUGGCAAUGGUUUCUCCCUCAACCUAUCUCGAUUCCGUUCAUGGUUAGGAGGUACUAUUAGAAAUUGUACAGCUUUCCUCCCAUCUUCGCUCCGUACCCUUGCAUAAGCAGAACCAUCGUCAAGUAUCUUUGUUUCUAUGCAUGUUGUCAUAAUAUAAGGUUGUCCUAAAAUCAACGGAUAAGAUGUUGUAUCUUGAACGAAGAAAUGUUGCUCCAUCGCAACAUCCCCAAUCCGAAUUUUGACAUCUGGACAAGCUCCAUAUAAUUCGCCUCGUGUGUUAUUAGCUACUCGUAUUGCCCAUCCAUGUUCCAUAUCAAUUGGCCAUUUUUGCUUCUUAUAAAGAUCUUUAGACAUGAGAUUUAUUUCAGAACCAUGGUCCACCAAGGCAACUAUUGGUUCUUCUAUAUCUCCUACCUUCACCAAUACCUCAGUAGUUGCCCUUGCCCAAUGCUUUCGAGUACAAUGGCUCAAAUUUUCCAUUUUCUUGUCACUAGAAUCUUCGAAACGUACUCGCUGAUUAUAUCCAUUCUUUUCAUUUGUUGGUUGCUUGUAACCAAUAUCAACCUCUUCUUCAUCUCUACAUAUUCUUGCAUCAAUAGCAUGACUCAUUCCAGUUUCGCUCAUUAAUUGCCUCUUUUGCUUAAUGUUGUCAAUGAUAACAUCAUGAAACUCCUUCUUUGCAAUUUCCAAGACUUCUUUCAAUGUGAAUUCCACCUUAGCGUUUAAUAUAUGUUCUUCCAACACCCCUUUCAAAUUUGUUGCCGCUUCAAUGUCAGAAAGUAGCUUAUAAGCAAUUGAUUUGCCCUUAUCUUUUGUCUCCAUUGUUUUUUCUCCCAAUGAUGUUGUGGUAUCCUUUACAGGCAAUUCUUGUGAAGCUGCCUCCCGAGCCUUGUCUCCUCGAGUUUGCCUCUUAAAAGAAUUUCCUUCUCUAGUAUCAUCAAAAUUUCCUCGUCUUUUUUCUUCCAUCAAAGCUUCAUGUUGGCUCUUAGCAAUAUAUGCAUGAACUGAAAGAGACUCAACAGGAUCCUCCCAACCUGUUCUUCCUCGUAUUGUAGCUGCAGUUCUCAAUAACGCUUCUCGAGGUAAUUUCCCUUCUUGCAUUGUAGAAACGGCAGAAGCCCAAAACUCACUAGUUUCCGUACUUCCACCAAUUUCAUCAUCUACUCUAGCACCAUAACUUGCACUUUCUCGUACUACUGUUUCAUGCUCUUUUAAGUAAUCUUGAAUCAAUGCUCUCAUUCUUUCCUUGCCAAAAUUGGUUUGAAGAAGAUCCUCCCUAUCUUUCAAUACUAUCUUCCCAUCUUUCCAACAAAUAUUUCCCUGCCCUAUCAUAUUAUUUAAUUCAUUGCAAUCUUUUCUAGUGUGUGAAGCAUCAUCACACCAAAUGCAUCUUUGUACAUAUCCUUGUUUUGAAACAUUCUUUGAAUUGUUUAUAGAAGUAUUCUCUUCAAGUCUUGCCAAUUUGAUUUGAAGAUCUCGCAUUCCUCGUAUAAUUUCUUCCAUACCCAUAUCUGCUUUCUUUGACAAGGAUGUCGAAGGUUGAACUGUAGGCAUUGUCGGUGGUGUUGUACGUACUGGAGCUUUGGGUGCUUGUACUGGUUUCGGAAUAUUACUCCUAUCCUUCCUCCUUUCUUUUUUUGUAAGCAACCCCACCGCAUCUUCAACGUUCUUCCACUUCGUUGUCAAUCCUUCAUCUUUUUCUUUGUCUUCAAGAAGGGGUUCUAAUUUCUCUUGCAAUUCUCCAUCAGCAGCUUGAAGAAAUAGAUCAACUUUGUUCGGCUCCAAUGUCAAUUUUUCUACCUUCGAUAAUUGAGAGUACUGCCUCUCAAAUUCCCUUAGUAGCUCUGUUGCUUGCAAAUUCUUAUUGGGCCGUUCAAUCCAUCCCAGAAACAGCUUCUUAGUAACGCGAUCAGCAUCUUCCAAGAAAUAUUCGUCUUUCAAUGCAUGUGAAAAAUCCUCCCAUGAAUUCCCACAACGAUCCGUAAUCGAUGUAAUGUGGUUCCUUAUCUCCGGUAUCGUGGCAAGUCCAAAUAGUGCAACCAUUUUCUUCUCAGAAACCCGAUUUAAUUCCAUUUCACGAACAUAACAUCUUAAAUACCUUGAAAUAUUCUUCCCAUCAAAUUGAUCAAUUUUAUUGACCACUGCUUGCAAUACUUUGGUUGCCAAAGCUUCCUUUCGAUCAUUGCUUUGCUGUUGCUGCAUUAACAAUAAGAAGGCUUGAAACAAACUCGCAAUAGACGGAUCCAUGUGCAUACCUUGUCCUUUAGAAGACUCCCCACCAGAAACUUCUCCCAAAAAUCCUUCAAAAUUUUUAUUUUCGUUUUCCAUAAAAAUAAAGAUAAAAUCAACCGAAAUCCAAUACCUUCCACCUCAAGCUUUCAAGUCGGGUUCACCACUUAUGUCGUAUUACGUGCUUUCCUGCUCGAGAACGCGCCGGGCGUCUGGCUGUAGAAGGUAGUAUGGAGAUUCGCCGAUAGUCAAGCAGUCUAUCAGUUUUUGACUGCUGGAAUAUAAACGACUGCAACAAUGUACCGUAAAUCUAUACGGGUGCUCUUCGACUGCUUGUCGAAGUCCAUUUUGCCCCAGGAGGUAGGUCACUAGACGUUACAGAGAACCCCGUACAACCCAAACUGUUAACCUUUAAUACCGCUUUGUACUUACGAUCUUGUAUCCACUGACUGUCUUGUUAGAUUAACCCAAUAAAUUUCAUUCACUCCGCAUACUCAAUCCUAUAGACACCCUUUUAAUCCUUCAAUCACAGACGUAACUCGAUUUCACAAAACAGUCAAGAGUAUUCAAACCCACUUCAUUUAAAAAUCCCGAUUCACCAUUACAACACUGACUUCAGCAGCGAUUGCCUCAGUCUUCCCCAAAACUCUACGAAGAAGAAAAAUCCAAAUUCUAUGUCUUUCCUUCCCCGACCCGAAGCAUGAAGCUCCUCUCUCUAAUUCCCUUGAUCUUCAAAAACCUCCAAUAAAAAAAACCGAACUGGUAACCUUGCAGAAGCUUGAAAAAUCCUUCCCCCCCCCGAUUUCCCCUGAAAAAAAACCCCCCCCUCAAAACUAUAUCCCCCCUAACCUUAUCCUCUGAAUUUCUUCAAUCUUCCGUCUUAGAUCCGGAAUUGGCUCCCACCUCAAGCUUGGAUCCGAAAUUGGCUCUCGCCGUCAAGCUUUCUCCUCCGUUUUUACCUUUAAGAAAUCUAUUUACCGAAAACAACGUUCCCUCGCAUCAGAUUGGCUAAGAUCCGUAGUAAGACCUGGAUUUUCCGUAAUUAGACCACAUUGAGUCGCCCGACCAAUUCAGGUCCUAUAUUCGGAAAGAUGCCCAUAGUAACUUGGAUGUUCCCGUAAUUGGGUCAAAUUGUUCCUCGCAUCAAAUUGGCUAAGACCCGUAGUAAGACCUGGAUUUCCCGUAAUUAGACCACAUUGAGUCGCCCGACCAAUUCAGGUCCUAUAUUCGGAAAGAUGCCCGUAGUAACCUGAAUGUUCUCGUAAUUGGACUGCAUUGGGUUGACCGGCCAAUUCAAGUCUCAUAUUGGAUAAGAGGACCCGGAUUGGAUUAUCGAAAUUGGAUCCAAAUGGCUCCUCGAACCCGUCAUGUAAAUUGGUCCUUCUCUUCCUACUGACUCCCGUUAUUGGAAUCGAAUGGAACAUUUCAAUAUGCCCCGGCUGACUGUAACGGAGUGACUGAACCUAACCACUCAGUAUUUGUACUGGAGUUGGUCGAUGCUCCCAAUAUUCGAGGUAACCGAAUAUUAAUAAAAUUCCCCUGUCUUUUUAUUUUCACUGUAUAAUUGUGUUACAACACGACAAUGGAGUGCUUAUCAAAGGCCAAAAAAAAGAUAAGAAUCUAAUUCAGGACAUGGAUGAACCAAUCAUAGGAGAGCAAGUAGCACCAUCCACGGGGCUAAACAAACCAAUAUCAGUAUUGGGAAGUAUUCCAAUAUUGAGACUUCAACAGACUGAGGAAUCCAAUUCGGUUCCAUAUAUCAAUUUGCCGAAACCAUCCAAUCCAAGUCCUGUUACGGGCUUUGUACCUAGUAUGAGACCAAACUCGGUGGCAGAAUCCAAUGAGGUCCCAAUUAUUGAGGCUUUGGUUCCGUUCCAAACAGUUUCGAUUUCUACGCAGUUCCAAGAAACGUCCUAUCCGUUGUAAGAUCCUCUCGGGGGCGGGAAUUCCAAGGAAGCCCCGACUGUUGUUCCAAUUUUGAAUCUAGGGAAAAAGAAUAUCUUACCUCAUGGUGUUAAACUCAAACCAAAGAAACGCAAAAGAAUAUUAGGAAUUACUCUCAAUAUGGAACCCUACGAUAUUUUGAAGGAUUUGGAUGUUAUUCAGCCUUCAAUUAUAAUGAAGCACUGCAACUUUUGGCUGUAGCACCGGAAUGUCUAUCUACAUUGAAUUCAGUGUUAAUACGAUUAAGAUCCCGCACUAAAGAAAUUCAUAAAGUUAGCUUAAACCCAGAUCUAUGAACACCAAUAAUCGAUGUAUCAAUCGAUGGCAUUUUAAUUCCAGGGGUACAAGUCGAUGGUGGCUCUAGUGUAAAUUUAAUAAAGGUGGAUACAAUAGAGGACUUGGAUCUAAAGCAAUUACUACCUACGACAUUGGUCUUACAAAUGGCAGAUCAUAGUCGAGUAAAGGCAAUGAGAAUCUUAUGUAAUAUUGCCACUGUAAUCACGGGAUUGACAUACAAAAUCGAUUAUAUUGUAUUCUGAUUACAGAGUUCUACGUUAUCGUAUCCCAUUUUAUUGGGCAGACCUUGGCUUUAUCAAGCCAAAACUAAGAACGAUUCGGACCGAGGCACAUUGACGAUUGGAAAAGGCUGUGACCAGAUUAUUUUAUAGAUAUAUCCGAUACAAUAUCAUGGAGAAUCUCAAUUACCAGAAUCAAAAUUUACAUUGGACAAUGAGAGUCAAUCGAUUGAGGCAGAUGACGAUGCUAUAGGUUCACCGCAAUUUGGGGUAGGACAAAACACUUCAAUAGCAAAGGUAAGAGUCUACCAAUGUGGAGGUCCCAGCAAAUAUUUAGUACAUCAGGAGGAUGCGACUAACUCAGAUCAUGCUAUUACCGAAUGGAUGAACAAUCUUGAAGUCAAUAGAGUCAGCACAUUGAAACCAGAUUUGGGUGGUUCCCAUAUAUCGAAUAAUACAAGAUAUUCAGAUCAGGAGAAGAUAAUUAAAUCAGAGGUUGUUGAAGACCCUGUGUGUCAAUCUAUUAACUUGGGCACCAACAAAAUACCACAGCUAAUUAAAAUAUAUGCCGGUAUUAUAGAUACAAAAUUGGAUGCUUGGAAACAGUUUUUCGUCCAUCACAUAUCUACCUUUGCAUGUUCGUAUGCAGAUUUGAAAGGAAUUCCAACCGACGUUGUCGUACUGUAAAUGCUUACAAUAUGUAAAAAUUAGUUAAAACAUAUUAUAUGUUAAUAAAUCUAAAUGUGUGUUAAAGUGAUUAAUAGAUUAAAUUAAAAAAAGUUGGUAAAAAAAAAAAACUUUAUUUUGUUUUCCUUACUUAGUUUGAUUAUAGUAUAUAAAAGUUAUAGAACCUUAAUGUUAAGUAUGAAGCCUUGAGAGGAGAUAGGGGCCUAAAGAUGAAGAUUUAAACUAAUAGGAGGAUAAUUGGGAGGGAUGAAACCAAGGCAUGGUUGGAUGAAGGUAGAAAUAAGGAUCUUCAUCCCCAUUGGUCUAAAUCCAUGCCCAAUGGGCUUUUAGGAGGCUGCCCGCGACCUUGAUAAGGGUUUCGGCGACUUCAAAGAGGCCAUUAGAAAAUCAGAGGCAAGAGUUGUAAAUUUUAGGGUUUUGGCUACAAUUUUUGUGAAAAUUUUAUAGGGUUUGGAGUUAGGGUGAAUAAGUUAUAGCCGUUUGAAGUUAAGGUGUCAAUUUGAGACCUACUGUUACUCUUUUGAGUUUAAGAGGAGUAUUACGGAAGCUUUUGGAGAUCGGAAGGUGCGGCUGGAAGAAAAACUUCAAGACAUACAUCUUUUGUGAAGAAAAUUUUGCAUUUGGAGUUUAUGUGAAGGAUUUAUAGGGAGUUAAAGACAGCACAUUCAAAUCAAAGGGAGUAAGUGAGCGGUUUUGUUCAAAGUAGUGUUAGGAGCCAUAACUUGAGUUUUCGAACGAAAUUUUGGCUCAAACUUUAAGAGAAUGUAAAAAUUUGUGUUAAGAAGCUAUUUAUACAAGUUUCGUGGCAUUUGGACUUAUGGUUUGUGAGAUAUGAAGAAAAUUGCGCGCGGGUAUAUAAAGAUUAGAGUUUGAAGUGACUGUUAGGGUUUUGAAGAUAUCUCAAGAUCCGCAACGAAUUUGCAAGUGAAAUUUGUUGUAAAAAUUAAUAACAACAUAUCAGUACUUCAUGUAAAUUUUGAUCUUGUUUGGACGGUUGGAUCAAGAGUUAUGAGGUGUUGAGGUUCGGGAGAAUUUUCACACAAGGAUAUACAAGGUUUUAGAGUACUUCUACCAUAUUUUGGGUGUUGUUGGUUAUUUAAGACUUAAGUAUUUGGUGUAAUUGUCCCAAAAGGAGAACUUAUAUAUAUAAAAUUAGGAUUUUCUUAUUUUAAGCUUGAUUGAGCAAUUAGUGACAGCCAGAAGUCCAACGCUUUCUAAAGGCAAAACCUCUCUACCCCGACAACGUGUGUGAGCACCAGAUUAUUUUGGAGGAGGGUGUUAUGCCAAUUUAUCAAAGACAACAUUGGCUUAAUCCAAAAUAUUCCCUUUUAGUGAAAGAGGAAUUGGAUAAACUUCUCGACGUGGAUUUUAUUUAUCCUGUUCUACAUAGUGCAUGGGUGUCGCCAAUCGUGAUGGUACCGAAGAAGAAUGGAAAAAUUAGGAUAUGUCAAGAUUUUCGAAAGUUAAAUGCAGCUACUAAGAAGGACUAUUUUUUGUUACCAUUUACAGACAGUAUUUUGGACGCAAUGGUCGGACAUGAAUGUUAUUCAUUUUUGGAUGGAUUUUUGGGGUAUAAUCAAAUUAAAAUUACCGAAGAAGACCAGUUGAAGACUACGUUUACCACAGAUUGGGGUACAUUCACCUAUAAAGUAAUGCCAUUUGAGUUAUGUAAUGCCCCGGUUACUUUUCAAGAGGUAAUGACACAAGCGUUUCAAGAUUACCUAUGUUUAUCAAUGGGGAUAUUUCUAAACGAUUUCUACACCUUUAGCAUAACGGCUGAACAUCUAGCAUGCUUGGAUAAAUGUUUGAAUCAAUGCGAUAAGUAUGGGAUAUCUCUAAAUUCGGAGAAGUGUCAAUUUGGUGUACCAUCGAGAAAGCUAUUCGAACACAUUGUCUCUGUUGAAGGUAUCGCUAUGGACCCCAAUAAAGUUACUUAUAUAUCUGAUUUACCAAAGCCAAGAUACGGUGUCGAUCGUGCAUGGUUUCAUCGGCCAUGUCAGUUACUAUCGACAUUUUAUUGAAUCCUUUGUCAUUAUCUAUCAACCGUUAACCCACUUGUUAAAAAAACCCCCGUCAGAUGGAUCUAGCCCAAUAUGGACUGAAGACUAUACUUUUGCAUUCGACGAAUUGAAACAAAAAUUGGUAUCUGCUCCAAUUCUUGUAACACCUUGUUGGACAAAACCGUUUCAUGUCUAUGUGGACGUGUCCAAUGUUGCUAUUGGAUCCGUUCUCAGUCAAAAGGAUGAAAAAAGAUUAGAUCAUCCCAUAUAUUAUGCGAGCUGAUAAUUUGUUGCGGCAGAACAAAAUUAUAAUACUACCAAGCAAGAGGCCCUCGAAAUAAUCUACUCUGUACAAAAAUUUUGCCAUUAUCUACUUGGAUACUCAUUUGUGUUCCACGUUGAUCAUGAUGCACUUAAGUACAUGAUAAAUAAACCUCAAUUGAGUGGACGAAUUGCUUGAUGAGUUUUACUUCUCCAGUAAUUCAACUUUACAAUUAACGUUUGAUCCGACAAGAAAUAUGCCAAUGCGGAUCACUUAUCCCGUUUAUCUAAUAUACUAGAUAAUGAGCCAAUAAACGAUGCUCUUUUGGAUGCACAACUAUUCGCUUUGGGUGUCAUUACACAUGGAUAUGGUGAAUUGAUCCAAUAUCUGACGUUUCAGACUAUUUCCAUUUCUUAUAAUGAAAAAUUAAAGAAGCGUCUGAUUUUAAAAAGUGCGUCGUAUACCAUGAUUGGAGAUGCCUUAUACAAAUAAGGGCGGGAUGGAAUUUUAUUUCGUUGCAUCUUUUAAAGUGAAGUUUGAAUAAUUUUGGAAGAAUAUCAUUUAGAUAGUUGUAGUGGACAUUUUACAGGAGAUAGUACUGCUCGCAAGGCUUUAAUGGCUAGUUAUUGGUGGCCCAUAAUGUUUUCUGAUGCGCACCAAUUUGUUCAUCGUUGUGAUUCCUAUCAACAAAUUGAUCGACCCACGGAUACUUCAGCGAUGCCGUUAGUACCAAUCUUGGCACAUGCACCAUUUGAAAAAUGAAGAAUUGAUUUUGUUGGACCUAUUGCACUAGUAUCGAGACAUGGACAAAAGCGGUAUAUUCUAGUAGCCACGGACUACAUAACCAAAUGGAUGGAGGCCAUGGCAACAAAAACUGAUAAUGCCAAUAUCGUAGCAAUAUUUUUAUAUGAAAAUAUUAUCACUCAUUUUGGCUGUCCAAAAGAAUUGGUUAGUGAUCGCGACACACAUUUUCUUAAUGUCACAAUUGAAGCAUUAAUAGUGAAGUAUGAGAUCAAGCACUGCAAAACUACACUUUAUCAUCCACGAGCCAAUGGAUAAACUGAAAAGACAAAUGGUAUCCUAUGCAAGAUCUUAACAAAGACUAUUUCAAGAACGGGAACCGAUUGGGACACUAAAUUUUUUGCAACUUUAUGGGCGUAUCGUACUGCAUAUAAAGUAACUACCAAUUCUAUCCCAUUUCAAUUGGUAUUCGGUCAGGAGGAAAUUCUACCAAUUGAAUUGGAAGUCCAAAGUUUACGAAUUGUGUUGGAUGAAUGUCUGGGAGACAGAGACUCUCUUCAAUAUAGGUUAGUUCAAUUGGAGAAAUUGGAUGAAGCUAGGGCUACGACUUUCUUGAUCAUGGAAGCUACACAGUGCCGUAGAAAGAGUUAUUACGACAGUAAGUUACGACCGAAAUAUUUUAUGUCCAAUGAUCUGGUGCUACUUUAUGAUAGCCGCUUUAACAACUUUCCCGAUAAAUUUCAAGUACGAUGGCAUGGGCCUUAUCGGGUGGUGGGAGGUUUCCCUAAUGGUUCCAUUCAAUUGGAAGAUUUUUUGAGAACCCGCUUCACAACACAUCUUAAUGGGAACCGAUUACGUCUGUAUUAUAUGUAAACUCGGGACUGGUUUACUCAGUGGAGGAAGGGAGUCUUCGUAAUAAUGAUUACUGACAGGAUUGGAAAGGUUGUCAUAGUUAGGAAACGAUUGAUGGUUAGUUUUGGAUACUAAAACUGACUAGUCAAGAACUUAGAUAUUCUUGAUUAGAUGUAAGAUUAAGGUACACUGGAUUAGAUGUUCUUGAUUCAGACCCCGAGUAAGCAGUUAGGAGCGGGGUACUCAUAGAAGGUUUCAUUGUUGCAAAUUUCAGACAUUGUGCUUUGAACUGUAAGCUUUACGACAGUAAUCAACAAUAGUAUUAACACAAGGAAGUAUUGAGAGUUUGAUUUUCACAAUGUCGAUGGAAAGAGUGAAGAGAGGACCAGAACGAUUGGAAAGUCGCUGCAAUGUGAGGUCUAAGUGCGAUCUGGGAUCGCCGUCUCUUGUAGUUAUCACCAACAUGGAACCAAUGAAGUUAGAUAUAUAUUGGUCAUUGAAAAGGCAAAAAGAUUUUAGAAAUACACAGUUAUUUAUAUUUUUACGAGGAUUGGAUAAACUACCACCAAUUGAUAUAGAACGAGUGGUAGAAUAUAUAGAAAAUUAUGAUCCAGAGGAUGGUUCGAGUGUGAUAAGAGGAGUUUUGAUUGGGAUAGAUGAAAAUAUCUUACAUAAGGUUUUUCAUUUAUCAAUCGGAGAGCUUGAGGUGGGAAGAGACAUGUCAAAUGAUUUCAGGCCAAGAAUCUACUUCAAAGGAGGGAUGUCAUCUCUCGAGCAAAAUCAAGGAUGGAAGGUACAGGAGGCACUUAUGCCCAAACUUAUGGAAUAGAUGUGGUUCGUUCAGAAGCAAUUAGCAUUGAAUCGGCAUACCACCUACAUGGUGAAGCAAUUACUAUUUUCCACGAUAGGAACACUGGAAGGCAUGGUAUUCAAUUGGACAGCUUAUGUGGCCACAAGGAUACAUGCAGAAAUGGGAGCUAAGCGGAAGACGGGGAAGUUUGCUUUACUAUUAUGUUCCAAUUCUGUGAUUGAAUAAACAUUGAAACAGGAAUUUCAACUAGUAGUUCUAAGUUUACAAACGAGAAUAGUUAGUCUAGGGGUAAUGGUGUAUGAAGUGGGAGAAUCUAGCAGAGUAGCAGAACGGUGUCGUGUUGUAACACGAGUAUACAGUGAAAAUAAAAAGAAAGGGGAAUUUUAUUAAUAUUCAGUUACCUCGAAUAUUGGAAGCAUCGACCAACUCCAGUACAAAUACUGAGUGGUCAGGUUCAGUCACUCCGUUACAGUCAGCCGGGGCAUACUGAAAUGCUCCAUUCGAUUCUAAUAACGGGAGUCAGCAGGAAGAGAAGGACCAAUUCACACGACGGGUUCGAGGAGCCAAUUGGAUCCAAUUUCGAUAAUCCAAUCCGGGUCCUCUUAUCCAAUAUGAGACCUGAAUUGGCCGGUCAACCCAAUGCAGUCUAAUUACGGGAAAUCCAGGUCUUACUACGGGUCUUAGCCAAUCUGACGCGAGGACCAAUUUGACCCAAUUACAGGAACAUCCAGGUUACUACGGGCAUCUUUCCCAAUAUACGACCUGAAUUGGUCGGGCGACUCAAUGUGGUCCCGAUUACGGGGUUCGAUUCUGUUUCAGGCUGUCCUGUUCUCUGUGCCAUUUCAGAGAACAUUGUUUUCGGUAAAUGGAUUUCUUAAAGGUAAAAACGGAGGAGAAAGCUUGACGGCGAGAGCCAAUUUCGGAUCCGAGCUUGAGGUGGGAGCCAAUUCCGGAUCUAAGAUGGAAGAUUGAAGAAAUUCAGAGGAUAAGGUUAGGAGGGAUAUAGUUUUGAGGGGGGAGGUUUUUUUCUUUCGGGGAAUCAGGAGGGGAGCUAGUUUUCAAGCUUUUGCAAGGUUACCAGUUCAGUUUCAUUGGAGGUUUUUGAAGAUCAAGGGAAUUAGAGAGAGGAGCUUCAUGCUUUGGGUCGGGGAAGGAAAGACAGAGAAUUUGGAUUUUUCUUCUUCGUAGAGUUUUGGGAAGACUGAGGCAAUCGCUGCUGAAGUCAGUGUUGUAAUGGUGAAUCGGGAUUUUUAAAUGAAGUGGGUUUGAAUACUCUUGACUGUUUUGUAAAAUCGAGUUACGUCUGUGAUUGAAGGAUUAAAGGGGUGUCUAUAGGAUUGAGUAUGCGGAGUGAAUGAAAUUUAUUGGAUUAAUCUAACAAGACAGUCAGUGGAUACAAGAUCGUAAGUACAAAGCAGUAUUGAAGGUUAACAGUUUGGGUUGUACGGGGUUCUUUGUAACGUCUAGAGACCUAUCCGCUGGGGCAAAAAAAAAAGAAUUCGACAAGCAGUCGAAGAGCAUCUGUAUAGAUUUACGGUACAUUGUUGCAGUCGUUUAUAUUCCAGCAGUCAAAAACUGAUAGACUGCUUGACUAUCGACGAAUCUCCAUACUACCUUCUACAACCAGACGCCCGGCACAUUUUCAAACAGGAAAGCACGUAAUACGACAUAAGUGGUGAACUCGACGUAAAAGCUUGAGGUGGAAGGUAUUGGAUUUCGGUUGAUUUUAUCUUUAUUUUUAUGGAAAACGAAAAUAAAAAUUUUGAAGGAUUUUUGGGAGAAGUUUCUAGUGGGGAGUCUUCUAAAGGACAAGGUAUGCACAUGGAUCCAUCUAUUGCUAGUUUGUUUCAAGCCUUCUCAUUGUCAAUGCAGCAACAACAAAGCAAUGAUCGAAAGGAAGCUUUGGCAACCAAAGCAUUGCAAGCAGUGGUCAAUAAAAUUGAUCAAUUUGAUGGGAAGAAUAUUUCAAGGUAUUUAAGAUGUUAUGUUCGUGAAAUGGAAUUAAAUCGGAUUUCUGAGAAGAAAAUGGUUGCACUAUUUGGACUUGCCACGAUACCGGAGAUAAGGGACCACAUUACAUCGAUUACGGAUCGUUGUGGGAAUUCAUGGGAGGAUUUUUUACAUGCAUUGAAAGACGAAUAUUUCUUGGAAGAUGCUGAUCACGUUACUAAGAAGUUGUUGCUGGGAUGGAUUGAAUGGCCCAAUAAGAAUUUGCAAGCAACAGAGCUACUAAGGGAAUUUGAGAGGCAGUACUCUCAAUUAUCGAAGGUAGAAAAAUUGACAUUGGAGCCGAACAAAGUUGAUCUAUUUCUUCAAGCUGCUGAUGGAGAAUUGCAAGAGAAAUUAGAACCCCUUCUUGAAGACAAAGAAGAAGAUGAAGGAUUGACAACGAAGUGGAAGAACGUUGAAGAUGCGGUGGGGUUGCUUACAAAAAAAGAAAGGAGGAAGGAUAGGAGUAAUAUUCCGAAACCAGUACAAGCACCCAAAGCUCCAGUACGUACAACACCACCGACAAUGCCUACAGUUCAACCUUCGACAUCCUUGUCAAAGAAAGCAGAUAUGGGUAUGGAAGAAAUUAUACGAGGAAUGCGAGAUCUUCAAAUCAAAUUGGCAAGACUUGAAGAGAAUACUUCUAUAAACAAUUCAAAGAAUGUUUCAAAACAAGGAUAUGUACAAAGAUGCAUUUGGUGUGAUGAUGCUUCACACACUAGAAAAGAUUGCAAUGAAUUAAAUAAUAUGAUAGGGCAGGGAAAUAUUUGUUGGAAAGAUGGGAAGAUAGUAUUGAAAGAUAGGGAGGAUCUUCUUCAAACCAAUUUUGGCAAGGAAAGAAUGAGAGCAUUGAUUCAAGAUUACUUAAAAGAGCAUGAAACAGUAGUACGAGAAAGUGCAAGUUAUGGUGCUAGAGUAGAUGAUGAAAUUGGUGGAAGUACGGAAACUAGUGAGUUUUGGGCUUCUGCCGUUUCUACAAUGCAAGAAGGGAAAUUACCUCGAGAAGCGUUAUUGAGAACUGCAGCUACAAUACGAGGAAGAACAGGUUGGGAGGAUCCUGUUGAGUCUCUUUCAGUUCAUGCAUAUAUUGCUAAGAGCCAACAUGAAGCUUUGAUGGAAGAAAAAAGACGAGGAAAUUUUGAUGAUACUAGAGAAGGAAAUUCUUUUAAGAGGCAAACUCGAGGAGACAAGGCUCGGGAGGCAGCUUCACAAGAAUUGCCUGUAAAGGAUACCACAACAUCAUUGGGAGAAAAAACAAUGGAGACAAAAGAUAAGGGCAAAUCAAUUGCUUAUAAGCUACUUUCUGACAUUGAAGCGGCAACAAAUUUGAAAGGGGUGUUGGAAGAACAUAUAUUAAACGCUAAGGUGGAAUUCACAUUGAAAGAAGUCUUGGAAAUUGCAAAGAAGGAGUUUCAUGAUGUUAUCAUUGACAACAUUAAGCAAAAGAGGCAAUUAAUGAGCGAAACUGGAAUGAGUCAUGCUAUUGAUGCAAGAAUAUGUAGAGAUGAAGAAGAGGUUGAUAUUGGUUACAAGCAACCAACAAAUGAAAAGAAUGGAUAUAAUCAGCGAGUACGUUUCGAAGAUUCUAGUGACAAGAAAAUGGAAAAUUUGAGCCAUUGUACUCGAAAGCAUUGGGCAAGGGCAACUACUGAGGUAUUGGUGAAGGUAGGAGAUAUAGAAGAACCAAUAGUUGCCUUGGUGGACCAUGGUUCUGAAAUAAAUCUCAUGUCUAAAGAUCUUUAUAAGAAGCAAAAAUGGCCAAUUGAUAUGGAACAUGGAUGGGCAAUACGAGUAGCUAAUAACACACGAGGCGAAUUAUAUGGAGCUUGUCCAGAUGUCAAAAUUCGGAUUGGGGAUGUUGCGACGGAGCAACAUUUCUUCGUUCAAGAUACAACGUCUUAUCCGUUGAUUUUAGGACAACCUUAUAUUACGACAACACGCAUAGAAACAAAGAUACUUGACGAUGGUUCUGCUUAUGCAAGGGUACGGAGCGAAGAUGGGAGGAAAGCUGUACAAUUUCUAACAGUACCUCCUAACCAUGAACGGAAUCGAGAUAGGUUGAGGGAGAAACCAUUGCCAAAGAUUGUUGAAGGAUUUAAGGAUUUUGGGGAGGUACCACUGUAGAGCGAGAUUAUGGAGGUACAAAAGAGGAGGUACUCUCGCGAGAUGAAGGUGCCUUUGAUGCGAGUUUUAUUCGUAUAUUGGAGAAUGGAAAUAUUAUGUAUAAGAAAGUUGAUGAUUUUAAAAGAAAAGAAAGAAAAAGAUUAUAUGAUAUUGAAGGACAGUUACGCAAGAUAGGUACAUUGCAAGAUGAUGAGAGGAUUUUGGGUGUUUAUGAAGAAAAUGGGCUGGAAGAUUCAUUGGAAUUGAUUACAUCUAUUGGGUUAGGGGAUAAUGAUAAGAUUGUUGAGAUUCAUUCGAGAGAGGUUUAUACCAUGCUUGAAUCUUUUCAAGCACCAGAAGUCACAGUAGAGACGAGAUAUAAAACGAAAGAUAAGAAGGUAAAGCCUGUUGCCAGACCAUUACCAAAGGAUUCUAAAGAACAAAUGGGAGAAGCAUCAAAAGAAGCAAGUUUAAGAGAUCCAAUGAGUAUUGGACAUCAAUUUACUUAAGAGACUUUUGAAGAAUUGAAGAUUGGUUCUGAUGGUUCUUUAUUGCCGGAGGAAAUUACUUGCUUCAAAAAGAUGUUGGCUAAACAAGGUAGAUCGUUUGCCUUCGAAUCUCAUGAAAUUGGGUGUGUGGAUCCAAAUAUUAUAACACCUAUGGUUAUCUUCACUGUACCGCAUGUACCUUAGAAUCUAAGACCGAUUCCAGUACCGAGGGCACAUUUACCUAAAUUGGUCGAACUAUUGAAAGAAAAGAUAAAGAUGAAAAUAUUAGAACCUUCAUUUGUGCAGUAUUCUAGUCGAUGGUUUAUGGUACCUAAGAAGAAUGGGUCACUACCGUUUAUUCAAGAUAUGCAGCCGGUGAAUGCUGUAAUUGUCAAGAAUGCAGGAAUUGGACCUAUUGUGGAUGAAUUUACUGAGGCGUUUGCUGGAAGGGCGAUCUAUUCAAUGGGUGAUUUGUAUUCAGGUUAUGAUCAAUUUCAACUUGCCGAAGGAAGUAGAGAUAUGACAACGAUGAGGACACCGCUUGGAUUGGUUAGAAUGUGCACUCUUUCUCAAGGCGCGACCAACUCAGUUGUGCAUAUGAUGAAUGGGAUGAAUAAGGUAUUGAGAGAUUUUAUUCCGGAAAAGACUAUGCCUUUUCUGGAUGAUGUUCCUAUAAAAGGGUGCAGAGAAGGAGACAAGGAUGAAACUUUAGAUACGAGGGGGUGUCGCAGAUAUGUUGUUGAUCAUAUACAAGAUUGUGAAAAGAUUUUAACUCGGCUUGGAGAAGUUCAUCUUACAUUAUCGGGUAUGAAGUCCGUAUUUGGAGUGCGAGAGGUUGUAAUUUUUGGACAUUUAUGCGGAUCUUACGGAAGAAAACCAGAUCCGACUAAAGUUGAUGCAAUUGGAAGGAUGAAAGAGGAUUGUGGUUCUUUAACAGAGGUUCGCAGGUUUUUGGGUGCAUGUGUAUUUUAUCGAAUCUGGAUCCCUCAUUUUGCUCACAUAGCAGAUCCAUUAUAUGAACUGUUACGCAAGGGUUACCGAUUUGAAUGGAAAGAAAGGCAUAUUCAGGCAAUGCAAAGAUUGAAGAAAUUAUUGAUGUCACCUCCAAUAUUGAGGAAGGUUGAUUAUAAGUGCAAUAGACCAGUGAUUCUUACUGUAGACGCAAGUCUAAUUGCCGUUAAAUGGGUUGUGAGUCAAGAUGAUUCGAAUGGGAGUAGAUUUGCAGUUCGAUUUGGGGCUAAAGUUUUAAGUAUUCGUCAGCAUGCAUAUUCGCAAGUCAAAAGAGAACUUUGGGGAGUCGUUUCGGCUAUGAAAGCUGAAAGGAAUUAUUUGAUUGGGGCAGUAGUAGUAAUUGAAACAGAUUGCUUGCCAUUGCUUAGAAUGAUUAUUAACUGUUCAACGCCAGAUAUUGCAAUGUUGAGAUGGAUUGCUUAUAUUAAGUCACGAAAUCCAGAAUUUAAGCAUAUCACUGGAAAGGACAAUUUUGUAGCAGACAUGCUAUCUCGAGCAAGAUACGAGAGGGAGGACGAAAUGGUUGAAGACAUUGAUGAUGUCAGAUUGAAAUUCUAUUCAAUAUCAAAUCUCAACAGAGAAGACAAGCUAUUUCUUGAAGAAUCUUAUGAAGGAGAAUUAUUGAAUAUUGGUCAUUAUUUGAAUACCUUGUCUAAGCAGGGGAAUUGGUCUACAGAAAAAUUCAAACAAAUAAGAAAAAAAGCAUAUGGAUUUUUACUUCGAGAUGGAUUCUUAUGGAAGAGACCGAAGAAAGGAAUUGGGAUGCCACAACGAGUGAUAGGCAAAAGGGAAGAAAAACUAUAAUUAUUAAAGGAGUUUCAUGAUAGUUUAUGGACAGGGCAUAGAGGAAUCUGGGCUACUUUUGCUAAACUCAAGGAACGAUAUUGGUGGAAAAAGAUGUAUCGAGAUGUGCUCUCAUUUGUAGAGUCAUGUGAAAUCUGUCAAUCGUAUUCUAAUAUCCGACAUUGAGAUGGUCUUCAUCCUACGUAUCCUCUAGCUAUUCAUUUUAAAUGGGUUGUUGAUUUGGUUAUUAUACCGGUUGGGUUAUGGCAGAUGAGAUAUUUGGUUUUAGCUUGUGAAGAUUUAUCAAAUCUAGUAGAAGGAAGAGCAUUGAGGACAAAAUCUACAGAGGGGAUUUGUAGGUUUUUGCUUGAAGAUGUCAUUUGCCGUUACGGGUGCGUAGGAAAAAUCACUGCAGAUCGUGGAGAAUUAAAUGCACAAGAAGCUCGUAAGUUCUUUGAAAGAUGUGGAGUUAAACUAUCACUGACUACUGCUUAUAAUCCGGAAGGGAAUGCGAAAAGUGAACGCGGUCACCCGCCGAUUGUGAAAGCAUUGGUUAAAGCUUGUAAUGGGAAGGUUAAAGAGUGGCCACGGCUUUUGUCAUUUGCAUUAUGGGCUGAUCGAACAACACAUAGUUCGGUGAUAGGAUAUAUGCUAGUAGAACUUAUGACAGGUCAAAAACCAAUUAUGCCGAUUGAAGAAAAGGUACUUACUUGGAGUAUGCUACCAUGGGAAGAUGGAUUGACAAGAGAAGAACUUCUGGCUAUUAGGAUUUGACAAUUGGAGCAAACAAUGGAAGAUGUCCAGAUAGCAUUGGAAAGGUUAAAAAGAGCAAGGUUACAAAAUAAGGCGCGAUUCGAUAAGCAACAUCGAUUGAGACCAAAAGCAAUCGAGGAAGGUGACUAGGUACUUAUUUAUGACAAUAGUCUGGAUAAUCAACAUAGUACUUUGCGGAAAUUUUCAAAACGUUGGUUUGGACCAUAUGUUGUAACAACUGUUCAUGAUAAUGCGACUUACUCAUUACGGGAGUUAGAUGGUACAAAAUUGAAAAUACCAAUUGCAGGGAAGCGAGUAAAAAUAUUUAAACGAAGACACGCAGAGAUGAAUAUGGAAGACCUUAAUGAAGGUACAGAGAUUCCGUAGCAAGAAGAUGAAAGUGAUAUGGAUAAUGAAGGUGACGAAGACGAACAGGACAAAGACGUAGGGGAUAUAUUCUGAAUCAAACAGCAAUUGGGUAAAUUGGUGCAUACCGGAGGAUGCACAGGUUCAGAGGGGGUGGAUGUCGUGUUGUAACACGAGUAUACAGUGAAAAUAAAAAGAAAGGGGAAUUUUAUUAAUAUUCAGUUACCUCGAAUAUUGGAAGCAUCGACCAACUCCAGUACAAAUACUGAGUGGUCAGGUUCAGUCACUCCGUUACAGUCAGCCGGGGCAUACUGAAAUGCUCCAUUCGAUUCCAAUAACGGGAGUCAGCAGAAAGAGAAAGACCAAUUCACACGACGGGUUCGAGGAGCCAAUUGGAUCCAAUUUCGAUAAUCCAAUCCGGGUCCUCUUAUCCAAUAUGAGACCUGAAUUGGUCGGUCAACCCAAUGCAGUCUAAUUACGGGAAAUCCAGGUCUUACUACGGGUCUUAGCCAAUCUGACGCGAGGACCAAUUUGACCCAAUUACAGGAACAUCCAGGUUACUACGGGCAUCUUUCCCAAUAUACGACCUGAAUUGGUCGGGCGACUCAAUGUGGUCCCGAUUACGGGGUUCGAUUCUGUUUCAGGCUGUCCUGUUCUAUGUGCCGUUUCAGAGAACGUUGUUUUCGGUAAAUGGAUUUCUUAAAGGUAAAAACGGAGGAGAAAGCUUGACGGCAAGAGCCAAUUUCGGAUCCGAGCUUGAGGUGGGAGCCAAUUCCGGAUCUAAGACGGAAGAUUGAAGAAAUUCAGAGGAUAAGAUUAGGGGGGAUAUAGUUUUGAAGGGGGGUUUUUUUUUUUUCUCUGGGAAUCGGGGGGAGCUAGUUUUCAAGCUUUUGCAAGGUUACCAGUUCGGUUUUCAUUGGAGGUUUCUGAAGAUCAAAGAGGGAUUAGAGAGAGGAGCUUCAUGCUUCGGGUCGGGGAAGGAAAGACAGAGAAUUUGGAUUUUUCUUCUUCGUAGAGUUUUGGGGAAGACUGAGGCAAUCGCUGCUGAAGUCAGUGUUGUAAUGGUGAAUCGGGAUUUUUAAAUGAAGUGGGUUUGAAUACUCUUGACUGUUUUGUAAAAUCGAGUUACGUCUGUGAUUGAAGGAUUAAAGGGGUGUCUAUAGGAUUGAGUAUGCGGAGUGAAUGAAAUUUAUUGGAUUAAUCUAACAGGACAGUCAGUGGAUACAAGAUCGUAAGUACAAAGGGGUAUUGAAGAUUAACAGUUUGGGUUGUUCGGGGUUUUCUGUAACGUCUAGAGACCUAUCAGCUGGGGCAAAAAAAAAGACUUCGACAAGUAGUCGAAGAGCAUCCAUAUAGAUUUACGGUACAUUGUUACAGUCGUUUAUAUUCCAGCAGUCAAAAACUGAUAGAGUGCUUGACUAUCGGUGAAUCUCCAUACUACCUUCUACAGCCAGACGCCCGGCGCGUUUUCGAGCAGGAAAGCACGUAAUACGACAACGGGAUGCAAGACCAAUAUCUACACCAAAGCGAGUUCUAAUUUGGCUGACAAUAGAGAUGACGAUACCAAUACUAGUUCCAAGGGAAAGCAACCAAUUAAGAUUUCAACGAGGUGUAACAGAAGGGUGGAAUAUUAAGGAAGUUAUAUUGGGUCAAAUUUCCUAGCUGCAACUUACGGUGAGUAAGCUCGAAGAUGAAGGUAGCUUAAAAAGGCAAGUGGAAGCAAGCAAGAAAACAAUAUUGGAGCAAAAUUACAAAAUCAAGAAACAAGAACAAGUCAUCAAGGUAGAAUCAGAAUCCAAGAUAGAAGUAAAACUUGAAUUGGAUGAGAAAGUGGAAAACUGGUCAAAAGAGAAACAGAGGAUUCAGCAUAUCUUGAAAAAUCAAAGGCAAGAAUUACUACAAACUCGCAAAUUGUAUAGAUUAGAACAGGAGAAGAUGAACGCUCAGUUGAUGAUGGAACGAGAGAAGAAGGAGGCAUUGGAGCUUGAAAAGAAACAAUUCGGUGACAAAUAUCGAAACAAUACGGAUGAGCUACAGGCAGAAAUUGUUGUUUUGAAGGAAAUAGUAACGAAAUUGGAGAGUGAUUUGGUCAGUAUCGGUCUGUUACAGAUAUUUGCCUCAACGGGAGUAGAAUUGGAAAUUUGGAAGAAAAAUUGCAAGAGCAACAGUAACAACUAGAAGUUAAAGAUGCUAAAAUCCUCCAAUUGGAAGCUCAGGUUCAAAAAUUGCGAGCAUAUAGUGAAGAUUUAAUAGCUCAAUUAAGGGUAGAGAUUCAAGACGAAUCAGAAGAAGAAGAUAUAGUGUUGAAACAAGACUAAAUGUGUCACGGACAGAGAAAUACAAACUUGAGUUCUAACAAGAAGUUGAAGAAGAACUGGCAAGAACUAGAUUAACCAGAUGAAUACAAGAACAACACUACAGAGGUGAACUAGAGCUCCAAGAGAUGUGUUGUCGAGACUGAAGAACUCUUCAGCCUCGAUUCCAAUAUAUACUCCUAUUUAGGAAGCUUCUCAAGCAACUUCUACCAACUAGGAAGCUUCUAGAAGGUUCAAGAGACUUGCUUCUAGAAGGUUCUAGAACUUAUCUCUAGAAGGUUCUAAGGACUAUGUCCCUAACAUCUUCUACCAACUAAGAAGCUUCUAGAAGGUUCCAGAGACUUUUUUCUAGAAGGUUUUAGAAGCUUGUCUCUAGAAGGUUCUAGAAACUUGUCUUUAGAAGGUUCUAAGGACUAUGUCCCAAACAAAAUGGAGCCAGGGCUAGAAAUCAAAGAGAUUGAACAAUCCAGUUAAAAAAAAAAAGAGGAUUGGUUUUUGUUUAUCAAUAUUGUGUUUGUAGGGACACUGCACAGUUAGGAGUGGGGCUAUGUAGAAUAAGUAGUUAUUUUCAAAAUGUAGAUACCUAAUGUAUAGUAUAAAUAGAAAUAAAUAACUGCUGAAAAGAUGAUUCAGCAGGUAGAAUGGAUGAAUAAUCAAGAAAAGUAGUUAUCAUCUAUAGUAUAGGAGUUGGUAUCUCGGGAUAGUAUAAAGAGGAUGGGAGAGGGGAAAAAAAUGCCAAACUGCAAUAGUACUGAGCCAGUGAUAAGCUUGGUGCUAUCUCUUCUUCUUAAUUUUCUUGUUUUUUGUGUAUUAGUGUUGAUUCUAGUGAAGAGAUUCGAUUUAAUGAAUUAAUGUUUGAUUUACAAAGUUAUUUAUGGAUCACUGUUUAUCAAUUGUUGUGAAAGAUUGAGGACGUAUGGAAGUUUUCAGUCACUAUUUAUCGCAAGGUUGUAAGUUUAGUGGAGAGGAAUUAUAAUCGAAGAAAUUGUCUUGAUCAGAUUCUAUAGAUUGGAAGUUGUUCAUUCCAGGGUUUGGGAUAUGCUUGUGUGUUCGUGAAUUACACAGGGUACUGAAAUUGUUGUCGUGGAUGUUAUUGUAUUGAUGUGAGAGAGUGGACAGUAGGAGGAAAAGUUAAGUGUUCUUUGGUAUGGUAAGCAUUCAACAGUAGCGGUUAAUUGCAUGACCCUAAUAAUUGGAGCUCAUAUACAUGGUCUUUCCCUGUGUUCGAAUUUCCUUAUACGGGUUUAUUUAAGGAGGUUUCUUGUGGAAUAAGUAAAACGAGCAACCACAGUAACUUCUAAAUAUUUAGAGUCACCUUUGUUAGACAUUGGUGGCCUUGAAAACUUAUUUUGGUUCUUUUAUUUGGUGUUUAGAGCAUAACUGAUGUAAAUCUUACAAGAAAAAAGAUUGAAGAAGGAUUUUGGCAUCAAAAGGAGUAAUUAGGGCAUCGAUAUAGAUGAAUGGAGAUGAAUGAUGAAAAUCUCCAUUCCUAUUGGUCAAAAAUCAUGAUCAAUGGACUUUGAGGAGGCUGCCCGAGGCCAUAUUAGGGAUUAGGAUUAGUUUUUCGAAGCCAUUCGAGCUUUGAAGGCUAGGGUCAGUAAGUUUAGGUUUUUGACUAUGGUUUUGGUGCAAGUUUUAUAUGAUUUGGAGUUUCUAUGAAGGAGAUAUAAGCGCUCAAAGUUAAGGUAUUGAUUUGGGAGCUACUGUCAGUCUUUUUGACAUAACGCACGCGUAUAGAUAGCAAUUGAGGAUUGGCGAUCGCUAAUAGAGAGAGCACUUUUGCGACUACACUUUUCAUAUACUGCUUACUGGAUUCCAAGUUGAAAUAAAGGAGUUAUUGGAUUUUGAAGACAGCACAUGCAAUCUAAGGGUAGUAAGUGACCCGAUUUACUAGUGGUUGUUUCAUGAGCUAUAUCUUGAGCAAUUUGAUAAGGUUUUGGCUCAAAAUUUCAAGAAAUGUGUAAUUUCAUGUAAGUAAAUUUUAUACAUAAUUUUGAUGACAUUUGAAUAUUGGAUUCUUGAGAUAUUAAGAAAAUAGAGCUCAUAUACUUGUAAAUUAGGAUUUAGAGCAUCUGCUAGGGUUAUUUAGAUGCCAGAAGAUCGGAAGUGAACUUGUGGUUGUUUUUUUUUUUUGAUAAAAUUUAAGGGUGAAUUCUAUCUAUUUUAUAAUUUGAGACAAAUUAAACGGCUAGAUCAAGAGUUAUGAAUUUCUAAAGUUUGGAAAAAAAAAAUCCUUUGCGGGAUAAAUAUGUUUUGAAGGGAUUUUGCUAUAUUUUGAGUUUUAUGCAAAAUAAAGGAGAUUUGGAAGCUAAGACAAGAUUCAUAUAAAGAUUUAAGCUACACUGUCUAUAGCUAGAUACCCAGUGUAUUUCCAAAUAGCAAAUCACGCCAUAUGACAAUGUAUUGAAAGACCGUCGGAGCAUUGAUAAGAUCGAAAGGCAUGACAUUAUAUUCAAAAUGGCCAUAUCUUGUAUAGAAAGUUGUCUUCCAUUCGUCUCCUUCCUUGAUUUGCACGAGGUUAUAAGCUCUCUUUAGAUCAAACUUUGUAAAGAUCUUUGCACGCCCAAGUUGCUCUAGAAGUCUUGAUAUCAAAGGUAUUGGAUAACGAUUCUUUUUUGUCACCUUAUUGAGACCUCGAUAAUCCAUGCACAUCCAUAGUGAGCCAUCUUUCUUCUUUACAAAUAAGAUUGGUGCUCUAGCUUACAACUUCAAAUGACGAAUGAGAUUCUUGGCUAGAUUUUUGUCAAUAUACUUUUGCAAUUCUACUAACUCCAUCUGCGACAAAUUGUAGAUUGGGCCAAAAGGUGGUUGUGCUCCUUCUUACAAGUCUAUGGCACAAUCAUAUGGUCGAUGCUCCAGUAGCAUAUCAGUAUUUUUCUUUUGAAACACAUCUUCAAAAUCCUUAUAUUACUCUAGUAUAUUUCCUAUCAAAAUCUUCUCUUUGCUAGUUGGAGUUGCAUAAAUGACAAAUGGUGUACCUUCCUUGGACAAUGUUACAAACGCUCUUGCUCCAAUAAAUAAGGGUUUUUUGAUUCGGGAUCUUCUAAUAGGCUUACUUUUGGAAUAUUCUAUAAGAAAUGUCAUCCUUCGUAACCUCCAAUCUAUGGAUGGGUUAUGUAUUUCUAACAAAAAAAGACUAAGAAUAACAAGGUUUGACGGGAUUGUAAUAAUAUUUAAAAUAAUAUAACUACUAUGGUCUUUAAACGUCACCUCUAUAGGUUUUGAUUCAUGGAUGAUACUACCAGACAAUAGAGAUCAUCCAUCUAUUACUUCUACGUGAACGGAUUUAGAUUUUCAUAUUAGAAGAAUCUUGUGACGCUUAGUAAAUUCUUCAUCUAAAAAACAAACAGAUGCUUUUGAAUCUAAUAAUACUAAGGUUUUUAGUUUUUAAGGGCCAAAAGAUAGAGGAAUGGUAAAACAAUGGGCAGGCUGAGCAAAAAGAGAAGAACUUGAUUAUUGUUGUGGUAUUGAAUUAUCUAGCCGUAUGAUCCCUAUUGUGGCUGGACAUCCUCAUUUUCAAGAAUAAACGAGCCUCUGGUCCUAAGAAUGUGUCGAUUUUGUUACUUUGGAACAAUUUUCAGCUCUGUGGCCUUCUUUAUUGCAAUACAAGCAUAGUCCUUCCUCUAUAUGCCACUUUUUUUCUUCUAGAGUUAGGGAUUUGACAUGUACCACAUCAAUUUGCAUGUCUUUCACCUCUGAAUGUGAAUUCAGGUUGCUUGCUAAUAUAAUUGGAGCGUGGUGAGCCGUAUGUUGUCUUCAGCGUUGGUCUUGACGACGUUGGAACAGGCGAUUAUCGCACUUCAAAGCUUGGCUAAUGGCUUUGUUGAGCAUUCACGAAUUGAAAAGAGAUAAUAACAAAUCCUUUACGUCAUCUUUCAAGCACCAAUAAAAUUGACUUAUCAAUAAUCCCUCAUCCCAGUUGAUGUUGCACGCCAAUUAUUUGAAAUCUGAUGUAUAAACUAACGUGGAGCGUGUUCCUAGUCGUAGUGAUCGGAUCUUUAUUGUAGCCCAUCGUGCCUUGUCAUGUUUGCCAAAUACUUCUGUAAACCCCUCCAAAAAAGUUCAAAGUUGUUCAAAAUUGACGAUCCUUUCUCAAACAAAAGAGUAAACUAUGAUAGAGCUUGCCUCAUGAGCAAAGUUCCAACUAGUCCAACACAUGACUCCUCUGUCGGAUAGCAUAUGGAUUGUAAAGCUAUUAUCAAUCUAAUUUAUUUGAAAAAACCUUGAAACUUAGAAUGCAUACCAUCAAACUUGCUUGAAAGGCUAUUUCGGAGCUCCUUUCAUUGUAAGACCAACAAUCUUUGUUGAACUAGAAGCAAAGCUGCUUCUCUAAGUACUGAAGCUUGAAGCUCGUGAAUCCUUGAUUGUGCCAUCCCAGAUGCUCUAUCAUUAUGAAGUCUUGCAAUGAUUCCUUCAAUCUCUCAAAUUCUCUUUAAUAACAUAGUAAGAACAUUCAUAAUAGCAUUCAACUUGGACCCCGAACUUUCAGUCAUAUUAAUAUCUUGACCUUCAGCCAUUCUAAUAGAAUGAAAGAAAUGACUCUAUAAGAAGGCACUAUUGGUUUAGAGGAAGAUACUCCGUAAUCUCUAAAAUAACUUAAAACCUUCAAAAAGAGGGAUAAUCCACUCUCUCCAAGAAAGAUAAGAUUCCAAUAUUAUAAUAGAAGAAAUAUCAAUUUAAAAGAGGGUAAUCCGCAACCUCUAAAAUGCCAACACCUUCAAGCAAAGGAAUAAUCCACACUCUAACAAGAAGAAACUCGCUCUGAUAUGAAAAAUAAGUAUAGUCUUGACAAAUUGUCACCAAUUUAGAAUACUGACCAGAAAUCUAAAUAAGAAGCUCAAGAAGAAUCGGUAAGAAUUAGAUUAAUCAAAUGAGUACAAGAAUAAUACUAGAGAGGUGAGCUAGAGCUCUAAGAGGUGUAUUGUUAAGACUGAGGAUCCCCUCAGUCUCGGCUCCUAUAAAUACAACAAGCUAGGAAGCUUCUCAAGUAGCUUCCACGAGAUUAAAAACUUCUCAAGUAGCUUCUACAAAUUACAAAGCUUCUCUAGAACCUUCUAGAAUCUUCUACAACUUCCUAGUAUAUAUCCUUGAUACUAGUAUGAGGCUUAUUGAGAGGUAUGAAAACAAGACAUGAUUUGAUGAAGGCAAGGAAUAGAGAUCUUCAUUCCUAUUUGUCGAAGGCCAUGCCCAAUGAGCUUCAAGGAGGUUGCCCGAGGCCUUAUCAGAGAUUAGGGUUUCUCUUUUAAGGUCAUUUGAGCUUUGCAGGCUUAGAUCAACAAGUUUAGGAUUUUGGAUACAAAAUGGGUGCAAAGUUUUUGUCAUUUGGAGAUUUUAUGAAGGAAUUUUUGGCGCUAAAAGUUAAGGUAUCAAUUUCAUACCUACAAUCACAUUUUUAGGCAAAAAAUAUAUUUGCACACAUAUAAAAAAAAAUCAUUGCACAUAUUAGGGCCUAGCUAUAGUAAUAUAUCACAUGUAUUAUUAUAAGAACUACUUUGCAAUACUCAAUCUUUAUUUUUUUGCAAAAUUAAGGCAAAAACCUCUUUUGGUCAUAAACAUAUUAAAGAUAGGAUAUGAGUGUCACGAACAUAAGCAUGUAAGCCAAUAAUUACAUGUAUAAAAAGGUAAAAAUUUUAAAAGUAGAUAAAAUUAUAUUUCCUAUAAAAACUUCCUUGAAGCUUCAUAGAUAGUGCUUUGACUUUAAAGGUGUCUUUAAUUGAAUUUUUGGUUUAGAAACGACGUCAAAAAGUUGGCCAUGUGCCACACAUAGUAUUAGCUUGAAGACCAAACUAACUAUGUGGCCCAUACAUAAAAAAACUUACCUUGUCAAUCAAGGCAUGUAUCCUACAAAGUCAACACAUUUAGAAGGUCCUAUAAAACAUCGCCAUAUAGCCCCUAGUUAGAUAGUAUACAUAGAGACAGGAGUGAAGCCCCCUUCACUAUUGUCAACUCCUUUCUUACUUCUAGUCUAGUUUCAAAGACCUCUAGUUUUCUUGACUUUUGGCAAUAGCUAUUACAGUUUCUUUCUUAAUAUACAUAUUGAGUUAUUUCUAUUUUGUCACCUUUCUUUGAGAGAAGUCUAACUUAUUCAUUUGUCUUUAUCAAGUUCAUGCCCUUAACAAUGACAUGUCUUAGGGAAUUAAAUACUAUGUGCUAAAACGAUCAAUGGAUACAAAGCAAAAUAAAUCAUGUACACCAAUAAACACAAAUAUAAGAAUAACACUAAUAGUUCAACUACAAAAUACAAAGGAGCAACUCAAAUAUGAGCCAAAAAAAAUAUCAUAUUUAAGAAUUAUAGAAAUACCACAAUACUCGGUCAAAAAUAUUGCAAAAUAAGUAAAGUGGUACUAGACAUUAGAACCCUUGAGAACAGUGGUACUUGCCUAGAUGCCAUGAGAUUCUAAUUUUUUUAAAAUGAACAAACUCAUUUAUAAGAUGAAUGUUUAUUCUUGGUCACAAAUUCUUAGUUUUUUUAUCUCGUACUUACUUUUAGUCCUUGAAGCUCAAAUAACAAAUAAUAUAAAGUCCUCUUGUAUCAUCAAAUAGCUUCAAUGUGUUGAUCACUAAUCCAUCAUAUCUUGAUGGAAUCUUUUAUGCUUGUAGAAGCAUAUCGAUUCCAAAGUAUACCAUGUAUUAGGCCAAACACUCAUUAACCUUAAUGCUUGGAUAUUGUUUAAAUUCUUUCUUCUUUGAUUGUUGAUCUUGAACUAUUUUGCCUCCUACUUUUUUCUUUGUUUGUUCAUUCUUUUUGUCUUAUGAAACUUCUCAACUAUUUUUAUUUCUCUAGUUCAAACUACAUGUCUAUCAAAUUUGUUAUACUAAUGAGUAUUGUGGUGGUGUUAUAAAACCAAUGCAACUUCAACUUUUUGAAUUUGAACAAGAUUGGAUUUGGUUUGGAAUUCUCCAGAAUAACCAAUCACGGAGUAUUACUUUGAAGCAAAUACUACACACAGUGCAACCCAAACCAACAAGUUCUCAAAAAGUGAACUAGUUACUUUUGCAAGUUACCAAUUUGUUUAUUUUUGUUCUUUGAGGAACCAAAUAAAGUGAUCUCUGCAUCAAAUGCUUUUUAACUAAAACCACACUUCGGGUGGGGCAAAAUGUCGCCACACAUUCAACUUGCAAAAUGCUCAUAAAUUGUGCCUCAUAUCAACAAGAAUCGCACAGUUCCUACAAUUUCUCAAACCAUGUGACUAAGCAUGGCUGCAGAUUACGUAAAUAAUUCCUGCCCUCCUUCGAAAGGCAACUCAGAACACUUCAAGUCCUUUCACCCCUCCAACAUGAUCCCUGCCUUGGACAUUUGUGCCCGCUCCAACGUCUCAGCAACUUGCAACUGUCCAUGCGACCUCCUCUGUCGCCGUCGCCGCUGCAGAACCCCUGGUGGACGGAGGCGGUAGCGCGCUGAUCCAACUGACCAAAUUUCAUCGAAAGUCCAUUUGCUGCAGACCUGAAUGUAAAACCCUCUGGUGCCACAACCUGGAUGCUCUCUGACCCAUGAAUCAUCAUAAUUCGCUCACUCAUACGAUCUCCACUCCAGCGCGCAAAAGGAAAACCAGGGAGACGAUAUUGAUUUGCCCGUGCCCGUUGCUACAACUCAAACGGUGGCCGCGGCCCGGAGGACCAGCACUUCCAGGGUGAGCCCCGGACCGAAUCCAAUGAAGAAGCCAAACUCGCUGCCCUCUCCCAGCGUCGACGCCCCCAUCUUGACCGACCUCUGGCGAAUCUGAUCCAGCACGAACAACACCGACGCCGACGACAUGUUGCCGUACUCCGACAGUAUGUCCCUGCUCCCCUGCAUCUUGUCCUUGGUCAGCUUCAGCUUCGCCUCCACCUGGUCCAGAAUGGCCGGGCCUCCCGGGUGCACCGCCCAGAACAUCUCGUUCCAAUCGGGCGAACCGACGCACUUCCUGGCCUCGUUCAAGAACUUCUCGAUGUUCUUGGAGAUCAGCCCUGGCACGUCCUUCAUGAGGUGGAAGAUGAGCCCCGCCUCCGUCAGAUGCCCAUCAAUGGCUCCAUCACUCUCUGGCAAGAUCGUCUCGCCCGCCCAGUGCACCUCGAACAGUGCUUUCUCCACCUCCGGCUUGGGAUCGGAUCCCACCACGUACACUCCGGCGCCAUCGCCGAACAGGGCCGAGCCCACCAAGCCGUCCAAGUGGUUCUCGCUGGGUGCGCGGUAUGUGACGGCCGUGACCUCGCUGGCCACCGCCAACACCCUGGCGCCCUUGUUGUUCUCCGCCAGAUCCUUGGCCACCCUGAGCACGGAAGCACCGCCAAAGCACCCGGUCUGGUACAUCAUGACCCGCUUCACCGUGGGCUUCAGGCCCAGCAGCUUGGCCAGGGCGUGGUCGGCUCCGGGCAUGUUCACGCCGCUGGUGGUGGCGAACACGAUGUGGGUGAUGUCAGACUUGCGGCCGCCCCACUCCUUGAUGGCCCUCUGGGCUGCCUCCGCGGCGAGCUUGGGGACCUGGACGACGACGAUGUCGUGGCGGACGUUCAGGGAGGGCUCCAUGUACGUGCAGAUGCCGGGGUUAGCCUUGAGCACCUCCUCCGUGAGGAACAUGUGGCGCUUGCGGAUCCCCGACUUGUCACCUGCAUCGACAUUCAUGGCCAAGCGUCAGCUGCCGUCGUAAGGGGCCGGAAUCGACCCAAUUUCAGGAACAUCGCGACCGCCGCAUUCCCAUCUCGACGCCCGCAACAAAUCACAAGUCGCAAUUCUAAUGCGCUCGCGCCGCGCAGCCCGUGCAAUGAGCACGUCGUCGAGCGCGGCUGGGGGUGAGGGCCGGCCCACAGGGAACAGUGAGCACAUCACGAGCCGCGAAGAGAGUCACACGGUGGAGGUGGACUUACAGAUGCGCUUGAAUUUGGCCUUCAGGGCGUCCUUCUCGCCGCAGUUGGUGAUGUUGAAGAAGAAGUCGGGGUACUCGCUCUGCAGGAACUCCGCGGGAGGCACCGCAGUGCCGACGCCCAACACACAUGCUGGUCCCUCAGCGCGAGGCUGGCCUCUGGGAAGCGCGCUCCUUGUGGCAGCACCCUGAACGUCGACUUCUCCGCUUGGUGCCAUGGGCACGUUUGGGUUCGGAAUGGAUGUUGAGUCCGAGCUGCUCACUCGGGGUUGUCUCGAAGCGGCCGGACAAUGAGCGUUCAAUUUGUUCCGGUGAACUGGCCCUGCAGCCACUGCCUAGGAUCUCUUAACCUGCCAAAAUCAGGGGGCUUAUAUGCAACGCACAAUGUGCCGGCGAGAAGGUGGCCCGAGUUGAGCAGACGUCUCGCUCUGAAUCUGUUAGCUCACAAGUUUGUUGCUCUAUCUGCUACACUUCCUGAAUGCGUUGAGUGCACAGAGAAGUUCUCUGUUGUGCAGCUUCAUUCAGCAUCGCUUUCUAGAUGAGGGGAGUGUGCAGAGUGAAUGUGGUGGCCCACAAGCCAGGGAAGAGCGUUGAAUGAUGUAGGACUUCGACAGGAACAGUGCAGUCUUGGCGACUUUUUUCUUGCGGCUUUUGUUCCUUUUCCAGGCGCCUGUUGGUUUCUUUCAACGUUGACAGCCUUUUGAGAUGACCUGGAGUUUACUUCGGCUGCUGGCUUGUUCGGACCAUCCGCAUGAAGCUUCGAAGACGUCACAAUCCACUUUCAAAAUCCUAGGGAACUAUGACAAUUGGUCCGUAUGGUUGUCAACGAACAGCUGCAGACUUUAGAUUCUUCACUUCAAAUAUAAAUCGUAAGGGAAUCGUCCGGUGGGUUUGCCAUUAUUAGCUCAUGCUGGAACAUGUUUCCGUCUGAGUGGAAAUGCAGCAUUUUCCUAUUUGUGAACCAAUACUGUAUGGCCAUAUGAUGACGGGGGUGUCUAUAGCCAUGACACAUGUGCUUUGCCAAUUUUACUUUGGCUGCUUGGUUGUUCUGACCAUCCGCUUAUUCCUUAAGCAUGAAGCUUCUAAUUCGUCACAAUCCUCUUUCAAAAUCCUAGGGACUAUGAGAGUUGGUAGAAAAGUGGUGAAGUGUCAUGGAUAUUCACAUUUAUUCCAAUAAUUAUUUAUAUGUUUCGAUAGAAGUUGGUAAAUUUGGAUUAUUAUCUUUUAAAAGUGUAUCUUUUAAGAAAACUUCUUAAAAGUUCAAUUGAAACCAAUUUGUUUAUACAUGUAUUUGUAGUUGAUUUGUAGGUUAGAAAUUUCAUCAAUAAUUUAAGUAUGUACAACACAUGUUGGUAGCUUUUUGAAUAAUUUAAGUAUGCUCCACUUUUAUAUAAAUCUUGUUUUGCAAGUUAAGACAUGUAUCUACCAAAUUCAACAUAUGUUGGAGAUCUUAUAGAAUAUUGCCACGUAGCUCCUAGUUAGAUAAUAUAUAUGGAAGCAAAUGUAAAACCUACUUCAUUCUUGUCAAUGCCUUUUUAAUCUUUAGACUUGUUUCAAGACUUUUUAGUAUUUUUGGCUUUAGGAAGUGCUAAUAUAAUUCAAUAUAUUUACACUUUUGAGUGAUUUCUAAGCCUUUUUAAAUGACACAUAUAUGUAUUGUAGUUUUUUUCUUCAAGAUUCUUAUCCUUGAUAAUUUGACUACAAUAUUGAUUUAUUAUUAUUGUUUUGUUUUAGAAGUGAAUGAAUUAUCUCACUUCUAUUGUUGUAAUUUAAAAUUUGUGGUCUAUCCACCUUUAAAUAAAUAAUUAAAAAAUAUUAACAAUGAUUUUUUUCUAAAAGAGAGUGGAUUAUUUCUUGUUGUAAAAUUUUUUAUUUAAUAUUUUAGAUUUCAAAUUAUUUUCAUCUUAUUUAGUUUUUAGAAUUUAUUUGAGUUGGUUAUUGAAAAAAGAAAAAAGAAACAAAAAACAAAAAUUAAAUACUACUUUUAUUGGAAGUAAAAAUAGAUAUCCAACUAUUAGAAAUCUUUACAAGCUUGUGAACAUUCUAAGAGUAGAAAUCUUACAUAUUUCUAACAUGAAUCAUGGAGAUACUAUUCCUACAUAUAUGGAAGAAGUUCAAAAUCUAUGCCGUAAAGUUGUGCAAUUGAAAGAAGCAAGUAGAUCAAAAUCACAACCAGUUUUAAAAAGUCUUAUUUCUACAAGUACAAGAAGUAAGGAUUAGUAUGCCAGAGGAGUUUGAUGGAAUAAGAUUAAAAUUUUAAAGAUUUUUACAAAAAAUUAAGUUCUAUUUAAGAUUGCAUCUUUUCCAAUACCUCAAUAGAUUUACUCAAGUUAGAUUUAUAGGCGCACUUCUAUCAAAAAGUAUUCUUUCUUGAUUUGUACCUUUGAUGGAAAAAAAUUUAGAAUUACUUUAUGAUUUGAAUCCUUUUUUGGAAGUAUUUAUGGCUGUAUUUGUAAAAAAUUAUAAAAAAUGGAUAGUAGAAAUCAAGCUUGAAUCCGUACAAUAAUGAUUUAUUUAACUACCACAUAUGUUCCUGAAUUCCAAAAUCUUAUUUGCAACAUGGAUUGGAAUAAUAAAGCUAUUAUCAAUCAAUUUUGAUAUAGAUUAAAAGAUAAUAUUAAAGAUUUAUUGAUGAUAAUAUUAAAAGUAAUUUUUUUGAAGCACCUUAUUGUUCAAGCCAUCGUGUGCAAUAAUCAACUCAUUAAAAGAUAGAAAGAAUAAAGAUUUAAUUAAAAAAAUACAAGUUAAGCAAUAGUAAUAUCUUCUAAGUUUUUAGAAGCUUAUUUGUUUAAGUAAAAGCUUAUGCAAAUUAAUACGAUACAUUUUAAACCUCUUAUUGAGCAAAAAAGAAUUUAUUAUUGUUAAGAAGGUUUGUAUUUAAUUUCUAAAGAGUCCAAGCACAUUACUCAAUAUUAUCCAAAGAAAUAACAAAAUCUCAAAAUAAAGAGCAUGGUUGCCAAAGAUGACAAUGUGUUUGAAAAUGAGUUUUUCCAACUACAAUAAGGACUAUGCAGCUAAAAUCCUGCAUGAUCUCUAGUAAAGGUCAUAUUCUUUCCUCAAAUCCCUCAUCUGUUUUUACAAAAUAAGUUUUUUUAACAUCAAAAAAUCACAAUGUCUUAGCAUUGUUAGAUUUAGGAGCCUCAACUUAUUUUAUAGAUGAAGACUUUGUCAAAAUAUAAGAUAUAUUCUUAGUUAAGAAAACCAAAUCUAUGCAUAUAAAAGUAAUAGAUGGUCGUUUUUUGUCUUUUGAAGAUGUUAUACAUAAAAUUAUUCUUUUAGAUAUAGCAUCUAAUAGUCAUUAUAGUUUAAUAAUAUUUAAUAUGAUUAAAUCUUCUUCUAAUCAAAUUAUUUUAAAAUAAUUAUGGCUAAAAAAACUAUAAUUCUUAAAUAAAUUAGAUUUCUAUUAUCAUAAGGCGUGAUUUAUAAUCUAAAAAUAUACUAGAUACUUGGUUGUAGAGAGUUUAGCUUUAAUUUAUUGGCCAAGCUUCAAUAAAAGAUUUAUUUUUAAUAUAAAAAAUAAAUAAAUGCAACAAUAUCAAAAGAUAUUUUAUUAGUAAAAAUCUUUUAUAUUUAAGAAGAUUUAUACAUAAGACUUUUUAUAGCAUCUAGAAAUUUCAUAACAUCCUUUGUUAUAUCAAAUCAUAACUAAUCAUUUGCUAGUAAGUUAGAUUUUUAAUAAUCUCAAGGAAAAUCCACAAUUUCCUUUCAAAAACUCAUCUUUAUAUUAUAAUAUUAUCAUAGCUCCAUAUCUCCAUCUUUAACAUAUAUUUAAAGACUUGACUCCCAAAACACCCCUUUAUUUUGUAUAAAAUGCUCAAAUUGUGGCAAAGUCCUUUCAAAAUAUUUUUUUUUUUGAAAAGAAUUUUUUUACUAAAAUUAAGGAUUUUAUAUUUCUUGAUCCAUUUAUUGAAAUUUUUUCAAAAUUCUAAAUAAUUUAGAAUUUAUCCUUAAGCUUUACCACAAAAAAAAAAUUAUAAAUUUACUAUAGAUUGUUUGGCAUCUUAGAACUCCUAGUAGGUACUCUAAAUUCUAAUUUAUAAGUAUUCAAGAACUAUUUUCAUUAUAUUUCCAAAUCCAAAAUCGAAAUACCAAAAAAUUUGGUAUAUAACUUGAAAAAAUAAUAAUACAAAUUUGUAGAAAAUUUUAGACAAAGAUUUGUUUAAAUGCCCAAGAUAUAGUUAGAACCAAACCUCUCAUGAAAUUGAUUCUCCAACAAAACUCAAUUUGAAAGUAUUGUAUUCAAGUAGUCACUGCUUCUUUAAAUCCACUUUAAACCUCUUACUUUUUAUAUGUAGAAUAUAGUUCUUUAAUCAAAAUUUCCAAUAACUUAAUUUGAUCUUCAAAAGCCCUUCAUAUGCAUGAGCUAUGCUCCAAAGAAUGACAAGAGGAAUGAUAUCAGCACCUUCAUUUUGAGCGCAUAUAUCAUCUUCUCAAAAACUCCAAAUUAUACAAAACUUUCACCAAAACUAUAUCUAAAAUUCUAAAAAUAAUGAUUUUAAGCUUUGAUGUUCAAAUGUCUUCAAAAGAAUAAGCCUAAUUCUCAAAAUUGUCUCAAGCAACCUCCUUGAAGUCCAUUGGACAUGACUUUUAGCCAAUAGGAAUAGAAAUUUUUAUCAUCCAUCUCCAUUCAUCUAUAUAGAUGGCUUAACUAUCAUUUUUUAUAUACAAAUUCUUUUGUAAUUCAUUUUCUAAUAAGUUUUAUAUAAUAUGUAUUCUAAAUAUCAAAUAAAUAAAAUAAAAUAAGAUUUCAAGAAUCACCAAUGUAUAAUAAAGCUGAUCCUAAAUAUAAAAAAAUUAUUAUCAACAUAAAAUCAACCUUAACAAUAGCUCUUUAGAUUAACUACUUCAAAGUAGUAAUCUAACCAUAUUUUGUAACUAACUAAAAUCUAAUAAUGUGACUCUUCCUACAUUGUAUAAUAAAUUGUAUAUUAAAUAUAUAUAUAUAUAUAUAUAUAUAUAUAUAUAUACAUUAUUUUCAUACCAAAGCAAAGCCACAAUACAACAUCAUAACCUUGAUUUUUUUCAUAGUUUAGUCUAAGAUUUUUUUAGGCUAGUAAAAAUCCAUAAGAUUGAUAUUUCCAAACUAUAAUUGAUAGGUGUGGGAACUUUCUUGUAUGCUGAAAAUAAAGGAUUUCCUUUUGUUAUAUAUGCUAUACCUAUUGAUGAUGGAGAAAAGAUUUCAAGUGGCAUUCCAAUAUAAUAUCAAGGUUAUCAAGAUGUUUUUUAAAAACUAAAAUGUAGAUAUUCUUUUAAAGCAUUAUUUUUAUGAUUGUUCCAUCAAUCAUAAAAGAAGAACUCAACUACCAUUCACACCAAUCUAUAGCCUAUCACAAAAUGAGUUAGUUUCAUUUAAAGAGAACAUUAAUAAGAAUUUGGCUAAGAACUUCAUAUUCUAUUUUGAAUUUUCAACUAUGGCUCCUAUCUUAUUUGUAAAGAAAAAAGACAAAUCUCUGCAAAUAAAUGUAAACUAUUCAAGAUUCAACCAGAUUACUAUAAAAAAUAGAUAUCAUCUACUUUUGAUUUUAAGACUUUUUAAUCAAUUGAAUUAAGCAAAGAUUUAUAAAAAUAUAGAUCUACAAGAAGAAUACAAUCAAGUAUGCAUUAAAAAAAGAAAUAAAUGAAAAACUUCACUUCAAAUCAAAUAUAAAUAUUUCAAAUAUAAUGUCAUGUCUUUUGCACUCAUGAAUGUACAAGCUACUUUUCAACAUAUAAUGAAUGAUAUCUUCUGUGAGUUUCUUGAUAAUUUUGUCAUCUAUUAUUUAAACAACAUCUUAAUGUACUUUAAGUAUAAAAAAAAAUAUGAAGUUCAAAUUUAUUGUGUAUUACAAAAACUAAGUGAUAUUGGAUUGUACGCCAAGAUAGAAAAGUAAAUAAUUUUACACUACUUGAGUUGACUAUUUAAGAUAAAUCAUUUUAAAAAUUGGUCUUAUAAUGGAUCUUAAGAAGCUCCAAGAUAUUCUUAAUUAGGAAAUUCCAAAAAUAAUCAAAGAUGUAUAAUAUUUUUUGAGAUUUACCAAUUAUUAGAGAAUCUCCAUUUAGAACUUUUGUCAAGUUGCGACUUUUCUAGUACAUCUCACAUGCAAAGACAAGCAUGAGUACAGCAAUAAAAUUGAAGUAUUUUUUGAAGCCUUAAAGAUAAUAUUUAUUUUUGCACAAAUUUUGUAUUGCAUAAAUUUUUCUAAGACAUUCUUUAUGGAAACAAAUGCAUUAGACUUUAUAAUGGAUGUUAAUUUGUCACAAAUAGAAGAAAAUGACAAGCUCUAUCUAAUAGCUUUUUAUUUUAAGUAAUUUUCAAUAGCCAAGAUUUACUAUGAGAUUUAAGACAAAGAACUUCUUGCAAUCAUUGAUUCAUUUCAAGAAUGGCAUCAUUAUUUGGAAGGCACCUUAAGUCUAAUCUUUAUAUAUAUAUAAAUAUGGAUCACAAGAACCUCAAGUACUUCAUAUUGGGAUAUGAUUUGAAUUUUUUGAGUAUGUUUUUAUUAAGAUUUGAUCUCAAGGUCACUUAUCUAUUCAAAAAAUAAUAAGUUAUCACAAACGUCCUAUCUAGACAUUCUUAUUUUUUAUUAAAUAAAAAAAUAUAUAACCUUUGAUCAACAAAGAAUAAAACUCUUGAAGCAAAACGAUUAUCACCUUCAAGCAAUAAAAUCAAUAUUAAUUGUUGAUUCAAUUUUUUUCAAGCAAAUUCAAUCAAGUAUGUCCUCUAAUCUUUUUAUUUAUGACAUUAAGAAUAAUUAUUUUAAGUAUUAUGGUUCUUUUUAAUUUGAAUUUAAGAAUAAAUUAUUUUAUUUUAAAAAACAAUUAUACAUUUUGAAAGACAAAGCAAAAUUACAUAUUCUUUAAACUCAUCAUGACUUUUUAAUAGUUAAGUAUUUUGGAUACAACAAGGCUUUAGAAGUAAUAUCUAGAGAUAUUUGGUGGUCUCAAAUGUAGAAGGCAAUAAAAGACUUUGUAUAAUCAUAUGAUAUUUAUUCAAGAUUCAAAACUCUUUAUCAUCAACGUGAUGGACUUCUUCAGUUAUUUCCUAUGUUGGAACAAUCAUGGUCUUGUACUUCUAUGAAUUUUAUUAUGGAUAUUUGGAUUUUGGAUUUGUAUGAUAUUAUAUUUUUACUAAUAGAUUGUUUAACUAAAAUGUCAUAUUUUGUACUAUGUACAAAAUCUAUCAUUAGUAAAGAAAUGGCUAAGCUUUUGCUUGAUAUCAUCUAUUACUAUCAUAAAUUAUGUAAGGAUAUUAUAUUGGAUAGGAACACUUAAUUGUAUUAAGAUUUUGGAGAAUCUUUUUUAAGAUUCAAAAGGUGAAAAUAAAGCUCUUUUCGGCUUUUUAUCUUCAAAUGGAUGGGAAAACAAAACAAAUAAAUCAAAUUUUGGAGUAGUAUUUGAUGUGAACUAUCUACUAUCAUCAAGAUGAUUGGACAAUUUUUUUGCCAUUGGUAAAAUUUGCAUACAAUAAUUUGGUAUAUUCUCCUAUUCAACAAAUACCUUUCUUUAUCUAUUAUGCUUAUCAUCCAUGACUUGAUACUUUUGACUUUUCAAAAGUUCAUAAUCCUAUAAAAGAAGAUUUAGCAAAUUAUUUAUCAAAGCUACAUGCAAUAAUGAAGGCGCAAUUAAAAGAAGCUCAUGAAUGAAAAAAGAUCAAUACAGAUGCCUAUUACAAGGAACAACCACAAUUCAAUGUGGGCAAUAAAAUAUGGUUACUUUGUUGUAAUAUAAAGACUACUUGUCUUUGUAACAAGUUGGACUAUCAUAGGCUUAAACCUUUUCCUAUUUAUGAACAAAUCAAUGUUAUUGCUUAUCAAUUACAUCUACUAGCAUUUAUGAAGAACCAUCAUAUAUUCUACAUGUCUCUUCUUCAACCAUAUAAGAUAAUGAAUAUCUUAAAAAAAAGAAAAAUGCCACCUCUUCCUAUAAAAGUAGAUAAUAAUCAAAAACUAGUAGAGAAAGAAGUCUUAAAUUGAAAGCAAUUCCAAAAUAGAUUAAAACAACUUAUUCAUUGACAAAAAUAUGAUAUUAAUGGAUGUAUAUGAAAGUAAACAAAGAAUCUUGCAAAUAUAGCUAAGAGAGUUGAAGCUUUUUAUCAACAAUGUCCAUCAGAAUCAAGAUGAAAAAUAGCAAGAUCCAUGAGAGAUGAUGAUUGCUUUUCAUCACUAGAAGAGAAAAUAUCAUCAUGGAUAUAUGUAUAUAUUUCAAUAAUUACAUAUAUCAUUAAGUCAAAGUAGAUAAAUAUAGAUUAAUUUUAUAAUAUCUUAUAGAAAAGCUUCUUAGAAGCAUCAUAAAUGUGAUUUUGACUUUAUAUGUGUAUGUAUGUGAUUAAUAAAUUAGAAAUUUGGUCAACAACUUAAUUAUAUAUGACACAUGUUGGAAGCUUGUAAAAGAGGCUAAUGAUAUGGUACAAAUAUAAGAAACUUGCCUUGUAAGUUAAGACAUAUAUCUAAUAAAGUCAACACCUGUUGGCGGUCGUAUAGAUGAUUGCCUGUCAUGGAUAUAAUCAUGUAAGCUAUUAAUAACAUAUACAAAUAGGUAGAAGUAAGUAAAAGUAGGUAAAAAUAAGUUAAUUCUAUAGUAUUUAAUAUGAAAGCUUCCUAGAAGCUUCAUAGACGCUGCUUUGAUUUCAUAGGUGUCUUUAAUUGACUUUUUGGAUUAGAAACGUGGUCAACAAGUUGGCCAUGUGCCACAUAUGUUGUUAGCUUGAAGAUCAAGCUAACUAUGUGGCCCACACAUAAAAAAACUUGCCUUGUAAGUCAAGGCAUGUGUUCUACAAAGUCAACACAUAUUAGAGGUCCUAUAGAACAUUGCCAUAUAGCCCCUCGUUAGAUAGUAUAUAUAGAGACAAGAGUGAAGGCUUCUUCACUCUUGUCAACUCCUUUCUUGCUUCCAGUUUAGUUUCAAGGGUCUCUAGUUUCUUUGUCUUUUGGCAAUAGCCAUUCCAGUUUUUCUUUCAAUAUACAUACUUGUUUAUUUAUAUUUUGUUACCUUUCUUUGAGUGAAGGCUCACUUGUCUGAAUUGUUUUUUCAUCGAGUUCUUGUCCUUGACAGAUUGACAAGAGUACACCUACAAUAUCAGAGCUUUGUCUAAUCUUGAUUAAGAGUGGAUUACUCCUUUUUCUUGAUAAGAUAUAAGCAUAUUAGAAGUUGCAGAUUACCCUCUUCUAAAUUGAUAUUGUCCUUAGUAUUUUCUUUGUUCUCAAGUCCUCUCUUCUAUUUGUCUUGAGCGAUAUUAGACAUCUUCUCUCUUCUAAGUGUUAUCAUGGCAGAACUUGUUGAAAUGAAGAGUGCAAUGGCACAAAUGCUAGAGCAUUUGAGGGAGUUAAUGCUUACAAUGCAUCAAUUUAAUUUACUACCAUAAGGAGCAACAAGAUUGGCAGGAAGUGAAGAUAUAGAAAUGGUUGGAGCUGCUUCAACAUCUGUACCAAACCAUGUCCUUUCUCCUACGAUGGAAUGCCCUUCAAAUGUUAGAGAACCAUGAAUUGCCCUACCCAAGAAGUUUGAUGGCACCAGAUCUAAGUUUCAAGGAUUUAUCAAUUAAGUGCAACUUGUGAUUGAACUUCAACUCCAAAGCUAUCCAAUUCCAGGAUCAUAAGUUAGAUUUAUUGGUAUGCUUCUUUCAGGUUCAGCACUAUUGUGGUUUUCAUCUUUUUUUGAAUGACGAGAUCCAAUAUUCGAUAAUCUAGAGGCUUUUUUGGCAGAGUUUCGAUCCAUGUAUAGAGAACAUGAUGCAAUUCAUAUUUCAACCAAUAAGAUCCAUAUUUUACAACAAGGCAAUCGAUCAGUAACAUAAUACGCUUCACAAUUUUGAUAACUUGCAACUGAUAUUAAGUGGGAUGAUGCUACACUUAUUAGUCAAUUUUUCUACGGAUUACAAUAUGAGGUAAAAAAAUUAAUGCUCAACUUACCUGAUCUUCAAACAUUGAGUCAAGCAAUUGACUUUGUUGUGAAGUGCGACAAUCACCUUUUUGAAUUUCGAUCUGAGAACCAUACAAGUAAACCUCAACGUUAUUAUAAUUCAAUGGCAACACCAAUACCUCUUCAACACAUACAUUCGGAAGUAGAGGAUAUGUAAAUUGAUGUAGUACGUUUCAAACCUCUUAUUGAGCAAGAAAAGACUCAUCAUCGUCAAGAAGGAUUAUGUUUAUAUUGCGGAGAAUCAAAGCACACUUUUCAACAUUGUCCAAAGAAAUGACGCAAUCACAAAAUGAGGAGUAUGGCUGUGAAAGAAGAUAAUAUGUUGGAAAACAAGUUUGUCCAGCUAUAAUAGGGAUUGUGCGGCUGGAACCUUGUACAACAUCUAGUAAAGGUCCUAUUCUCUCCUCAGAGCCCUCUCCUUAUUUUACAUUAAAUGUUAUUUUAGGACCUAAACAUUACAAAGUCUCUGCCUUGUUAGAUUCAGGAACCUCAACGUGUUUUUUAGAUGAAGAAUUUACUAAAAGACAUAGCAUAUCUUUAGUAAAGAAAACUAAACCUGUUCAUGUAGAAGUCAUAGAUGGUCGUCCAUUGUCUUCUGGAGAUAUUACUCACGAAACCCUUCCUAAAGAAGUAAUAAACAAUGAUCAUAAUAGUUUUGUAGUAUUUAAUAUCAUUAGAUCUCCCUCUAAUCCACUCAUUUUAGAUUUAUUGUGGUUAAAAAAAUACAACCCUCAAAUAGAUUGGAUUUCCCGAACUCUUACUUUUUCUAAAAAUAUAACUAACAAUGUAGUUAAUCAAGUAGAGAGUCAUAAGUCUAGUUCAAUUAAACCCAUAUUUAUAGGUGCAAAAGCUUUCUUGUAUGCUGCUAUGAAAGAAUCACCAUAUAUUAUUUAUGCCACACCCAUUUUUACUGGUGAAAAGACUUCAAGUGGCAUUCCAAGCCAAUAUCAAGAAUUUUAAGAUGUAUUUGAAAUAAAGAAUGUGGAUACACUCACGAAACAUCAUCCCUAUGAUUGUUCAAUUGACCUUCAAGAAGGAGCACAACCGCCAUUCGGACUAAUCUACAGUUUAUCACAAAAUGAGUUGGCUAAACUCAAGGAGUAUAUUAAAGAAAAUCUAGCCAAGAAUUUCAUACGCCAUUCUAAAUCUCCGGCAAGAGCUCCAAUUCUAUUUGUGAAGAAAAAAGAUAGAUCAUUGUGGAUGUGUGUUGAUUAUCGAGGACUCAAUAAGAUUACCAUCAAGAACAGGUAUCCAUUUUCUUUAAUAUCUGAACUUCUUGAUCAACUGAAUCAAGCUAAGAUCUAUACAAAAAUAGAUCUUCGGAGAGCAUACAAUCUAGUACGCAUCAAAGAAAAAGAUGAAUGGAAGACUACGUUUCAAACUAAAUAUGGACAUUUUGAAUACAACGUCAUGCCUUUUAGACUUACAAAUACACCAACAGCUUUUCAACAUCUAACGAAUGAUGUUUUUUGAGAGUUUUUGGAUGAUUUUGUGGUCUGUUAUCUAAACGACAUCUUGAUCUAUUCUAAGAAUCCAGAAGAUCAUGAACUUCAUAUUCGUCAUGUAUUACAAAAGGUAAGAGAUGCAGGACUCUAUGCCAAGAUAGAAAAGUGUGUACUCCACACUACUCAAGUCGAUUUCUUAGGUUACAUCAUUUCAAAUAAUGGACUUAUGAUGGAUCCUAAGAAAGUUCAAACUAUUAUAAACUAGAAGAUCCCAAAAACUGUAAGAGAUGUCUAAUGUUUUUUGAGAUUUGCCAACUACUAUCGGAUCUUCAUCAAAGACUUUUCUCGAGUUGUAGCUCUACUUACACGUUUGACUUGUAAAGACAAACUCCAAUGGAAUCAAAAAGCGGAAGUUGCUUUUGAAUCUUUGAAGACAACGUUUAUUUCUGCACCAAUCUUGUAUCAUGUUGAUUUUUCCAAAGCAUUCUUUAUGGAAACAGAUGCAUCGGACUUUACUUUGGGUGCAAUUUAAUCACAAAUGGGAACAGAUGACAAACUUCAUUCAGUAGCCUUUUGUGAUUGUUGUUUUACUUACUCUAACUUAUCUAAUCAGAGUAAACCUGUAUAGGGGAAUUCGAACACAGGGAAAGAAUAUCGCAUGAGCUUACACGUUAGGGUCACACAAUUAACUGUAUUCCGCACUACUUAAAACAUCCAGGAAACACUACAAUGCUUUCCUCUUCCUAAUAAUACUCCACCAUCACUGAUAACAACAUGUAAUCCCGCACUAUCCUAAAUGACAGGACAUAAUCAUACUAUAAUCCAAAUUCUGGAGUUCUUCACCAUUAACUGCCUUCACAUUACAGUGUUUCACACAAACACAGACUCAUUCUCUCUGCUCAACUACAUUCAGAUUUCAGCAUUCAAUCUCUCUUCUUCUCAUUCAAUAACAUAUAAUUCCAUUCACACUUUCAUUCCAUGAUUCACUUCACAAUAUUCAGAAACUCUCAAUACUCUUAUUUCAAAGAACAUAACAACAAAAGAAAAGAGGUAGCACCAAGCUUACCCCGGCUCACACUAUCACAGUAAUGGCCCCUACUUCCUCUCUCCCAUCCUCCUUAUGCUACCACGAGAUACCAACUGCUACAUCUCUAAUGAAAACUGCUUUUCCUAACUAUUCAUCCAUUUUACCUACUGAACUACCUUUUCAACAGUCAUCUAUCCCUGUUUACACUAUGAACUAAGUAUCUACAAUUCAACAAAUAACUACUUAUUCUACAUAGCCCCACUCCCAUCUGUGCAGCGUCCUCGCAAACAUAGAACCGAUACAUAACUAAAAAAAAAAAACUUCUCCAAAAUUUCUAUUUAUUUGAUAUAUCCAAUUGAUCAAUUACUACAUUAUCCAUUAUUGGUUCCACCGAUUCUGGCUGUAGUGGUACGUCUUCAUCCUCUUCCAAUAUUUCAAGCGACUCCUUUCUCAACUGGGCUGAAAGAUCUUCAUUGUAUUCUCCCAAUUCACGGAUCUGAGCUUCCAGUUUCAGGAUCUGGGCAUCGCGAAGUUCCAACUGAUGUUGCUGCGGACUCAUCCCUUCUGGGACAUCUUUAAUCGACACUUGAGAUUGGCUCCUCACAGUUAACUCUUCCGUCAGUUUUGACACCUCAUUUUGUAAAACUUCAAUUUCAGACCUCAUUUUCCCCGUUUCACAUCUCAAUUGGUCACACAAUAAAGCUUUCUCUGUCGCCAAUAACUCUGUCUUGUCCACUUCCGCUUGCAACUGGCAUUUGAACUUCUCCCGUUCCAAAUCCCAUGACUUCCUAUUCUGAAUCAAUUCGUCCCGUUGUCCUUCCACAAUCCGUGAAAUCUGUUCUUUUUCUUUUGUCCAAGCCUCAUAUUGGAGAACCAAUUUCCGCUCCAGGACCAACUUGACUUCUUCAAUUUCUUGAAUCCUCAGUUCUUGCUCCUUGAUUUUUUUAUUUUGAUCCGAUAUCCUUUUUUUACUGUCCUCCCAAUCCCGUUUACUUCUGUCUUCGACAUCCAAUGCUCGUACCAUACAAUGUAUUUGCGAAAUGUGCUUCAAUACGGCAUUUUUAAGAGAUACUCCUUCAGGGAAUCGACCCUCUGGAAACGCCAACUGGUUGAUAUCUAUCAAUAAUGGGACUUGAUUCUCCUCUUCCACCGCAAGACCACUUGGAACCCGUCUCGCUUCGAUAACCGGAGCUACCCCUUGAACCACUGUACGACUUGAUUCUCCAAUUUCGUGUAUUACAUCCGCUACAUUGUGAUUCUGUGCCAACAAAUUUCGUUCUCUCUGCAAAGGUGCUGACACUGGUAUAGGGUUUUCCUCUUCUGACGGUGGUUGACGCAAUGUGUGCGCGAUGACAGCAUACACAUAAUUUGAACAAAGCAAGGAUGUGAACUUCCCCAAUUUGAACUUGGCUCCUAUCUCCGCAUGAAUACGAGUAGCUACGUAAGCCGCCCAGUUGAACACCAUCCCCUCAAACGCCCCUACUGCUGCAUACAAUAAUCGUUUUGACACAUAUGUGGGGUGUCGGUACAAUCCUAACUGCCUCAGCACGAACCGCAACCAUUCCACAUAUUCUGGUGUAAUCGCCUCCUGAGUCCGCCAUCCUUGGCUCCUUUCAAAGGAUGACAUUCCUCCCUUGAAAUAUCUACCUGGGCUGAAAUCGCCUGACUCAUCAGUCCCAACUGCCAUCUCUCCAAUGGGAAGAAACAACACCUUUUCCAGGAUUGUUUCAUCAAUCCCAAUAAUUCGCCCUUGAACGACACUCGAUCCAUCCUCGGGGUCGUAAUUCUCAAUGUAUUCCUCCACUAAUGACACAUUGAUUGAUGGUAAACGCUCUGAAUGGUGCAAAAACUGGAACAGCUUCGCAGUCCGAAAAUCCCUUAUUUUUCUCUGCGUCCAACAGAUUUCUAACUUCAUCGGCUCCAUAUUGGUAACGAUUAUCACAGCCGGUGGUUUUGCUGUGCGUUUAGCUCUCACAUUCUGGCCACUUUCAUCUCUGUCUAUAGCUCUCUUGGUACUUUCAAUCGCCAUGACUCAAACGCUUACAGGUCCUAACCGUCAAUGCCACUCUCCAGUCUGCCCGAAACACUAAAAUGAGACACAAGUAAGCAACAACAUAAUAUAACACCACAGAAUAACCCUUAGUAGGAGCCCCACUCCUAUUCUAUUACCUAGUGAUGAGAGCGACAACAUGGUACCCAUACUGUCCAUUUCUCACUUCCUUCGCAUCUGACACAAUAGUGAUUACUACAUAUCCUUGCAGCCACCUCUACGUCUUAUACCAUAAUUAGGUCCCUCCUGAGUCCAUUCGAAGUCCCCUCCCCUCAAAUGAAAUAAAACCCGUCCCGGGUUUUAGGUAUUAUAUAACCGUAAAUGAUUUCCAUUAAUGCGGGUACUGAAACGAUGGCCCGUGAAAUCCUCCAAUUGAACAGACCCAUUGGAAAAUCCUUCAAUUACGCGAUAUGGCCCAUGCUAGCGAACUUGAAAUUUUCCCGGAAAAUGGUUGAAUCGGCUGUCAUACAGCAAUACCAAAUCAUUGGGCAUAAAACACUUCGGCCGCAGUUUACUAUCAUAGUAACUCUUCCUCCGUUUUUGAGUGGCUUCCAUGUGGAAUAGAGCGACAGCCCGUAUUUCAUCCAAUUCCUCCAAUUUCAUCAACCGAGAGUGUAAUGACUCAGUGUCACUGAGGCGUUCGUCUAAGGCAAUUCGUAAACUGGGAACCUCCAAUUCGAUAGGUAAAAUUGCCUCUUGACCGUAAACUAAUUGGAACGGAGUAGAGUGGGUAGUUACCUUAUAGGCGGUACGAUAAGCCCACAAAGCUGCAAAGAGUUUGGUCUCCCAAUCAGUACCGGCCCCUGAAAUUGUCUUAGUCAAGACUUUGCACAAAAUGCCAUUGGUCUUUUCCGUUUGCCCAUUGGCACGAGGAUGGUAGGGAGUGGUCUUACGAUGCUUGAUCUCAUAUGUGGUCGUCAAGGCGGCGAUGGUAGCAUUGAUGAAAUGGGUGCCUCGAUCGCUGACCAAUUCCUUGGGACACCCAAAGCGAGUGAUAAUAUUCUCAUACAGAAAAGUUGCCACCGUACUGGCAUUAUCGGUGCGGGUAGCAAUCGCCUCUGCCCAUUUGGUGACAUAAUUGGUGGCGACUAAGAUAUACCGCUUUUGACCAGGUUUUGACGCUGGUGCAAUGGGACCAACAAAAUCAAUACCCCAUUUUUCAAACGGAACCUGGGCCAAGAUUGGGACUAACGGCAUGGCGGAAGUACCCGUAGGUCGACCAAUUCGUUGACAAGGAUCACAACGGCGAACGAACUGGUGGGCAUCAGAAAACAUUGUGGGCCACCAAUAUCUGGCCAUUAAAGCCUUGCGGGCAGUGCUGUCUCCCGCGAAAUGACCACCACAACUAUCCAAAUGACAACCUGUAAGUAUCGACUGUACUUCACUGGGAAAGAUACAGCGCCGUAAAAGACCAUCGCGUCCUUGUUUAUACAAAGCAUCACGAAUCAUCGUGUAUGGGGCACUCUUCAGAAUAAGGCGCUUCUUAAGCUUGUCCGUGAAAGUCGGCGGAAAAGUAUGGAAGGUCAGAAACUGAAUAAUUUCGCUAUACUCGGGGGAUAUCACAUCCACCACAAAUAAUGCGGCGUCGGGAAGAUCAUCGGGAACAGGCUCGUUGCCGAGAAUAUUAGACAACCGGGAUAAAUGAUCUGCGUUCGCAUGUUGCUUCCCAGGUCUGACAACCACCGUAAAAUUGAACUCCUGGAGGAGUAAGACCCAGCGAGCAAUGCGCCCACUCAAUUGAGGCUUAUUAAUCAGAUAUUUGAGGGCAUCAUGAUCCACAUAAAAUACAAACGGAUACCCAAGCAAAUAGUGCCGAAAUUUUUUAACCGAGUAUAUCAUACCCAACGCCUCUCGUUCAGUAGUAGUAUAGUUGCGUUCGGCAGCCACCAAUUGUCGACUGGCAUAAUAUAUUGGAUGAUCGAAUCCCUUAUCAUCCUUCUGGCUUAACACCGAGCCAAUAGCAACAUUGGAUGCAUCAACAUACACAUGAAAUGGCUUUGUCCAACAAGGAGCCACCAAUAUUGGUGCAGAGACCAAUUUUGACUUUAAGACCUCGAAGGCUACGGUACACUCCUUGGUCCAGAGGGGACUAGUACCAUCGGACGGAGGUUUCUUCAGUAAGUUCGUUAAAGGUUGACAAAUAACCGCAAACGAACUUAUAAAUCGUCGAUAAUAACUGACAUGACCAACGAACCCUCGAACACCGGAGACUGUCUCCGGUCUGGGCAAGUUCAUGAUAUGCUGCACUUUGUCAGGAUCUGUAGCAAUACCACGACUGGAAACAAUAUGGCCCAAUAAUUUUCCGGACGGAACACCAAAUUGGCACUUCUCCGAAUUCAACGAUAUUCCAAAUUUGGCACACUGAGCCAAACAUUUGCCUAAACAAUGAAGAUGAUCUUGUUUGGUACUGAAUGUACAAAAGUCAUCUAAAAAGAUCUCCAUAAACAGUCGGAGAUAAUCUUGAAAAGCCUGAGUCAUCACGCGUUGGAACGUGGCUGGGGCGUUACAUAACCCGAAAGGCAUCACGCGAUAAGCAAAUGUGUCCCAAUCCGUAGUAAAGGUUGUCUUGAGCUGGUCUUCUUUUGCAAUUUGAACUUGAUUAUACCCGGAGAAACCAUCGAGAAAUGAAUAGCAUUCGUGACCGGCGACGGCGUCCAAUAUACUAUCCGUGAAUGGUAACGGAAAGUAAUCUUUCUUAGUGGCUGCAUUAAGUUUUCGGAAAUCUUGACAAAUUCAGAUUUUUCCGUUCUUUUUCGGCACCAUCACAAUUGGAGAAACCCACUCACUAUUCGGUACCGGGUAAAUGAAACCCACCGCAAGAAGCUUUUCCAAUUCUUCCUUCACCAUAAGGGAAUAUUUAGGAUUAAGGCGAUGUUGCCUCUGGCGUACCGGUUUAGCGUUUUCUUCCAAUAUGAUACGAUGUUCACAGACAUCAGCGGGGAUACCUUGUAGAUCAUUAUAAGUCCAAGCAAAAGCGGAUUUAUGAUGUAAGAAAAAGUCUGUCCAACAGGUCAACUCUUGUUCCUUAAUACCUUCGUAGACCUUAAUUAGCCGAGGUUCGGCCGUGGUCGCUAAGUUAAUAGUUUGACAUACAGGGUCAGCAACAAUACUCUGUUUCAAUUCCCGCAGUGAUUUAAAGUUACUCGGUAUGUCCGACAUAUGCGAAGUAACGAAUCCCGUCUCGAGGGCACUAACAUGGUGCACAUCGUACCCAGGUUUCCAGUCAAUACUUACAUAAGCAGAGUUUUCCGAAUCCUUCGGGUAUAUCAAGUACUCCCCCGGACCUCCACAUUGGUACACCACCUCAGGGUGCUGUGCUGCCUCCACAUUGGCCUCCGUACUCGGUACUUCUGUGUCAUCAUCGGAGCUAAGCCCUUCGUCCGACGUCAAUUCAGAUACUGACAACUGAGACUCCCCGUGAUAGCGUACUGGGUACAUUUGUAACACCAUUUUAUCUACGCCCUUACCAAUUGUCAAAGUACCUCGACCCCAAUCGUUCUUGGCCUUCGCUUGAUACAGCCAGGGUCGUCCCAAUAAAAUAGGGUACGAUAAAGUCGAACGUUGUAAGCGAAAGACAAUGUAGUCAAUUUCAUAGACAAUACCUGCAAUUAUAGUUUGAACACUCCGUACAAUACCCAUUGGCUUAACUCGGCUAUGAUCUGCCAUCCGUAAUACCAAUGUCGUGGGGACUAAUUGUUCCAGACCUAAAGCAUCCAUUGUAUCAGCGUUCAUUAAAUUGACGCUGGAACCUCCAUCUACCUGGACGCCAGAGAUCCGAACACCAUCAAUCGAAACAUCAAUGGUUGGUGCACCUGGAUCAGGGUUCAAACUAACUUCACAAACUUCCAUAUUACGAUGCCGAUGUCUUGUUAGGGAUGAAUUCAAGGUGGAACGACACUCUGGUGCGACUGCUAGAAGUUGCUUCAUAGAGAUUGAAGGCCGAAUAGCGUCCAAAUCCUUUAAAAUAUCAUAGGGUUCCAUAUUUAGGGUAAUUCCCAAUGCCCUCUUCCGUUUCAUGGGUUUGAGCUUAACUCCGUGAGGUAAUUUAUUCUGCCGCCCUGGACUUGGAAUUGGAACAGCAGAUUGAGCUUCCUUGGGACUUCCUUUCCCAAGGGGAUCUUUCAACGGGUAUGAUGCUUCUUGGAACUGCGGUGGGAACAGACCGGUUCGAGACGGAACUGAAGACUCCGUAAUUGGGACCUCAUUGGGCUUCGCAACCAAAUCAGGGCUCAAGACUUUCCCAGUUUCCGGGCCUGAAUGGGAUUUGUCCGUAAUUGGGUGUGAUUGGCCCUUCGCUUUAGGAUCUUCCAAAUGUUUAAUUGGGCCUUUCCCUUUUUGCUGGCUCCUAGUAAGAACGGUAUGGACACAUUCCACCCGAUUUACUGGAGAGUCUUGAGGUCCUCGAUUUAUUCCCUCCAUUUUUCCUGGACUCUGGAUCUGCUGAUCCCGAUUAUUGAAAUUGAAUGGAGCAUUACAUUGCUGAUACGUAUGCCCUGACUGCUUGCAAUUCCCACAAACUGGGGCAUAAUCGUCACUGACUCUUGGAUUGGGACAUUCAUUGGCAUAAUAACCAAUCUGUCUACAACGGAAACAACGCAAUGGCCUUUUUGCACCCCCAUCAGGCAUAUUGGGUGUCUCCACCGGUAUAUACCUACUAGGUUUGUUCCAUGUAGGUUGAGAAAACGAUCCUGGUUGUCCCGGUUGUACUUGGUUCAAUGGCAUCGAUGGAGCAUAUGGCUGAUACCCAUGCUGCUCCUUACCAUAGUUCCGAGGAUUUGAUACAAACCCCUCACUAUAAGUGGAAUUCUGAAAAUGAUUGACUGCUCGAUUUUGUCGGUUAGAUCGAUUUCCAUGCCAUCCUAACGUAUUUCCUGUUUGAACUUGAUUGACAUCCCAUGGAGUUGGUGGAAUCAUGGUCGGAUUACUGAAUUGUUGUUGUCUUUGCAAAUUCCAACAAUUAGCGGUUAAGUACUUGCCUCCACAAAAUGUACAUUUACCCAACACUUGUGAAGGUGACGGGCAUUCCGUUACUAAAUGACCGUGGCCCUGACAAUUACUGCACCAUACAUUGGUCCUAGUAUUGGUUGGCUUUUGCCUCUUCUCCUUAUCUUUGGCCAUAUUAACGGCCAUUUCCUCCAUUUUCUUCGUCAAGUUCAAUAACAAGGCUUCAUUGGAAUCUUUUGAAGCUGAUAUUAUUUGUUUUUCCGCCAAAGUUGACUCGUGUGUUUGAUAUGGAAAAUAUGGGGCAUACGCUGUUGUUACUUGCGGUGGUAAAGCUUGCAAUGGGGUAACAUUAACUGGCCCCUGAGUAUUGGCACUUGACUGGGCAACUGUUUCGAUCAUCUGUGGAUAACUACCCACUGAUCCGUUCAAAGCCGGAUAUUGAUAAUUGCUUUGAACUGGUAUCAUCGUGGCACACGCAGUUAAAAACUGAUCAUAAUGGCAUUCCUCCCAAACCUUGGCUCUAUCAAGGGAUGCAGAUAUCGUAACUGGUUGAGCUUCUUUUACAAACAUUUUUAGCUCUGGUGGGUGCAAACCAUUUAUUAAUAUAGAUAAUAUAAAUGCCUCCGGCAUUUGGUGGUUCGGCCACUUACUAAGUAUAUCAGCCACUCGGCCAUAGAACGAUUCCACCGCCUCUCCUAGGAUCAUUUUGCUGUUCAUUAACCUUCCUCGAAGACGGUCUUCAAAACCAAUUGGUCGAAAACGGGUCAAAAAUGCAUUCUUCAAUGCUUCCCAGUUCGAAAAUUGACCAACUGGUUGACGGUUAUACCAUUCAAACGCCGUAUCCUUUAAGGUUGCUGGCAACCAUCGUAACCAAAUAUCCUCGGUUCUCCCAUUAUUGGCGACACAUGCUGUCAAAAACUGCGACAAAUGUUGAUCUGGAUCCGCACCCGGAAAACCCCUAAAGGUAGGUAAUGGAGCCACGCUAGUUGUGCGAUCACUCACAGUACCCAUUUGUACUGCUAUGGGAACCGCUGGACCUCCCGUCGUCAUUGAAUUUGAUAAUGUGACACUUAAUCGUUUGUUAAUAUAGUCUGCGUCUCUCCUAAAUAUAUUUUCCGAACUUUCCACCCUGCUCAAUUUGCUAUUAUUAUCCUUGAACAAGUUUAUUGGUUGAAUAGGAGGUGAGAAUGACGGAUUUUGAAACACACUGAAUUGGCCCUUAUUGACCAAUAAUUUAUGCCACUCUAUGGAACCAGUUUUGACGGAAUCGGCAGUUUCCGCUAUUGGAAACGUACCCAAUGGAGUACCCAACUCUUCUGUGAUUCCCCCACUCUCAGUUAACGGUCUCAGAAGAAACCCUGGCCUAUUGAUCAAAUUUUCAGCAAGUGCUCUUGGUAAUUUCUCUAACGGUAUAUACUUCUGAAAUAUUAGAUGUCGAUUAGCUUCUGGGUAUGCUCGAAUAUGACGACAGGCAUGCAACCAUGGCUUAAUCCAGCUUUGUCUAUGAUUCCUUUUUAACUUUCUUUGUUGCUCGUUUCGCAACAAAUUUCUUGCUUGCGAUCUCUCUAUUCUUUCUCUUGACUGCCGUAUUUUCUUUACUGUUAAGUUCUCAUUCUUAAUAACCAUACUCUUUCAUUAUAUUCUUCUGCGACUGCUACCUAUUUCCCAUCUACUUCAACCGGCAGUUAAAACCUAACACUCCAUGCUAUUAUCAAUUUCCCCGGCAGCGGCGCCAAAAUGUGAUUGUCGUUUUACUUACUCUAACUUAUCUAAUCAGAGUAAACCUGUAUAGGGGAAUUCGAACACAGGGAAAGAAUAUCGCAUGAGCUUACACGUUAGGGUCACACAAUUAACUGUAUUCCGCACUACUUAAAACAUCCAGGAAACACUACAAUGCUUUCCACUUCCUAAUAAUACUCCACCAUCACUGAUAACAACAUGUAAUCCCGCACUAUCCUAAAUGACAGGACAUAAUCAUACUAUAAUCCAAAUUCUGGAGUUCUUCACCAUUAACUGCCUUCACAUUACAGUGUUUCACACAAACACAGACUCAUUCUCUCUGCUCAACUACAUUCAGAUUUCAGCAUUCAAUCUCUCUUCUUCUCAUUCAAUAACAUAUAAUUCCAUUCACACUUUCAUUCCAUGAUUCACUUCACAAUAUUCAGAAACUCUCAAUACUCUUAUUUCAAAGAACAUAACAACAAAAGAAAAGAGGUAGCACCAAGCUUACCCCGGCUCACACUAUCACAGUAAUGGCCCCUACUUCCUCUCUCCCAUCCUCCUUAUGCUACCACGAGAUACCAACUGCUACAUCUCUAAUGAAAACUGCUUUUCCUAACUAUUCAUCCAUUUUACCUACUGAACUACCUUUUCAACAGUCAUCUAUCCCUGUUUACACUAUGAACUAAGUAUCUACAAUUCAACAAAUAACUACUUAUUCUACACCUUUCAUUCAAGAAAAUUCUCAGCAGCAGAAAUCAAUUAUGAGAUCCACGAAAAAGAACUUCUUGCAAUUGUGGAUUCUUUUCAAGAAUGGCAUCAUUAUCUAGAAAGCGCUUCGAGUCCAGUCACCGUGUAUACGGAUCAUAAGAACCUUGAAUAUUUUAUGUCAGCACAUGUAUUAAAUCGACGCCAAGCUCGUUAGAACAUGUCUUUAUUAAGAUUCGAGUUCAUCAUCACUUAUCGGCCAGGAAAACAACAAGGUUUGUCCGAUGCCUUGUCUAGAUGUUCUUAUCUUGCACCAAAAGAAAGAGAUGCAGCUUUUGAGCAACAAAGAACGGUUCUCUUGAAGCCGGAGCAAUUUCAUCUUCGAGCAAUAAAAUCAACAUUGACUGUUGAUUUAACUUUUAUUAAGCAAGUCCAGUUAAGUAUGUCUUUAGACCCUCUUGUUCAUGAUAUCAAGAAUAGUUUUUCUAAAUCUCAUGAUCUCUCUAAAUUUGAAUUCAAGAACAACCUACUCUAUUUUGAAGGAAUUCUAUAUAUUCCAAAAGAAGAAGCACGUUGUCGUGUUGUAACACGAGUAUACCGUGAAAAUAUAAAGAAAGGGGACUUUUAUUAAUAUUUAGUUACCUCGAAUAUUGGGGGCAACGACCAAUUCCAGUGCAAAUACUGGGAGGCCAGGGUCAGUCACCCCGUUAUAGUCAACCGGGGCAUACUGAAAUGCUCCGUUCGAUUCCAAUAACAGGAGUCAGUACAAAAAGGAAAAGGACCAAUUCAACAAUGGAUGAGCCUGGUUCCAAGAGCCAAUUGGAUCCAAUUUCAAGACAUCCAAUCCAAAUCUUACUACGGGCCUCUCAGCCAAUCUGACGCGAAGGACCAAUUUGACCCAGUUACGGGAACAUCCAGGUCUUACUACGGCACUCUUAGCCAAUAUGAGACCUGAAUUGGUCGGGCGACUCAAUGUGGUCUCAAUUACGGGGUUUUGAUUCCGUUUCAGGCUCUCCUGUUCUCUGUGCCAUUUUAGGGAACGUUAUUUUCGGUAAAAAGAUCUCUUAAAGGUAAAAAUGGAGAAAAAAGCUCUGACGACGGGAGCCAAUUUUGGAUCCAAGCUCUGACGACGGGAACCAAUUUUGGAUCCAAGACGAAAGAUUGAAAAAAUUCAGAAUUAAGGUUAAGAAAUGAGAGGGGAGAGGGGAGAGUUUUUUUUUGAAAAGGAUCAGAGAGCUAGCUGUAUGCUUCGGGCAGGGAAAAAAGACAGAGAAUCGGAUUUUUUUUUUUCUUCAUAGGGUUUUGGGAAGACUGAGGCAAUCGUUGCUGAAGUCAGUGUUGUAAUGGUGAAUUGGGAUUUUUAAUGAAGUGGGUUUGAUUACUCUUGACUGUUUUGUGAAAUCAAGUUACGUCUGUGAUUGAAGAAUUAAAAGGAUAUCUAUAGGACUGAGUAUGCGGAGUGAAUGAAAUUUAUCGGGUUAAUCUCACAAGACAGUCAGUGGAUACAAGAUGGUGAGUAUAAAGCAGUAUCGAAGAUUAGCAGUUUGAGUUGUUCGGGGUUCUCUGCAACAUCUAGAGACCUACCGGCUGGGGCAAAAAGGACUUCCGCAAGCAGUCGAAGGGCAUCCGUAUAGAUUUACGGUGUAUUCUUGCAGUCAUUUAUAUUCCAACAGUUAAUAACCGAUAGACUGCUUGAAUAUUGGCAAAUCUCUAUACUACCUUCUACAGCGCGACACCCGGCACGUUCUUGAGCAAAAAAGCACGUAAUACGACAACGUUUACGUAUUCUUCAAGCUUGUCACGACUUCCCAACAAUAGGACAUUUUGGAUAUAAUAAGACUUUAGAGCUGAUAUCUAGGGAUUUUUGGUGGCUUCAAAUGUGGAAGGCAGUCAAAGAGUUUGUACAAUCAUGUGAUAUUUGCACAAGAUCAAAAACUCCUCGUCAUCGACCUUUUGGACUUCUUCAGCCAUUAUCCAUUCCAGAACAACCAUGGUCUUCUGUUUCUAUGGACUUCAUCACGGAUCUUUCAAUCUCAGGUUCUUAUGACUCUAUAUUCAUGAUAGUAGAUCAUUUUACUAAGAUGGCACAUUUUGUACCAUGUACAAAAUCUAUCACAUGUAAAGAAACAGCUAAACUCUUUCUUGACAAUAUCUAUCACUAUCAUGGAUUAUCCAAGGAUAUUAUAUCAGAUAGGGGAACUCAAUUUAUAUCAAGAUUUUGGCGGACUCUUUUUCAAGAUUCUUAAAGUGGAUAUAAAACUAUCUUCGGCAUUCCAUCCUCAAACUGGUGGACAAACGGAGCAUGUUAAUCAAGUUUUAGAGCAAUAUUUAAGAUGUAUCAUUAAUUACCAACAAGAUCAUUGGAUAACUCUUUUGCCAUUGGCAGAGUUUGCUUACAAUAACAUGAUACAUUCUUCUACAAAACAAAUACCUUUCUUUGCUAAUUAUGAUUAUCAUCCAUCGCUUAAUACUUUUGACUUUUCAAAAGUUGAUAAUCCUGCUGCGAAAGAUUUGGCAAUUCAUUUAUCAGAGCUACAUGCAACGAUGAAGGCGCAGUUAAAAGAGGCUCAAGAACAACAAAAGGUCAAUGCGGAUGUCUAUCGAAAGGAACAACCAUCAUUCCUCUUGGGUGAUAAGGUAUGGCUACUUCGUCGUAAUAUCAAGACCACUCAUCUUUGUGACAAGUUGGACUAUCAAAGACUUGGACCAUUUUCUAUUUCUACACAAAUCAAUCCAGUUGCAUAUCGUUUACAUCUAUCGGAGUCAAUAAAAAUCCAUCCAGUAUUCCACAUGUCUCUUCUUGAACCAUACAAGAUAGUGGACAUACCAAGAAGACGACAAGCUCCACUUCCUCCUAUAGAAGUGGACAAUAAUGAAGAGUUUGAAGUAGAAGAAGUCUUAUAUUGAAGGCGGUGCCGAAAUAAAUUAGAAUAUCUUAUCCAUUGGCGCGGAUAUGCUAUUAGUGAAUGCACAUGGGAGCCAAUAACGAAUCUUGCAAAUGCAGCAAAGUCGGUGGAGGCUUUUCAUCGACGACAUCCAUCAAAAUCAAGAUGAAAAACUUCUUUACAAAAAAAACAACAUCUAGGCAAGAUAAUAUUCUACUUUCAAUUCUUGUUCGUAGCUUCUUUGUAGAAGUGACGCUCAGGAGAUGGAGAACCAACAACCAGCGGAUUCGACUCAAGAGCCUUCAUUUGCUAACUUGCCAGAUGAGACAUUACGAUUUUCACAACCUUUAAGAUGACGCAAUCAAGAUGAAGAUCUUCAAGAACGACAUGUUCUUCCUCGAAUAGAUGGCGAGAUACAACACGUUUGGUAUCACGAUUUGGGAAGGGACUCCCGAUGUAUGGUGAUUGUGUUAGAGGUAGGAACAACUCCUGAUGGUGUUUCAAAUAUUCUAUUCAAAGGAAGUUACGAAGGCCUCAACAAUGAUUAAAUAACUGGGUGGUUGUCCCGCCCUGAUAUGGGACACUACCGAUGGUUGAGAGGCCCUAUCAAUCAUCUUCAAAGAGAUCAAAGAUCAGAGUUUGUGGUGAAUACAAUUCAUCGCAUCAUAGAUUUCCUCAACAUAUGAUGACCGCUCCUCGUGGAACUCGUCCCUAGAAGGGGGGGUAAUGUCACGGACAUAAUCAUGAAAGAUAAUAAUUACAUAUACAAAUAGGUAGAAGUAAGUAAAAGUAGCUAAAAAUAAGUUAAUUCUAUAGUAUUUAAUAUGAAAGCUUCCUAGAAGCUUCAUAGACGCUGCUUUGAUUUCAUAGGUGUCUUUAAUUGACUUUUUGGAUUAGAAACGUGGUCAACAAGUUGGCCAUGUGCCACACAUGUUGUUAGCUUGAAGAUCAAGCUAACUAUGUGGCCCACACAUAAAAAAACUUGCCUUGUAAGUCAAGGCAUGUGUUCUACAAAGUCAACACAUAUUAGAGGUCCUAUAGAACGUCGCCACAUAGCCCCUAGUUAGAUAGUAUAUAUAGAGACAAGAGUGAAGGCUUCUUCACUCUUGUCAAUUCCUUUCUUGCUUCUAGUCUAGUUUCAAGGGUCUCUAGUUUCUUUGUCUUUUGGCAAUAGCCAUUCCAGUUUUUCUUUCAAUAUACAUACUUGUUUAUUUAUAUUUUGUUACCUUUCUUUGAGUGAAGGCUCACUUGUCUGAAUUGUUUUUUCAUCGAGUUCUUGUCCUUGACAUUGCCAUGCAACUCAUAGUUUGAUAGUAUAUAUAGACGCAAAUGUAGAGCUUUCUUGAUUCUUGUCAAUGCUUUUCUAAUUCUUAGUCUUAUUUCAAGACUUUCUAGUCUUCUUAUCUUUGGUAAUAGUCAAUUUAGUUUAAUAUAUUAUCAUCUUUGAAUGAUUUUUAAGUCUUUUUGAGUGAUACAAGAAUAUAUUGGGAUUUUUUUCUUUCAUGAUUCAUAUCUUUGAUAUGAAGUAGAAUACAAACAAGAUCUUACAAUAUAAAACUAAGUAUUUACAAUAAAUGAAUUUUUUUUGUAGAAUGAAAAAAAAUAGAAAAUUAUUUAAAUGAGAUUUUUUCUUACUAUAAAUUUUAUAUAAAAAUAAAAAAAAUUUUAAAAUAUAUAAAGAUAAAAAUACUAAAAAAUAGUUUAGUGCUAAUAUUAAUAACUAGAUUGUUGAUAAACUCAAAGUUAAAAAUUAUUUUAAGAAGUAGAAUAAAUAUAAGUGAGAUUUUUAAUUUUAAUUGAAUUUUGUUGUUACUAUUGCUUUAAAAAUAAAUCAUUGCUUAAAACAUAAAUAAGAUUUUUUAAUAGUUGAUUUUAAGAAAUUAAUUAAAAUUUUAAUUUUCUUUUUUAAUUCUAAUAAUAUCGUUUGAUUAUGAUGAUAAUUCAAAUUUUUAAAUGUCAUUAGUAAUUUGUGUUUUUAAUUUGUUGUUAUUGUAGUUUAAAAAUUUGAGUUCAAAUAAAUGAUUCAAUUAAAACAUAUAAAUAUUUAAUUAGAUUAGGAUCUUAGAAUUAAGAUUUCAAGAAUAAAUGAGGGUUUUUUUGAUCUUAAGCAAUAAGCCUAUUUAAUUGAAAUGAUUUUAUUUAAGCUAAUAAAGAAAUUAUUUUUCUAUAAUAAUGUCAAGUUUAAGGCCAUGUAACUAGUUUAAUAAAGAGCUUUUGUUGCUAAUAAAUUAACUUACAGGUUUCUAAAGUAGGACAUUAAAUAUUCAAAAAAAUUAAAAUAUAAUAUAUAUAUAUAUAUAUAUAUAUUAAAAAAUAAGUACAAUUUUAUUUAUAGAUCAUUUGAAAGCUAUUAAGCUAUUACAAUGUUGACAAGAACUCUUGCUUAUCUAAAUUGUCUAUUGUUGUGUCUUUAAAAUUUAGGUGAGUUAUCUUGCAUUCCAACCAAAUGGUUGUGAGCACAAAUUAGUCAACAUAAACACAAUCCUUGCUCAAUGAAAAAAUCUUGAAUUCCGUCGCAUGAAAAUGUAUUGAAUUCAUGAUUAACAUAUCUCAAAUGAAAAUGAAAAAUGAAAAAAGGACAUUGUUUGAAUUCACCUGUCCACGAAAUUUAUAGUGGAUAUUAGAAGUUUUCAAUCAAUAGGAGCAUUACAUGCCGUAAUCAAAUUGUUGAAUAAUGAAUAACAAAUGCUGUUAAUUCACAAUCACAAAACUUGUCUACACAUAUGCAAAGCUUGUGUUUGUAAAGCAUGGAAAUGUUUUACACAGAAAUUGCAUUUAAUAUCUGCCUGGGUCAUGAGCUGAUACGUAUAAGUUAAAUUCCAUUCUUUGUGAAAGCGUCUAUUUGAAUGUAAAUCAACUAUCUCGCUCUCGUGAGGUUCUUUAAUAUAUCCAAAUGGUCAUGCCACAUGUCAAAGACCGCGGUAAAGUCUAACAAUAAGACUCUCCAAUCGAUGGUCAAAAUUGGCAAUGCACAUGUGUCAUGGCUCUAGACACCCCCGUCAUCAUAUGGCCAUACAGUAUUGGUUCACAAAUAGGAAAAUGCUGCAUUUCCACUCAGACGGAAACAUGUUCCAGUAUGAGCUAAUAAUGGCAAACCCACCGGACGAUUCCCUUACGAUUUAUAUUUGAAGUGAAGAAUCUAAAGUCUGCAGCUGUUCGUUGACAACCAUACGGACCAAUUGUCAUAGUUCCCUAGGAUUUUGAAAGUGGAUUGUGACGUCUUCGAAGCUUCAUGCGGAUGGUCCGAACAAGCCAGCAGCCGAAGUAAACUCCAGGUCAUCUCAAAAGGCUGUCAACGUUGAAAGAAACCAACAGGCGCCUGGAAAAGGAACAAAAGCCGCAAGAAAAAAGUCGCCAAGACUGCACUGUUCCUGUCGAAGUCCUACAUCAUUCAACGCUCUUCCCUGGCUUGUGGGCCACCACAUUCACUCUGCACACUCCCCUCAUCUAGAAAGCGAUGCUGAAUGAAGCUGCACAACAGAGAACUUCUCUGUGCACUCAACGCAUUCAGGAAGUGUAGCAGAUAGAGCAACAAACUUGUGAGCUAACAGAUUCAGAGCGAGACGUCUGCUCAACUCGGGCCACCUUCUCGCCGGCACAUUGUGCGUUGCAUAUAAGCCCCCUGAUUUUGGCAGGUUAAGAGAUCCUAGGCAGUGGCUGCAGGGCCAGUUCACCGGAACAAAUUGAACGCUCAUUGUCCGGCCGCUUCGAGACAACCCCGAGUGAGCAGCUCGGACUCAACAUCCAUUCCGAACCCAAACGUGCCCAUGGCACCAAGCGGAGAAGUCGACGUUCAGGGUGCUGCCACAAGGAGCGCGCUUCCCAGAGGCCAGCCUCGCGCUGAGGGACCAGCAUGUGUGUUGGGCGUCGGCACUGCGGUGCCUCCCGCGGAGUUCCUGCAGAGCGAGUACCCCGACUUCUUCUUCAACAUCACCAACUGCGGCGAGAAGGACGCCCUGAAGGCCAAAUUCAAGCGCAUCUGUAAGUCCACCUCCACCGUGUGACUCUCUUCGCGGCUCGUGAUGUGCUCACUGUUCCCUGUGGGCCGGCCCUCACCCCCAGCCGCGCUCGACGACGUGCUCAUUGCACGGGCUGCGCGGCGCGAGCGCAUUAGAAUUGCGACUUGUGAUUUGUUGCGGGCGUCGAGAUGGGAAUGCGGCGGUCGCGAUGUUCCUGAAAUUGGGUCGAUUCCGGCCCCUUACGACGGCAGCUGACGCUUGGCCAUGAAUGUCGAUGCAGGUGACAAGUCGGGGAUCCGCAAGCGCCACAUGUUCCUCACGGAGGAGGUGCUCAAGGCCAACCCCGGCAUCUGCACGUACAUGGAGCCCUCCCUGAACGUCCGCCACGACAUCGUCGUCGUCCAGGUCCCCAAGCUCGCCGCGGAGGCAGCCCAGAGGGCCAUCAAGGAGUGGGGCGGCCGCAAGUCUGACAUCACCCACAUCGUGUUCGCCACCACCAGCGGCGUGAACAUGCCCGGAGCCGACCACGCCCUGGCCAAGCUGCUGGGCCUGAAGCCCACGGUGAAGCGGGUCAUGAUGUACCAGACCGGGUGCUUUGGCGGUGCUUCCGUGCUCAGGGUGGCCAAGGAUCUGGCGGAGAACAACAAGGGCGCCAGGGUGUUGGCGGUGGCCAGCGAGGUCACGGCCGUCACAUACCGCGCACCCAGCGAGAACCACUUGGACGGCUUGGUGGGCUCGGCCCUGUUCGGCGAUGGCGCCGGAGUGUACGUGGUGGGAUCCGAUCCCAAGCCGGAGGUGGAGAAAGCACUGUUCGAGGUGCACUGGGCGGGCGAGACGAUCUUGCCAGAGAGUGAUGGAGCCAUUGAUGGGCAUCUGACGGAGGCGGGGCUCAUCUUCCACCUCAUGAAGGACGUGCCAGGGCUGAUCUCCAAGAACAUCGAGAAGUUCUUGAACGAGGCCAGGAAGUGCGUCGGUUCGCCCGAUUGGAACGAGAUGUUCUGGGCGGUGCACCCGGGAGGCCCGGCCAUUCUGGACCAGGUGGAGGCGAAGCUGAAGCUGACCAAGGACAAGAUGCAGGGGAGCAGGGACAUACUGUCGGAGUACGGCAACAUGUCGUCGGCGUCGGUGUUGUUCGUGCUGGAUCAGAUUCGCCAGAGGUCGGUCAAGAUGGGGGCGUCGACGCUGGGAGAGGGCAGCGAGUUUGGCUUCUUCAUUGGAUUCGGUCCGGGGCUCACCCUGGAAGUGCUGGUCCUCCGGGCCGCGGCCACCGUUUGAGCGGCGUCCUAAUGGCGUUGUUCGACCGUGGUGACUAUUUGGAAGGUCAUUUGUCAUUGUACCCUCCGAAUCGAGGUCUAGAGAGCGCCCCUUGGUACAUUAUUCUGAUUAGAAGCUACCUUGACCGUUUCGUAGUUGAUUUUUUGCAUCAGGGCUUUCUCUGUCAUUUCAGUGAAGUUAAGCCGCAGAUAUCCAUUCCAUCCAUUCAAAUCACGCUACUCCGAAGAAAUUAUAGAUAGUGUAAACUGUAUCAUAAUUCAAUACCCUGUCACGAGUUAAAGUUACAAUUUUUUUUGUCAUGUCCCCGAAUUCUUGGAGGAGGAUUGUUCCAAAUGGAUUUUACACUGCACUGAAAUUUGCAGUUUUGGGGAGUAUUGUUGGAGUUGAGAAGUGAAUGCAUCAUGCCCGCGUCUAGUGAGAAGAAGCACACGUUGAUUGCAAUGUAAUUGACGCUCCGCCGCAGCAAUACUUGUUGUGCCCUACAUUUGCAACAACACAAAAUGCUUACCAACUGUGCGCAUUUGCGUUGCAUUGUAGAUACACAAAGCUCCCAGUAAUAGAGUUAGCUACACUAAUUCAAAUUUUGCUUGUGACCAUGAGCUCAAUAAGUGCUUUAAUAAUAACUACAUGUGAAUUGAAAAGUCAAAUGACUCAGCACACAGUGGCCUGCUGAGGAAUGAAUUUCUAGUACAUACUGCAAUGAGCGGAAUGCAAGAUUUGGUUGGGACAUUUGGAUUCUGUCUGAUUUGUUGGAGAUGGAAUGUAAUCCGCAAUCAUUCCUCCCCUCUGAAGAUAUGUGUGCAAUAGUAUAUCAUUUGGACAGGAGUAGAAUCUCAUUUUCCAGGCGCAAAGCGUACCUGAUUUACUCUACGUUUUCUUGCGCCUAAUGCAGAAAAGACACACUGCGGUUGCUAGCACUGCGACUCUCAUAAUCCGAAACUAUGUACACCAAUCAAGAAUCUAUACAUCUACAGUCAAGACCGUCUGACACGUCCAUUUUGCAAGGAUGAAGAGCAUAUCAGUUCUGAUAUUCUUCCUGACUAAUCCUUUCGAUCCCGAAUUCGAACUACACAGGUUCUUCCUUUCAAAAUGCACACUGUUUACGCUGUGCACUGCCCGUUUCGAGCGAUUCCUGUGUUCCUUGUUCUACCUUCUUGCAUACACCACGACGGUCCAUAUACAAAAAUUAUCCCCACAUCCCUUCCGCAUUCAUCUCCCUCCACUCCCAUGGUACACAGUCGGUCUCUAGUCCCUUGCCCCGCUCCGACAAGCUUUACGCAACCCAUUCAACGCCCACACAUUCGUUUUCUCCACAGCAGCGUCCCGUUCCAGGAACUGCGUAUUCCCGUCCUACUUCGACACCAAAGUGAACCGAUGAGAAUUGUGUGAGAGCCCGCUGUGUGCCUCACCCUCAUAUAUGCUGAUUGAGCUCUGCCAUCCACGCAAACUACCUCUCGACGCCAAUUCAAUCACAUGUCACGGCUUGCCAGAUAUGGAUAAUCCACCAGUCAACUCCAGUCACAAACAAUCCCCGCCAACUUUAUCCCCCCACCGUGCGCAGCGCAUGGGCGCCUCGCUAUGCUCCUAGAGAUCAAACAAAUUCCCCCGCACCCACCCUCACAUUCACAGUUUCGGCUCUCACCGUCUUUCACUCCACGAAACCACUCCCCAUCACAUCGAUCCCGCAAGACAUGGCGCUACUUCCCAUACCGGCCGAAACCAACACACACCCGUCUGCGUACGGAACCGUUCCAUGCCCACAUCCACACCCGCCUCCCCGUCCCUCCGCCCAGUUGCAAUUCCCAAUUACAAUAACACAUCCACAAUUUACUCAUUCACACUCUCCCAAUGUACAACUGUGCGAACGCCGCCAACCCGACUGGUGGCUCCGUCUAGGUGACAGACUCUCGCAGCUCACAGAAAAUUAAAUCGGCUCUACCGCGCCAUCCUAGUUCCCGGGGGUGAAGUUGGUGGCGUACGCCCAUGCGUUGUUGGCCACCGGGUCGGCCAAGUGGUCGUUCAAGUUCUCCAAUGGCCCCUUUCCG
rnacentral:lncRNA from 1 species